UCUCAUUCUCAUUAUAACGUGGCUCAAACGGGCUCUUAGGGUUUCGAAUGGGAUAGGUCUCAUUUUUCCGAUUUAGGCUAUUCAUUCGGACAUCAACAAUUAUAUUAUAUCUGAAAAUUGUGUUAGAUGUAUAUUAUAUUUUUAUUUAUUACUUAGCCGAUGUUUAUUUUUUAUUAUUUGUCCAUUAAAAUGAAAAAUAUAAUUAUUAUCCAUCACAUCAAGCCACCAUAUUUGACUUUAUUUCUCUUGUGUGAACCCGUAAUGACAAUAUUUUUCAUGCAUAUUCUUACAUUAAUGUGGCUCAAACAGGGCCUUAAAAAUAUUUAUAAAUUAGUAUUAAAAAUGACACUUUUGUUAGGAAAUUAAUAAUUUUAUAGAUAAUUUAUUUUAAUUUUUUUUAUCGAAAGUACUAAUAACUAAAAUAUGGCUGUUGAUUUAAAAGUGCAUCUCCAUUGACCAACAAAAAUAUGUUCAUUGGUCGGUAAAAUGUCUAUACUAAAUUCUCCAAUGAUAAAAAUCAAUGUUGGUUGCUAAAACCCAUUAUUGACCAAUUCUUGAUCGCUAAUUAAUUCUUCAAAAAUAUCACUAGCCAAAUUAAUAAAUAAUCUAGACGACAUCCUUCGGUGACCACAUCAAAUUUGGUUGAUGAUACACAAAAUCAGCAACCAACCCUUGUUUGGUUGAUGAAACAAUCUUCCAUAGACCAAAUAUUGGUCGUUGCAUCAUCAUUAACACCAACCAAACAAAGUGAUUGCUAUAACUUCAAAUAAAAAAUGUCCACUCCUUUUAGGGGUUUUAGCGACCAUUUUGGGCAUGGUUGCUGAAACAUUCCUCCAAGGACUAUAAAUUGGUAGCUAAAUCAUUACAUAUUUCCGACUAUAUCACAAUGGUCGCAAAACCCCAAUAAAAAAGGUGGGAUCUAUUCCCUCCAAGGGCUUCAGUGACCAAUCUAUAUAUGGUUGUUGAAACAAUCUUCCAGCGACCAAAUAUUGGUUGCUAAAAGUGCCUGUCGCGCAAAAUAAUUUUGCUUGCUUUUUCCCACCUAUUUAUUAGCGACUAAAUUGUGUUUGGUGGCUAAUACAUCGAAUCGGCAACCAUUUUUUGGUUGCAAUAGGGCACAAGAAAAAUAAUACAAUUCUAUCCGACCAAAAAUGUUACCAACCAAUAAUUGGUCGGUAAAUGUGGCUUUUAGCGACCAAUUUUAUUUGGUCGCUAAAUCUUUGGUCGGUGGAGCCCUUUUUUGUUGUAGCAUAUAUAUCCGAGUAGUCUUGCAACCUCAAGAAGUCUAAAACAGGAUGUGCUUCAGCAAGUGGGAGUGGCCUAUGCAAAAUCUACACAAUAUGACAAAAAGUCACUUAUCUUAAACUUUUAGGUUAAAUUGGAAAAUAGAGUAUCGUAAACUGUAUAGUCGUGUCCAUUACUUGUCUGGUGUUUCAGUUUCUCAAGAUUCGGGGAGCUUUUGAACAAGCAAAGAACAUAAGAGAGAUCCUCCACUGAGUCUAAACAUACAUAACAUAAAUUUAGAAUUUUAAGCUGGACUUCAGUAGCUGGAAGCCUUGUUUGGAAAUCUUGGAAGCGGAUGGCAAAAGCAUGAUCAAAUAUAGUUAAAUUGAUGAUUUCAAGGAAAUUAUAGUUAUAAUCAGCCAUACCUUCAUCAUCUGAUAGUCCAUGCACAGUUGAUGGAGUGAGGGCAGGGAAUCAAAAAACUCAGUGAAGUUAUAUUUUCUAUGAAUGAUAAAAUUGUAACGGAGAGAGUGGGGAUUUCUUAAAAUAAACAUAUGUGCAGAAUAUUUCAAUUUAACGAGUUUUAGCUUGGGAGCAUUAAUUGUUAAGUGGUGAAAUCCAGCUGGGACAUGCAACUCCAGUUGCUUCUAAUACUUCAGUAUCAAUGAUGACAUCAAGCAAUUCCAGUGUAAUCAGCCUAUUAAAACCUUUGAAGCUUGGUGGAGGAUUGAUCGAACAAAAAGAAAGUUUCAAAUGUUUCAAUAGUGAACAUGUAAAUAGUGAAGAAGGCAAUUUGUACACUUCACCCUUCUUCAUUUUCAAAGUGGAUUCUUCAACAUCUUUCUUCCAUGAGAUAUAUAUCUAGUGGUCAAUUUCAGAACCAACUCUGAGUUUUGGAAUAAUUAGUGAUGUCAAUGGGCUGAGCCCCUUAAUCUCAUGAGCUCGGCUCGCGCUCAUGGCGAGCCGAGCUCGUGGCUCAUUUUCAACGAGCCAAGCUCGACCUCGGCUCACAAGCUCGUGGCUCGUCCGAGCUCGUGGACCUAGCCGAGCUUUGGCUUGCGAGCUCGUCAUCUUUUUCUUUUUUUUUUAAAUAGAGAAAAGCACAAAUAAUGUAAUAAAAAUACUUUUUUAAAAAAUAAAAAAUGUUAAAAAAUACAAAUAAUUUAAUGAAGACAUUUUUUUCUUUUUUUUAUUUAUAUCAUAUUGUAAUAUUUUUUAUAAAGUAUAAAAUAUUUAUAUAAUGAAAACGAAUUGUUUUUUGAAAUACAUUUACAAAAAUACAUUUUUUUCAAUUUCUUUUUAAAGUAAAUAAAAUGUAAACCCUCCUUCUUUAUCCGAGCUUGGGACCAAUUACAUCAAUUUUAAGUAGACGAAGUUAAAAAUUGUACACAAACAACUUGUUAUAACGUGUAUAAUUUUUAAAGAAAAUUAAAUUUAACGAUUAAAAAAUAAGAAAGUUUUGAUUAAUAUAAUUAAAUCAAAUAUCACUUACUUGACGACAUGCAAUUUCAGCACAUUUAUCUUGUAAUCGAAAAUGAGCAUCCUGUCAAUCUUUCACGCACAUUAAUGCUUCCAAAUAUCUUCUUUCAGUCGGCUCCUGAUAUCGAUCAAAAUACAUUUAUCUGCACUAAAAGUAGACUCCGAAACAAUAGUGCUAAUCGGAGGUGUCAACAAAUCUUUCGCAAUUACGGAAACAAUUGGCCAACGUCUUUCAUACUUUCGCCAGAAUUCAAUUACUUCCUCUGAACUUUUUUAAUUGUUCCGUUUGUUGGUAUAUUAUGAUUGAAGUAAUCAAUUAAUUCGGAAGACAUCACACUUUGAGUUGCGACCGAUGUUUGAUGAGAUGCAAAUGUAGAUGACAUGACACUAGAUGAACAUAUUGCAGUUGCAUCAUAUCUAAAUGUAUUAAUGCCUUGAAAUAAAUUCAUUAUUUCGACAUCAUCUUUUUCAAUUUCAGCCGAAUGAGUAGGUGUAGAGAGUACCUGACUAAUAUUCCCACCUAUUCUUUUCGCAUAUAAAUCAUACAUUCCACAUAAUAUUUGCUCUAAAUUAUUAUAAGUGAUAGGUAUAUCAAGCAUUAAGACUUUAUUGAUUUGAUCAAUUAGGUAUUUAGUUCUCGAAAUAUUAUAUCGGGGGUCCAUUGCGCAUGCUAAAGGAAAUAACAUAGGCAGUUUUUCCCAAUAUUUUUCUAAACUUUAAUUCCAUUGCAAUUAUAAUUUCACUAAUAUCAGGAUUAUUUGUAUAUUUAUGGAAUGUUCUUACAACUAUAUAAAGGAGUUCAAGCACCAUAUAGCUUGUGGGAUAAUAAACGCCGGACAAAAUCUUUGUGAUCUCAUAAAAAGAUGUCAAAAAUCGUUUAACUUUCAAAGCCUAAACCCAAUCGGAUUCAUUCAACAUACCAUCGUCAUCACUUCUAACGUGUCUAUUAUUAUAAAAGUCAGUUAUUAAAUGUUCAAAACCUUCAUAUGACUUUAAUAGCAAGUAAGUAGAGUUCCAUCUAUGGCCUACGUCGCUAUCAAAUGUUUUAGCAGCCGUCACCCCUAGUUCGGCAUAAAAAUCUUCAAAUGCUUGUUUUCUACUAGGAGAGAUCGUAAUAUAUACUAAUACAUUCCUAAUCCUUUGAAAUUCAUCAUUUAUAUGUCUUAGGCCAUUUUGCACAAUUAAAUUCAAGAUAUGGCACACACAAUGAAUAUGAAACAAAUGCCCACCAAAAUUAGGUUGAAGUGUCCUACACAAUUUAUCGACGACUACUUUAUUAAUACUAGCAUUAUCAAAAGUAAAAGACCAAAUUUUAGUCUCACAAUUAUAUUCUCUAACAAUACUGGCAAUAUCAUUAUAUAUAUUAUUAGUAUUGUGAGGAAAUUCAAUAAUUCUAAAAGCAAUAAUUUUUUUAUGCAUGCACCAAAGUGGGACUAUAUAGUGUGCGGUUGCGGCUAUAUAUGAUCUUUUAUUAACCUCUUCCAAUAUAUCAGAAGUUAAAGAUGUAACACCCCAUAUUGUUGCAAAUCCAUAAUUAAUUGUUGUUUUGAAUUAUUGAAAAUAUUGCAUUAUAUUGGCACGAAGAGUAUUUCGACUUACCCCAACGUACCUUGUUUGCAGAUAUUCUUUCACGAACGAGACGAAGUGUUGGUUGUUUGCAAUAGCCAAAGGCAACUUAGUGGCGGCAACAAAUUUCACCAUUUCGGUUCGAGUAUUGUCUUCCGAAUAAACCCACGUGGAUAGGGGUGAAGUCGUAGAACCAACGCCUGGAUUGCCAAAUUGCAAUUGUGUUUGACCAGCUGGAAGAAGUCCAUGUUUGGCCACACAUGCUUUGUAGUGGCGGUUGAGAUAGGUGGUACCAAUUCCUUUUUGCCAUACCAAUCUUUGUUGACAGUAUUUACAUACUGCCUUAGAUUCUGCAAGGCCAUCGAUGACUUUUUUCGUUGAAAUCAGCUUAAAAUGAUCCCAAAAUAUUGCUUGUUUUUUGUCCUUUUGCUUUUCCCUUGCAUUUAGAAUGUUUAAUUCAGCAUCUUCGUUCUCAUGUUCCACUUCGGAAACGUUAAUAUAAUCCAACUCAAUUGGAUUGUGGCUUUCCUGAUCGUGAAUGUGAAUAUCUUCAGUAUGAAUACGUCAUUUAGACCGGCAAAUUCAUUUGAAAACUGACUUUACAGCGUCCUAGGCGAUUCGCCAUGUGGUCCACAUUCCGUAUUGAAUAAGCUUUUAACAAAUGAGCGUUGAUCCAUUUUUUUGAUUGUUUAUGAUGAAAUCCAAAUAUAAUAACUAGAACAAUAUAAAUGUAGUGAGAAUUGAGAAUUGGAUGAAUUGAAAUUGUAACUGAAUAAACUGUAAAAAAUGAAUCGAUAUUGUUUAUUUUGUAGCACAAGAGAGUAAAAAUUUGACAAUUGAUAUAAUAAAAGAGAGUUGAGAAAUGAGAGGUAGUGAAUUAGAGGAGACAAUUGAUAUGAGAAAAAAAAAGACGAGUUAAAGGGUAUUUAUAGUAGAAGGGAAAAAAAUUUAAAAAAUUUCAGCGACCAUUUUGGUCACUAUUUUCACGAGCCACAAGCCGAUCGUGGGUGGCUCGUCUUCAAGGUGAGCCAAGCGGGCUCGGCUCGUUUCUCGACGAGGCCAGCUUGGCUCGUGCUUGGGCUUGUGAUUGUACGAGCUCGAGCCGCCCACAAACUCUAUUUCGAUGAGCCAAGCGAUCGAGCUGACGAGCGGGUCGGCCCUUUUGACAUCCUUAGGAGUAAUGAGGCUCGACUUAAUUAUGGAUCCUUGGUGAAGUAAAAGAAUCUGGUAAAGAAUCCCUACAAACUUCAUUCUAGCCAAUUCUUGGUUUCUCUUUUGAUUCUUGCCAUGUUGUAACAUCAAAUAUCAGCUGUGGCAGUUUGACCCAUUUGUUGGGAAUCUACUUAACGUGUGCAGCGAAAAAUUAAAAAAAAAAUUCAAUUCCCACGAGGAAGAGGUUGUACAUUUUCUAGAUCUGCAAACUUCUUUGCCUUAUCUUUGUUCCAGCAACUUGGAUCUAUCUCCCACAGCUGUCUAAUUGUUCAGCCUCCAACGGUCAUCCACAUAGAGAACAAGAUUGUAGGAUUAAGGUUUUUCUUGUGCUAGAAAGAAUAAUGAAAAAUUUCUAAAGUUUUUGAAAACCUUAAUCAUAUUUAUAUAAGCCCGAAUGGGCUGGGCCGGGCCUGACCUAGUCCAAUAUUUAAUUAACCCAUUUAAUUAAAUCCGGUUCAUGAAUUGAUUAAUCUAAUUAAUCAAUUCAGGCCUAUAAAUAAGCAACCUAAUUUAUUAAUUUAUUCAACACUUGUUAAAUUAAUUAAUUGACAAGUCACAAUCUUCUAAUUCUCCUUUUGUGUGCAACCCAUUAGGUUUCCGAUCACGAUACCUAACGAUGUGAAAUAUUAUUUUGAUCUAAUCAAAAUUGAUAAAUUAAAAUAUCCUUUUAAUUUAUCACCAAUUCACACUCGUUGUCCAAGCUUGACAUAUAACAAUGUGUCAGGGCAAUACAUGUGAUGAGAAAUGUUACGUGGUAUGAGAAAACCAAACUCGUUCAUUUACCGUCAAACUAUAAUCCCUUCGUCAAUAUGAUCCGAUCAAUUACGAGAUAUAGAAGUGUGUCAAUCUCGACUAUCAAUCAUAUCUUUUACUCCACUAAUAAGUCAAUAUAAGUCAAAAACUCCUUUUCGACUUAUGAGUACACCUUGGCCAAGAAUUUUAUUAUUGACUUAAUUGAAUGAAAUGCAGAUCAUAAUCUCUUACUAUGUAAGAGUGACGAAUCCUCUAUUAGUCAUUCACAACCUUCACAUGAUUCUUGACAUACUCGAACGAUGUGGUAUUAGUGGCCCUUGGCAGAGCAACAUCCAACACUGUCAAAGCAUUACUAUCCUCAUAUAAGGUACUAUGAUGACAUCAAGUCAAAGAACAAAUUCCACUACCGAACGUUAGAAAUUAACCACUGACAUUCAGAUAGUUAUCCAUAUAGAAUCUCUCGACGGGUCACCAAUGUUUUGUUCUAUAGCAAAAUAUCCACGGGUUCAUUCAAGUGUCACCACACUUUAGCUUGUGAGAUCAGCUACUUACUUCAUAAGUAAGAAAUAUCACACGUGAUGGUCUAUCUGUAAUAACGAUAUAUAUAUCUCGUUAUUACUUACGACCACAGACGAUUUAAGAUUCAAUCACAUAUAACUUGUAUCUCACAAUCACAACUCCUUGUGAUUAACAAAUUACGAAAAUUUGAAUCUGCGGACUCUAUUAUAUAAUUUAAUUGUAUAUUAAUUAAAUAAUAGAUCUAACAUUAAAUUGCAUUAAUUAUGUAUUAAAAGUAUUUAUAUACAAAGUUGAUUGGAACUAGGACAUAACACUUACACCAUUUAUACCUCCAUUGCUUUCACAAGACACAAGUCUUUGCAGCAUCACGUACUAUCAAACACAUUAAUAUGAUCUAUAUGACAUUAUCAGGAAGGUCACUUAUCAUAUCAAUAGGCUCGAAUUGGGCAAUCUUCAUUCUGCUAUGUAAUUGGCUAACAAAAUUCUGUAACAACUCUCAAUUAAUAAAAAUUUCAAAUUGCCUUAAACUAACUUGCAUGCGUGUAGAAGAUAUAAACAAAUUCUGCAUUAAGUUCACAAAAUUUUGUUCGCUUUAUUUUAAUUUUUUACACCGAUAUUUUUAAUAGUUAUCGAAUUGGUCAUAUCACUAAGAAAGUAGAGAUAAUAUUCAUAGUUGAUAUUUACAUUUGCAUAUGCUUAAAAUAUACUUUUGAACAGAAUUUCAAUAAAAAAAAAAAAAAAUUCAUGUAGCCCAUCCAAACUUAUUCACAACAAUCUUUAGUUGUUAUUAUUAUUAUUAUUAUUAUUAUUAUUAUUAUUAUUAUUAUUAUUAUAACUCAGAUAUCCAAACUUCGCCUAAAUAAUCCUGAGCAGUGGCGGCCUUCCCCCCUGGUUUACCACCCGGCUAAAUCCGGAUGCGAACACAACUUAUACACAAUUGGGCUGGACAUUCAGGAUGCUGCUCUUCUCCCUGUAAACUUUCCUUUACGACGUGCGGACAAGACCCCCGAAGAGGUGACAAAGCGCACCAUAACUUUGCCUCCAUAGAACAACUACCUUCCAACAUAAAUGUUGCCUUCUAGCUACCAUGGGGAGUCGAACCUCCGAUAUCCGUGUGGAACCCUCCUGCUUUACCACUACACCAUGCCCGUGAGGGCACAAUCUUUAGUUUGUUGUUAUUCUUAGUGGUGGACAAGGUGGCCAACUGCUCAUUCUAAUAAAUUAUGAGCAAACAAUAAAAUAAGCACCUCAUAUAUAUUGUUUCAAGUUUUAUUGAAUUGUAUGCAUAUUAUAAUUAACUUUAAUUGGCAUGUCAAUCGUCUUGGACUUUCAAGGUAUAAUCCACUACAACAUUUUAUUAGUCACAAUGAAGAUAAAUUAACAAUAAACAUAUAACAUUUCAUUAGGCAGUAUUACAUUUGCAAAAAUUAGGACAAGAGAAAUGUGAUGUUACAUGUUAAAAUUAAUUUUUUAGUCAAUUUUGAUAAAAAUUGAUGUAAUAGGUGAUUAGAAAGUUAUGAAUAUCAUAAAAUACGUGAUCUAAAUGAAUUAUUGAUUUUGACUUUGAUAAAAAUUUAAAUUUAAAUUCCCAUCCCAAUACCUACUUACCCACAUGAAUAAUGAUUGAAAAUUAGAUGAUGUGGCAUGGCUUAUUAAAACAAAAGAAAAAGAAACACUACCUCUACAAGUGUAAAAAAUCGGGAAAUGGGAAUUCAUUCUACCAUUUUAACCCUACUUUGCGUCGACUCGCGCCACUGCCAAACCCACCCAUCGCUAAUUUUCAAUCCAUCUCCGACGCAACUCCGACCACUGGGUAAAUAGAAAGACUACAUUUCACACCAUUUUUCCCAAAUUUUGUGUCGAUCUUACAACCGAAAACCCAUCCAUAUCGAGUCAAAAUCCGGGGAACUGACCGGAGAACUUUGAGCUAUUUGUAAACAAGAGGUUGGACGUGUUCCUUACAUCCCACCACUUUCAUCAGCAAGUCUGAAACUUGCUCUAACCCUAAAUGAUAGAAAAAGGUAUUUUCUCAUCCUUCCUUGAAUGCAUCCAAAUUUGUUUAAAUUUAUUGUUAAGUGGUCACAUGAGUCCAUAUGUUGUCAUCCUUCGCCUAUUACCCACAACAGAUAACUGAGUUCUAUUGACCUGAGUUUGAAAACUUGAACAGAGCAUAACUUAUACGUCACUCAUUUUUGUUCUAUUCUGGAUCCGAAAUUAUGGAAGAUGAUAACCAUGACUUGUUUAUCAAAGUGUGUACAUUUGAAUAUUUAACCUUUGUUGUAUUUGUUUUCAUCAAUGUCUUUCUUGAUUUCUUCAUGUAUGGAACCGAUCUUUUUAUGACAAACAUAUCUCUUCUCAUUGACAGAGGCAUUGAAGCUAAACAGCCAAACUCUGCUAUUGGUAAAUGUGCUGGGGUUAAACUCAUUAAGAAUAACAAGAAGAUUGCUGCUUUUGUCCCCCAUGAUGUUUGUUUAAAUGUGCUUUACUUUGCUAGUGAAAUUAGUACAUCUAGAAAUGUUCAUACUUCUUAAGCAUGGAUGCCUGAUAUGUAAUUUGCUGGAUAUUAUUUCGUAUUUUCUUUUAAUUUACUGUAUCAGAAUUUGUGUUGCUAUGUGUUGAUAUUUAGAUAAUCAUUUUCUGGUCUCUCUCUCUCUCUUGCAGUUGGAACAUUGCAUGCAUUUUUUUUUAUUGAUAAUCAAGUAAUAUAUUUUGGCCAAAUUAAUUGAAAUCCUAUGUAACUUGGGCAUGCUUUUCGGCCGUGUGAUAGUCCUUUCUAAAUGUGGACAAGGCACAAUGUUGGCUUAAUAACUCAGCUUGGUCGAGCUCGCCUGUACUAGUCGUGGAGGAUCGGCACAACUAUUUCUCCAAGGCCACAACUACUAUUUUGUCCUAGGAUAGAAGGCUAAUAUAAGUCUGUUGUCACAAAAAAGUUUGUUGAUUCAGUUUGUAUAUUUGUUUAUCAAAGUGUGUACACACUUUUGAUAUGUUAGUUUUUUACUUUUGAUAAAAACAACUCUUUCUAUUACACAAUAGUUUGGAUUACGACUAUUCAACUUCGUUCAAAUGUACACGUAUUUGCAUUUUAUUGUUUGACUAUUCAAAUGUACACACGUCACAAUAUUAUUUAUUUACGUGCUUUAUGGUAACCAAUUUUUAUUACCAUUAUUGCAUUGACAAAGGUUUUCAACAUACAGUGAAUUGAAGCACACAUUGCAGUGAGUCUAAUGUCUAAACACAAUAAGAAGAUACUUUGGUUCUUUUCAUUCUUUUAACCGUGUUCUAAAGUCUAAAUAUUUGGGCUUGUCUUAACUUAAUGAGGAAACCGGUUCUGUUGCCUUGUCUUCUACACUUAGCAAAAUGCCCAGUUUAGUAUAGGAAACUUUCAUUUUGGGACACAUAACAAAUGUUAUCAACUACACAACACAAGCAACUUUUGUCAAAUAAUUUGGCCGGGAUGUUUGAAAAUAUAAAUGAGAACAAUUACAUGACAAAUUUCUAAAACCAUAACAUAUGUUACAACGAACCUCAUAACAAUCAUAUGUCAAACGAUCGAACAAUUAUGACAAGAUUAACCGUACAUCUAAUAUCCUACAAUGACCAAACCGUUCGUUCAUUAUGAUAAUCCAUAAAGCAAAUUCAAAUAAGCCGUUUAAGUCUAACCCUUUCCUUUCCCUUCCCAUCACACUUUGCGAUUUCCUAUCCUUUAAUAAAACUCAGGCGCAAUGAUAUGUCCACGUCUAGUUUCUCGCUAAUUCGAGCUAGAUUGUCAAAGAGUUUUGGCAACUCUUCAUAUUCCACGUUCGACGCAUGAUUCACCGCUUCAUUAACGGAACUCGACUCCAUGCUUAACACUUCUUCUUUUACCCAGUCAAAAUAUUCACAAUCAUUACUACAAGUGAAGAACAAUCGUCCUUUGUUACUAACAUCCCAUUCGACCUCAAAACAUUUUCGAUAACCGUGUUUACACGAAGGGCAUCGACGUUUUGAUUGGCAUUGUCCAAAGUAGCGAGUGUCAAAUUCCGGAAUUCCUUCCUCUCAUUCUAGUCGAUCCUAGCUAAAAAAACAAAUAAACAAGCAUGAAUGCAAUUGAAUCACAAAUUCCCAUAUCAACUACCUAAACCUCACCAUCCAUGUCAAAAAGCAUUACCCAAUUUGAUUGUCGACAUUAAAGAAUCAAAAGCAAAAGAGUAAAGGCAGAGCUAUAUGACCGACAUUAACCAUUCAAAACCAACAAUUCUGAUUAUCAAACAAGGCAUUAAACUAUUCGAGUCUCUGUCUAAAUGCAAGCCAUAUAAAAUCAUAUUAUCAAUGCCAUAUUAUUGAGUGUGGCCCCUUGAAAAAUCAACAUUGGGGAGAUUUAAUGUAAGAAUAAAAAAAAACCACCAAAAUUAAAGUAUAGAACCAGAAAAGAAGAACUACUUAUACAUUAUCACCGGAGAUGGAGCACAGUGUGGAGGUGAACGGAGUUCAAUGCGUUGUCGGCGAUGGCAAGUGAGUACGAAUGGCGGAUGCUAACUUGGUAUACCCUUCGUUGGUGCCGAUCUUUUGUGAUGGUGAGUGCAUACAUGGAAAAGUGAUUUGGGAGGAAUGAAAGAAAUUUCUUGAUAGUGCUUGGAGGAAAAUGGUUCAGACGGAAUGGGAGAAAUGGGAGAGAUAGUUUGGGGCAAGUUUUGGGGGAAAUUUUUGUAGUGGGUUUCUUUAUCUUUUUUUUUUUUAGUUUGUUUGUCUUUUUAUUUUUUAAUUAAUAGGCCAUGCCGCCUCAUCAAAUUUAAAAUCCUUUACCCAUUCUGUAGUGCCUUUUCUGUACCCAUAGCUAAAUUGUACCUCAUAUGCUUCAUAUGAGAUGUAUAGCACACUUUCCUCAAUAAUUAGUUAAUUACUUUACUAGUCUUCUCUCCUUAAUAAUUACUUUACUAGUCUUCUUUCUUCAUCCGUUUACAUUUCCUUCCAUUUUUUGGUUCAGAGCUACAACCUCCAUUUCCAUGGCUUCUAUGCUAUAAGCUAAUCAAACCUUUCUGCUUUUGCUUCAGUGGUAGCGCUUAUUGUGUUUUAAGCAAAAAUUUAGAGGGUAGACAACAUUCGCUUUCACUAUCUUUCUUUUUCCCUGCAAUUCGACCAUCCUUUCCUUUCCUUGCAAUGGAUAUCUCAUUCACUGAUCCGUUUACUAGUCCUAUAAAUCUCCUUGAAAUUGUGAUCGAGCAUAUAUCACGUGUCUCCUCCUCACAUGUACAUAUAAUUUAUAUGUUAACUGUGCUUCGAGAUUUACUAUACCGUAGAGACUUUGAAGAUAUUGAAGAAUUCAGAAACUUUUUCCAAGUAUUAGUGUCAUUUGGGCAAGAGCUUAUGGUGCUCUUUACAGUCCCUAACCAGCAAAUCUUGUUCAAUUUAACUCCUACUCUCAAUUAUAAUGAAGUUGGUGUGGCCUUCAUCAACUUUUACCUCUUAAUGGUAGAAGUUAUCAUACAUUUUGAGGAAGAGUUGAUUGCUUGUUUAAAGGGUACGUUCCAAAAUCUCCGGACAGAGCUUGGAUUUCUCAUAAAUUUUCUUGGGGAUACAGCAAUGCAUUUGCAGCCCACCUAGACUAUAUUGAUAGAUAUCGAAGAUGUGGUCAAUGAGGUAGGAAUUUUCUUGUAUUCCUUACUUUUGGCCAUUGUUGUAUUUAUUCUGAUCAAUAAAGAAGAAGAAGCCUGUACUAGAAUAAUGGAUUUGGAAUUUGUGGUUGAUGAGGUAAAAAGUCUAAUUCAUUCCAAAUUUUUCCACUUACCAUUGCUAUCCACUAUGGUGAAGUGAAGAAAAAGAAGAAAAAAACAGAAAAAGGCAAUGAUGGAUAUCAAAGCUCUGCUCCCAAAAAUAGGAAGUUUAUUAUAUAUCUUUAUUUUCACCGAGGAUGAUCAAGUUAUGGAGACAGGAAUCUUGGAUCUUGCUCUUUCUGAUUUAUUUACAAACUUUGAGACCUUGAAAGCAAAGAUUAAAGAGCACUGCAUCACGGUCUCAAAGAUGCCAAGUGAUAUCGCUCCAAAGACUAGUGUGCUUUCACUCUUCAUUAUUGAUUCUGUCCUUGAUGAUCUCAUAGAUCUAAUAAAUAACAAGUCUGACUGGAUUGUUGUUGUGAAUGAUCAAAUUGUAACACUCCACGAGGAGCUAAUGUUAUUGGGAUCAUCCAUCACAGAUAUAGCACUGCAGCACGAAGUAGAACAUGAAGAACUUGUGACACGGAGCAAAGACAUAGUAUAUGAAGUUGAAUUUGAAAUCAACUCAUUUCCUCAUGUUUGGUAUCUUAUUCUCCGGCUCCCUCAACUCAUCGACAAGAUUCGGCUUAUUGUGAUGGCUAUCAAAGAAAUGAAGAACAAUAUUGAAGUAGUCAGAAUGUCAAAUGUUUCAAAACAUCCACAUGAACACGUAGAGCCACAGUCAAAAGAACCUUCCAUUUUGGAAGACAUUGUUGUGGGAUUUGACAAUGUAGUAAUUGAAAUCACAGAACAACUUGUUGGAGGAACAGGCCAGCUGCAAAUUAUUUGCAUCUUUGGGAUGUCUGGACUUGGUAAAACGACCUUGGAAAAUAAAUUAUAUAAACAUCUCUCCAUUUUAUACCAUUUUUACAAGCGUGCCUAGUGUGUUGUUUCUCAAAUAUAUACUAAGAAAAAUAUAUUGAUUGAAAUUUUGGGCUCAAUGAAUAACAGUAAGAGGGAUACAUACAUGAAAAAGGAGGAAGAAAUCUUGGUUCAAGAUCUUUACAAAAACUUAAAAAGAAGGCGAUUCCUCAUUGUGAUAGAUGACAUUGGGAUAUCAGUGUGUGGAUUGAUUUGAAAAGUUGUUUUUUAGAUGACGGAAUUGGAAGCAGAAUCUUAUUCGCUACUCGAAAUAAAGAAGUGGGUUUGAAGGCUUCAGCUCGCAAUGUCAUAAAUGAACUUCCUUUUUUGUUAGAAGUUGAGUGUUGGGAAAUAUUACAAGGGAGUGUUCAAAGAUAGAAAAUGUCCUCAAGAAUUGCUAGAUACUGGCAAGCUAAUUGUAAAAAACUAUCAGGGCCUACCACUUGCAGUGGUGGUAAUAGCUGGAGUUCUUGCAAACAUGGAGAAGUGAAAAAAACCUGUGGAAAAAAAUUGCAUGAAAUUUAAGUUCACAUAUAUCCGAAAUACGAGAGAAGUGCAUCCGAACAUUGCAAUUUAGCUACAAUCAUUUACCAAUGCAUUUGAAACCACGUUUUCUUUACUUUGGAGCAUUCAAAGAAGACAUGGAUAUCCCUGCACGGAAGUUGAUAUUUCUAUGGGUUGCAGAAGGAUUUAUAAAGAAGGAAGAACAGAAGAACAUAGAGGAUGUGGCACUAGAAUAACUAAUGAAACUGAUCGAUAGGAGCCUAGUACUUGUUGCUGAAAGAAGUUUUGAUGGAAGAGUCAAAACAUGCAAGAAUCAUGAUCUAUUGCAUGAAAUGUGCUUGAGAAUAGCUGAAGAAAAUAACUUUUUGAAGUUGAUCAAAGUGUAUUUCAAUGUUUUUCUUCUAUUUCCUUUCUUUUCUGUCCAUUUUUUUUAUUUUAGCUUACUAAGAAUGGUUAUUAUAUUUGAUGAUCGUAACAUGAUGUGAUUCUGUUUUUUUUUUUUACCAGUAAUGAUGAUGAUGAACAACGGUUCUUCAGUCAAGUAUCGACGUAUCAACAGUACCAUCAUCUGAGUAUCAACUAUGCAAAAUUUCUUAGUUCACUACCUGUUGGUCUACACGUACGCUCUCUUCUAUUGGAUUUGGAUUUUAUGAGUUCCAUCAAAUUAAUCUCAUGCAGCUACAAAGUUUUUAGGGUCUUUUGUGGAUGGUCACUGUAUGACUUUCUAAUAGGACUUGAAUAUCUGGUUCACUUGAGGUAUUUGGAAAUUUCAUGUACACUGCCACAAAUGGAAAACUUCCACAUAUUAGAAUUUCGUGUUGUGUACAAUGAUGAUGAAAUUGAAUUACCAGAGAUCCUUCUUAAUAUGGUGAGUUUGAGACACAUGGAGUUUAAGGGUGGUGCGUACUUCAUUGAAUCUAGUCGUCAACUUGCAACUAACAAUAAGAGCUUCCAAAUAAAUAACCUACAAAGUAUUUUUGUACUCUCAAUUUAUGAUGAAAUGGAUGAGAGUAUUUUGAGAAGUUCACCCAACCUUUGCAGAGUGGAAGGCAGAGUUGAGAAUUCAUUAAAUUGUUCCUUCAACUUCCUUAAUCAGCUCGAAUCACUGAAGCUAUCAACAGCACAUGGUACGCUUUAUUGGCGUUCCAGUUUGAUUAGUUGGCCCUUAAAUCUAAAAAAAUUAACUCUAGUUGGUGUAUAUCUGUCUCGAAAACAAAUGGAGAUAAUUGGAAGAUUGCGUUGCCUUGAGGUUCUCAAAUUAGUGUCUGCUGCCUUUGAGUGGGAACAAUGGGACACAAGUGAAAGUGAAUUCCCACAACUUAAAUACUUGAAACUUUGUGCCGUAAAAAUUGCAGAAUGGAAUGCCUCAAGUGAUAAUUUCCCAAGGCUUCAACGAAUAGUAUUGGAACAUUGCAAGAAUCUAAAGAUGAUCCCUUCCAAUUUAGGUGAUAUUCCAACGUUACAGAAGAUUGAGUUAUUUAUGUGUGGUCAAACUGCCAACGAAUCAGCAAAGAAAAUUGAGGAAGAGCAAAAGGAGAUGGGGAAUGAAAAUUUUGAAGUCACAAUCUGUAGCACAUUUGGUGAUAUUGAAGCCAUUCUUUCACACAUUUCCCCGCAGAUGAUGAAGGAAUUCAACAGCAGGGAAAUUCAGAAGGUAAUAAUGAAAGAUAAUUUCUCUUUUAAUUCUCUUUCACGUUCUCAUCUUGGUCCUGUUAUACUAAAAUGAUGUUGGAUAUUGGUUAAAUAAAUUGAGAAUUGAAAAUCGAUUAAAGUUCGUAUCGAAUUCGGCCAAAUACUCAAAAGCUCGACUCAAUCCGUUUAGGCAAAAUUGUUUGCCACUUCGCCGCUUCGGGGCGCACAAACGGGGAUCGACCUGCCCGGUCAGGUCGCGAGGGUCGAGGGGGCAGCGCCUCUCGUGGGGGUCGGGGGCAACGCCCCCGAAAGAGAAUUUUGAUUUCUCUGCAUGUAUUGAAGGGUAUAUUUGGCAUUUCGAAAACCAAUAUCGGAUGAAUGAGAAAUUACGAAAAAGACCUCAACCAUUAGUCAAUAGACACCUUUUCAAAAGGUGCAUUGUUUGGAAAGGGUGCAUGGUUUGGCCUCAACCAUUUCGUCCACACCCUUUCUUGGUCUAUAAAUAGGACCCUUUGGGUGUCCUAUUCCACACAAUUUGAUAUGCAAAAACGUCUCUCAUCCUCUCUUCUAUCCAAAAUCAAAAUCAUUUUAUUUAUUUUGAUUUUCUUUCAUUUCAUCUGUGGAGUACAUAAGUCUACAUUUGGUUCGUUGUACUUGUGUUUUGGAGUGCUACAAACACAAGUGUAGCCGUUGUAUCUUGGGAGUCGAUUGCCGAAAUCCGUAGGCACCGUUGCGGGGCAAAUUCGACUUAAGGACAAAGAGUCCAACUCUUGCCUCGGCUUUGUCACCAUCAUUAUACUUAUUUCGGCGUCACUAUUCACAAAAUUCUUCCAACAAAUGAAACAUCAAAUAAAAUUUUUGGCUUAUAUUGAAAUUAACCCCUGUUUAGUUCAAAUUAAAAUCAGAUUUUUAGUAGAUUUUCAUAAAGGUUGAUAAAAUGUGUGAUUGAAAAGUUAAUAAAAGUUACAAAUCUCAUAAAAUGUGUGUUGAAAAUGAGUUUGGGGGGAAAAAUGAGUUACAAAAAAUUGGGACCAAACAGGAGCUAAGGUUGGCUCUAUUUUAUGAGCCUCUUGAUGUUAUUUUAGGAAUUACUAAACCACAAGGUUCUAUGUUUUGGCAUUGCUUCUCUAUUAUUUCAGCUUUUCAUAUUUUUUACUAUAAAAUCAUGUUGACAUAAAAUCACAACGAUCACAUUUUCACUUCUAGCUCAUUUUAGUCCUCAAAAUAAUUUCAUUGUUUAGCUCAAGUCCUCCAUUAAUUGCAUGGGCAGUCCUUCAAUGCCCAAACUUGAUAUCUUUGUCCUAGAUUCUAGAUUCCAUCCAAUUUCCAUCCUUCUUGAUCAAAUAUCGUCCCUUUUUAUUCUUUCUUGUUCAAGACUAGUUUUUCUCUUAAAAUAAUCAAUAAAAACACAAAAUUAAAUAUCUGGCUCAUAAAAUUACCCCCAAACACCCUCUUUUGGUGGCUUGGAUAAGUCUAAAAUCACACUUACCAGCUGUCAUAGAUAUGCAACUUCAAGAGUGGAAUGAUAUUUCUUCGAGGUAAAUAGCAACUUACUCAAUUGUGUUAUAUGUUUAUGUCCGUAUAAUUCAUCUUCUACUUUGAAUGAGGACAAGUUAAUUCAAUUGUGUGAGUAAUAUUCUAAAGAUUUUAGGGAGAAUUACAGUUGGGGUCUCAAACUUUUCAAAUUAUUGUAGAUCACACCCAAACCUUGUGUUUUUAUUGUAGCUAAAGGACAUGUGGACAGAAUUCAUCAAUUUAAUCAUCAGUUUACCAAAAAUACUACCUAACACAAUUUUUUUAUUAUAUUUUUUAUGUAAUUAUUUAAAUUAUUUUAUAUGGGAUAACAUGGUUAGAUCGUUGACUUUUGGUCAACUAAUGGUCAAAUGAAUGGAUUCCAUCCACAUGUCGGCUUGGGUAUAGUUUGCAACAAUAUAAAAGGUUUGGGACCCCAGUUGCAAUUUCUCCAAGAUUUUAAACAAGUAGAGAUCUUGGCACUUGAUGAGUAAAUUUACACAUAUUAUUGAUAUACACACAAGAUUUUAAAGGGUUAGAGACGUUAGUGAUCUUGCAGAAAAGUUGACUGUGAUAAAAAAAAAUGUGUACCCAUUAGUUUACAUGUUUGUAACAUUGGCGCUAAUUUUUUCAGAUGUCCAUUCUCGAUGAUUGAGAUUUUCCAGAAUUGAUUGCGUAAUUGGAAGGGAGAUCAAUGGUUGAGUGACACAUUGGUGGCAUAUAUUGAGAGCGAUGUAUUUGACAAUAUUGAUAAUGAUGUAAUUAUAUGAUGUUUCCAAAGUAUUAAAAUUUGUAUAAUGCAGUUAUAGUAAUGUAUUGACUUAUUUUCAUAUAUAUAUAUAUAUAUAUUUUUUUUUUUUUAAAGAAAAUUGUACCUUAAUUUUUUAUCCUACAAUGAAAAUUGUGUGGCUCCACCAAUGAUAAUAGGCUUGAUAAAAACAAUUAUCUUUGGUGGAAAAUCAACUUCUGAAUGUCGUCAUGGCUAGUGGAUUAGAGGGUUUUAUUGAUGGCACAUAUACUUUUCCAUCAAAGAUUGUUGAAGAAAUGCUCAUCCUAAACCCCCACAGUAAGCAGCAUGGCAGAGGUUUAAUAGGCUUGUAAUGAGUUUGAUUUACAACUCACUAAGGAAUUAUGUCUCGAAUAGUGAGUGGAUUUGAUUACUGCUGAUGAUAUCUGGACUUCGGGUCGAAAUUUUUAUUAACUUUUCAGAAUUAUGACUUCAAGGUCUUAAUUUCCAAUCUCUUGUUGUUCUUAGUUCUUACAGAAUUUGCUUCACAGAUUCUUAGAGUGCUUGCUCAGACCCUCUGCCAGAGAACUUUCCCGAUCAAUAAUUUGGUCAGGAGUUCUUGUAUGUGCACCCACCACCACCAUGUAGUCGGCCAUUUCGACCGGCACCAAAGAAGCAUAUGAAUCAACUCAAACUCCUUUACCGAAGCAGAGCUCUGUAUCGAGAUUUUCGCUGUGGUUUCUCUGUUUUACUAGACUCCAAAAUCCAGCAUCCUUCCAUAUUUUCCUCGCAUCUGGGAACCAAAAUAAAGCAUGUGCCACAAUGAAAUCUCUAAGUGAUUAACAUAGGAGGAGCCAUUGUAAUUCUUCUUUAAAUAAAGUCAUAAGAUUGUUGGUUAAGGGAUUCCUUCAAAUAUAAUAGAAGAAGAGAGAUGGUAGAUUUUCAUGUAUAUCAAAUCGAAACAGCAAUCUCUCCACAUAUGGAUGUUAGUAGGCCUUUCAUGGGCGGACCCAAGAAGGGUCCCCUAGGGUUACUUGAUCCUCCAGUUUUUUCAACACUUUUUUUUUUUUUUUUUUGUCUUAGUUUUCGGGCUCACUAUGAAAUUUCAAAUGAAAUUGAAAUACUAUAUUUUUAAUAUCAUUUUGAAGUACUCACAGUCUAGUAUUUUCAUAUCGUUAAUGUUGUGUGAAAUAACCAAUCGUAGCAAAUGUUAUGACGCGUCAAAAUAGACAAUUUCAAAUUAAUAUUUCGAGAAUUUCGAUAACGAACUAACUUUAAAAAUUUUUCGACAACUAUACACUAGUCAUAUACAUAAAUCUUCUAUAUCCUCUUGAAGCUCAUUUCUAAAACUAUAUCAUAAACACAUUGAAUAAUCUAAAUAAAUAUCGAAAAUAGUUAAACGUACGUCAAACGUGUAUGCUAAAAAGAAACGUAUAACUUGUCUUUUUUGAAAAAAAAAUCAAUUAUUUUAUUAAUGCUUAUUAUUUUUGUGCGAAAAAUUUCUCAAUAUAAUUUACAUCAUUUAAUUAGGAAAUUUUAUAUGUGGUAUGAAGUCAAAUUUUUUUUUUUUUGACGUAAAAAUUCUUUAAAAAUUUUUUAUUACUUCAUAGGGGUUAAAAUUAUUAUACUACGUUUUCUUGGUUAUUUUUAUUUCUGAAAAAAAAUUUACAUGUAAAAAAAUUCAAUCAUUUUUAGGAAUUUUUUUAUAAUUGUUAUCUUUUCUUCUCGAUCAAUUUUUUUUUUCAAAUGACUCAAAAAUUAUAUUAGGAAAUUUAUUAGAUUAAUUUUUAAAAAAUUAAUGAUUGAGAGAAAAAAGUAACAAUAAUAAUAAAAAAUCCUAAAAAUGAUAAAAAAAAUUUAUAUAUAUAUAAAAAAAAAUUAGAUAUAAAAAUAAUCAAGAUGAAAAAGUAGUAUAACAAUUUAUAACCAAUAUAAAGUAAUAAAAAAAAUUCGUCUUUUUUUUUUUUUAAUUUGAUUGUGACCCCCUAAUAUAAAAUGUCUACGUCCACCUCUGACGCCUUUCCAAAGCGUUGCAAAUCUAUUCAUGAUUACAAUCAUAUAAUGGUGGCUGCUGGGUUUAUAUAGUACACACAAAAGACAAUGGAAAAGGGAGGCUGGAAGAGAAGAAAAUAAAUGGCGGCUGCUAUAGAAGAAAGUUGUGGUUGCCAGAGAAAGUUUUUCUUUCAACUCAACUUUGGGUGUGGAAUUCACGCAUGCUUUUAUUUUUAUUUUUAUUUUGCUUCGCUACAUAGUACAAAUUGUGAAUUGCUCUAAAGUAUAUUUUGGUAAUUCUAAAGAUGUAGUAUUCAAAGUAGGUAUCUCACAAAUUUCAUCAAAGUGAUUGUUUGUGAUGAGAUUAUUUCUUGUCCUUGGAGAUUGAUUAUUGUGGUAUUCUCCAAUUUGUUGACAAUUCAAAUUUUUGCUUAAAUUUGAAUAUUGUAAUAUAUAUUUAUCAAUUUGGAUUUGGCUUGAGUUAUCCCAUGAUUUUUUCCUGUACACUGGAGGGUUUUUCCAUGUAAAAAUUUGGUGUUGCGUUCUCUAGUUUUUUGCUUUGAUAAUUUACUUUCAUAUUUAAUCAUUGUAUUUAAUUGCUUGGAUUGUUGAAUUUAUUCUUGAAAUAUGCGAAAUUGCUUGGAUUGUUGAAUUUAUUCUUGCAAUAUGUGAAAUUGCCCAACACCUUGGUCCUUCUCAGGUCGCUGCAUCAAUCAUCACUAUACGGAAUUUUUUAGUAAUUGCUACUUGCUAAGUGAUAGGAUAAUUGGUAAUCUGUGAGUUUUUAAUUCCUUUGUUAGCUAAGCAUCAUUCCUAAAUUCAUGAACAUGCCUUGUAGCAUUUUUCUGUGUAUAUAUUCAACAAGACGGGAUGAAAAGAUUCAAGCUUCCCUUCUCAAUUUCUGUUCGACUUUUUAAUUUGCUAUAUGCAUAUUUCCAGAAGCCACUAAGUUAAUACGAAACAAAUAGAAAAAGGAAAUUUUUCUAUUACUAAACGUUGCAAGCUAUACAAUGGACAUAACAUUGCAAGUCAUGCAUUUGGAUGUUUUUAAAGACCAAAACAAACUGCUCCAUUGGAUGAGUAUCACAAGUUAAAAAUUCUACAAUGAAUUUUUGAUGUGGUGCAAAAGGAAUUGGACUUUAUGGAAAAGUGGGAUCGACGCAAGCAAAAAUAGAUAACUUCUCAAUUUUUGGAGAAAUGUUGGGGUUGUCCAUUUUUGGCUAAAUUUUAGUCAAAUUUGAUCGAAAACAUGUCAAUGAACAAAACUCAGCAGUUUUCCAUCUGAUGUAGGCCCAAUUUCGGCCCAAUUCUUUUGUUUAAGCUUUUUUCCUUUUUUGGUAAAUUUUGUUUUGGUUAUAUUUUUUUCAAUUUAAGUCAGAUUUGAAUUCCAUUUGUUGGAGGAUAAUCUUUAUGAUUAAAACUUUCAAUUUUAGUCAUUAUCUCGAUUUUUUCAAGUUUUGAAAAAAAAAUUAUUAUUAUUUUUUAUUUUUUCGAAUUUUCCUAGGGUUUUUCCUAUAUAAAAGCAUUGUAAGCCCUUUAUGGUCACGCUUUUGAGAGAAAUAGAUUUUUUUCAUGAGUUUUUUUCAUCUUGUUAGAUCUAUUCAUCUUUUCUAUAAUUUUCCGCUACGUCAAUUUUGGAAACAAAUCAACUUAUUCCAAAAUGACUAGGCCAAAACAUCGAAAUAAGUUAAAUCAUAGUCUACGUUAUUUCUUUCACGACGUAUAUCAUAUACUUCAAAUGAGCCAUUAUAUGUAUUUUAUGUUGGCGAAACUAUGAAACUGUGUAGAGUAAAUUUACAACAAUUACUAUUGUUAGGAAAAGUAUUUUAGUGCCACUGUUUCAGAAGUUACAUGACAUAUUGGCCUCUUAUUUGGUGAAACAAGAUUUUUGGAAUUGUAUGUGGAUCACAUUAUAGGGUUGCAACCAAUUGAUCUUGCUUUAUUUGACUCUUGCACUACAAUGGAAUUCAUUGAUUCUAUAUGUAGAAUUUCUAUUCAAAACUGGCUCAAUUCGGCUCGAUUCUGAAGAAAACCAGACCAAACAAGGUCGCUUCAUAGUUAACCUACAUUCAUUUUUUUCAAAACCUCAUUCAUUUUUUUCUGUAUUUUUUCUCUGCUCAUGCAAUUUGGAUCAAACAAAAUAUUUGAGAUAAUCUUUUCAAGAAAAAUAAUAAAACACAGCAUUCACAAAUAUGUAACUAAUGCCAAGAUUUCUAUCUGUGAAAGUUGUGACAGUAGGUAAUUCAAAAAUUAUUAUGAAGAUAGUGGAACUUAUUGAUGGAUACAGAUUUGUAUUAUUACCUCCGUCGUUUGUUGACUACAAGUUCACCAAGUUGCAACAUCAAAGGUAAUGCUAUCAACAAUGAGCAAUAAUGCUUACCAAAACAACAUCAAAUUUAUUUGUUAUCUUGCUCAAUCAUGCGCAUUAAUCUAGCAUAUGAAACAUACAAUAUAUUUCCCUAUGCAUAUAAACUGUCUCGAAAUUUUACUCUAAUUUACGAUUUAUAAUCAACUUUUGUGGAAUUGGCACUCUAUUAUUAAAAUUCAAUUGUGUGUAUCAUUUUUAUACACAUAUCUUGAGGUUUGUGAGAACCUAAAAUAUUUUGAGAAAAUGCUUCUUUGUGAUAAAAUGGUUAUGACAUGGGAGAAAAAAGAGGAGUGCGUCUGUGUAGGGGUGGCGGUGGUCAUGGUUGGCAACUAGGGGCGGAAUUAGAGGUGGGCUAGGCUGGGCUAUACAUUUAUUUUCUUAUAAAAAUAUAUUUUAUGACUAAAAAAAAUUAUGUGAAAUUUUUUUCUUUUACAGUUAGCCCAACAUAAAAGAUAUUUUAGUUCAGUCAUGGCUCCGUCUUUUAACAAUGACGACGUUGAUUAGGAAGGAUUUGUUAGGUGGAGUUUGGGGUGAAAUGUAGAAGAUAUUGAAUUUAUUUUUCUCUUUUUCUUUCUUUUUCAUUUUGGCUAUUUAGUUAUUUUUUAAGUGGUUUAAGUGUGUGGACUAUUUUUGUCCUUCCUUAAAAGUCAUGUGCAAGUCUGCAUACUUCACUUAACGGCUGCUUUGGAUGAAAGUCGUUUAGAGGGGAAUUAGUCCUAUUUGGUAUUGAUUAAAAUCAAAAUUUUAAUUUAAGACAAUGUCAACAAACAAUUUUAAUCGCUUAUCUCAUUGAUUUCACAGCUUUUCAAUCAUUUAUUUCAUCAAUUUUUAUUAAAAUAUUCUAAAAAUCUUAUUUUAAUUCUCAUCAAAUAGAUGCUUAAGUUUGCUAAUUUUUCAAAGAUCAAGGGCACAAACCGAACAAAACAUGGUUUGGGAGUAGGUUUGCUACUUUGCUUAAAAGUUGGGACUAAAAUUAGUUUCAUGUGGUGCGUGUUGGGAAAGUGAUUAGAUAAAUAUUUGAUAAUUAUAGUGGUGAUAUCUAUAUAAUAUAUGGACAAUAAAUGAACGAUGCAUAUGAAUAUUAUGACAUACAAAAAUAAAAACAUAAAUUUAAUCCACUUAAAUUAUAAGAGCACUGCUACAUUAACAGGGUCACAGACACCUUGUCAAUAGGAGGACAUGUAUCCCCUUGAAAAAACAAGGCCCAUGUGGCCUUGUUUGAGAAGAGUUAUACAAGUUAUAAUUCAAUCACUUGUGCAAAAUUUGUAAAAAGUGACAUUUUUCAAAAUGUGCUUAUCACAUCAGAUGGAAAUUCAUUUCCAACUUUGAUCAUUCAUUAUUUGGCGCACAAUACCAUGGAACUCCGAAGUCCAAAGUAGUCAACGAAGUUGGAAAUUAUCAUAAAUGAAUAUCAAUUCUUUCAACAGUGCAUUUCAAAUUUUCAGUAAAGCCUAAAGUAGUGAUUUGAAGGUUUUUGUAAUUUACUAAUAAAUUAGGAGUAAAAGAACAAUGGAUCUUGAUAAAAUGGUUAUGACAUGGGAGAGAAAAGAGGAGUGCGUCUGUGUAGGGGUGGUGGUGGUCAUCUGAUACUUUAGGUUUGUGACAACCUAAAGUAUUUUGACAAAUGAUGAAGCGUUUUCUUACCAUGGGCUCGUAAUGUGCAAUUCAAGUCAUUUUUCCUCUAUAUAAAAUUAAAAACAAAUACCAAAUUUGCAAAAACCAAAGUUUAAAUUCAUCACUUUUAAUAUAGUGUUACAUAGUCUAAAAUCAAACACACACCUAUAUUUAACAUAGAAGAUUUCGAAGAAUAAAAGUCACAUGAUCGAGUUAGGAACUUUUCAAUGGUAAGUUAGAAUAAAAGAAAAGAAAAAAUAGUAAAACAGUGUAGGAAUUUGUCAAGAAAAUGUCUUUCCAAAUGAAUCUUUUGGAGCUCUACAUUUUUUAGAUAUUUCAUUUUAAACUAAUUUCACUAAGAUUGAUCAAUUUAAUCCCAAAUAAUUUAAAAUAUUACAAUAUUCUAACAUAACUCUGCCAAACACAAAACAAUAUAGAUAUAUAAAGAUUUUUUGUCACGUACUCAUAUUGUAGCAUUCAAGUUAUUUCGCAACAUCCUUUAAAGAAAGGAGAAUUUUUUUUUUUUUUUUGAAGUGAUUGUGCUAAAUAAUAAGAAACAAUAAGUGGAUAUUAGAUAUUAAAUUGUAACGGACAUUAAAAUUGAUAAUAUUUUAAAGGAUGAAAGUUAAAUAAUGCAGGUAAAAGAUCACUAAGCAAUGGGGGUGAUAGAAAUAAGAAACAGAAAUUUCUAUUAAGCAACAGAAAUAAGCACCAUUGCAGUUUGAAAUCUAUCUUAAUUUGAACUAUAUCAAUAUGAUACUAAACUAACAAGGUAGUUGAUUAGUUUCUUAAGGGAAAUUGGCACAAAACGUCCCUACCUUUCAAGUGUAUUGUGGAAAACAUCCCUACCUUUCAUUUUUUGGCACAAAACGUCCCUACCUUCCACUUUCUUGGAGCUGAACGUCUUUUUCAUCAAUUUUUGACGAUUUUACCCUCCAUUCAAAUAAAACAAAAAGAAAAGAAAGGAAAAAAAACAAAAAACUAAUUGCAACCACAUUCCCAAAUUUUCUAAAAAUUGCAAAUGGUAACUUGAUAAUUACCGUAUUAAAUAAAUUGAAAAAAAAUAAAAAACUUCAGAAAAAAAUUUAAAAAAUGGGUUGUCUUCUUCACCCUACCCUACUAUUCAUCUUCUUCUUUGUAAGAAAAAAAAUUAAGAAAGAGAGACAGAGAGAGACUUUCCCCCAAAAUAAUUAUUUUGGUGCACAACAAAUCCUCCAAAUCCGAAGCCCCAUUACAUCUCUCUGCACUUCCCCUCUUUGUACAAGCUCCUUCAUUUUCAUAUCCAGUAUCAAACCCCAUUGUGCAGAGAGAUGUAAUGGGGCUUCGAAUUUGAAGGAUUUGCUGUGCAGAGAUAUUUUGUAUGGUGGGGUGGGGUGAAUAGUAGUGUAGGGUGAAGAAGACAACCCAUUUUUUUAAAUUUUUUUCUUAAUUUUUUGAUUUUUUUUUCAAUUUAUUUAAUAUGGUAAUUAUCAAGUUACCAUAUGCAAUUUUUAGAAAUUUUGGGAAUGUGGUUGUAAUUAGUUUUUUGUUUUUUUUCCUUUCUUUUCUUUUUGUUUUAUUUGAAUGGAGGGUAAAAUCGUCAAAAAAUGAUGAAAAGGACGUUCAGCGCCAAGAAAGUGGAAGGUAGAGACGUUUUGUGCCAAAAAAUGAAAGGUAGGGAUGUUUUUCACAAUACACUUAAAAGGUAGGAACGUUUUGUGCUAAUUACCCUUUUCUUAAUUAUUACAUAUCAUUAGCAUUAAGCUAGCGGUAAUUAAACAACAGUAUAGCAUUUUUUAUGCCCCGAAAUAUUAAGAUUCGGCACAUGUAAUUGCUUGAUUAAAAUAUAUAUGAAUGAAAAUAAUUCGAUAAAUAAGCUAAAAUUUAAUGGACAAGGUCUUGAAAUCGAAAAUCGAGCUAAUCUUUAUCCAAAAUCAAAAAUAAACUUAAAAGAAUGAAAGAAAGAAGACUUAUUCACGAAAAUUAAAAUAUUACCGGGGUUUGGAUUGAAAUCGACGAUCAGAAAUUAAUUUGACUAGUUAGUGAUUUUUUUUUUUUUUUCGAUUAUAAAUUUAUAUGGAAGAAAGAAACUAAAAUUUGUCUUUUUUGAAUUUAAAAAAUGGUUGGAACUAAUAUAUCAAUGUAAAAUACGUUAUCCACUAGCUUUUAUAAAUAAACGACGUCAAAAUAAGAACUCAUGAUCUUUACUUACUUCGAAAUCGUGUUGAACGAAAAACGUAAUAUAUAUUAAUGACCUGUCUCACAUGCCUUUUGUUUUUGAACCCUAUAGAAUGAUUUUUGAAGUUACCUUAAUUAUUAUUUGAAAAUUAAUCUUUAAAAGAGUUUCCUAAUUUGAAUGUACUUUUGGAGUAAGUCAUAUUAGACCAAAAUUCUCUAAAAAUUAUUAAAAACCAUACCUUCAUCAUCCGAUAGUCUAUGCACAGUUGCUGAAGUGCGGGCAGGGAAUCAAAGAACUCAAUGAAGUUAUAUUUUCUAUGAAUGAUAGAAUUGUAACACAGAGUAGUUAAGGAUUUCUUAAAAUAAACAUAUGCACGGAAACAUUUCAAUUUAACGAGUUUUAGCUUAGGAGCAUCAAUUGUUAAGUGGUGAAAUCCACUCGGACAUGCAACGCCAGUUGCUCCAGUUCUGGUGAGCUAGAUAUCAAACUUCCUAAUACAUCAGUAUCAAUGAUGACAUCAAGCAAUUCCAGUGUAAUCAGCCUAUUUAAACCUUUGAAGCUUGGCAGAGGACUGAUCGAACAAGUAGAAAGUUUCAAAUGUUUCAAUAGUGAACACAUAAACAGUUAAGAAGGCAAUUUGUACGCUUCAUACUUGUUCAUUUUCAAAGUGAAUUCUUCAAUACCUUUCUUCCAUAAGAUAUAUAUCAAAUGGUCAAUUUCAGAACCACCUGUGAGUUUUGGAAUAAUGAGGCUCGACUUAGUUAGGAUCCUUGGUGAAGUCAAAGAAUCUGGUAAAGGAUCCCUGCAAACUUCAUUCUAGCCAAUUCUUGGUUUCUCUCUGAUUCUUGCCAUAACGUAUCAUCAAAUAUCAGCUGUGGCAGUUUGACCCAUUUAUACCUCCAUUGCUUUGACAAGACACAUUAAUAUGAUCGCUAUGACAUUAUCAGGAAGAUCACUUAUCAUAUCAACAGGUUGGAAUUGGUCAAUCUUCAUUCUGCUAUGUAAUUGGCGAACAAAAUUCUGUAAUAACUCACAAUUAAUGAAAAUAUCAAAUUGCCUUAACUAACUUGCAUGCAUGCAGAAGAUAUUAACAAAUUCAACAUGAAGUUUACACAAUUUUGUUCGCUUUAUUUUAGUUUUUUACACCAAUAUUUUAAUAGUUAAAUUGGUCAUAUGACUAAGAAAUUAGAGAUAAUAUUCACAGUUGAUAUUUACAUUUGCUUAUGCUUGAAAUAUAAUUUCGAAAUUGCAAUAGCAAAAAAUUCAAGUGCUUAUUCACACCAAUCUUUAGUUUGUUGUUAUUCUUAGUGGUGGACAAGGGUGGCCAACUGCUUAAGUGCAUUCUUAGUAGUGGACAAGGGUGGCCAACUGCUCAUUCUAAUAAAGUAUGAACAAACAAUAAAAUAAGCACCUCAUAUAGAUUAUUUCAAGUUUUAUUGAAUUGUAUGCAUAUUAUAAUUAACUUUAAUUGGCCUGUCAAUGGCCUUGGACUUUCAAGGUAUAAUCCACUACAAUAUCUUAUUAAUCACAAUGAUUAUAAUUAACAAUAAGCAUUAAACAUAUCAUUAGGCAAUAUUAUAUUUUCAAAAAUUAGGAAAAGAGAAAUGUGAUGUUACAUGUUAAAAUUAAUUUUUUUUUUUUAAAGUUAAUUUUGAUAAAAAUUGAUGCAAUAUGUGCUUAGAAAGUUAUGAAUAUUAUAAAAUACGUGAACUAAAUGAAUUAUUGAUUUUCACUUUGAUAAAAAUCUAAAUUUUAAUUCUCAUCCAACAUACCUACUUACCCACAUAUGCUUCAUAUGAGCUGUGCAACACACUCUCCUUAAUAAUUAGUUAAUUACUAUUACAAACUGAAUCCAAGAAAACAUAGAUGAAAUCAUAAAUUCGCAGAUUACACCAUAAAUCCUAAAUCACAACAUCAAGGCUUAGAUCUUUCAAUCGAAGGCUCAGACCACACCCAUUUACCAUCACAGAGGCACCGGGACUCAAAAACGAACCCUCACAACCCAACACACCAAGGUCACUUCACUGGACUCAAGAAAUCAAACUGCCUACCUUCGAUCGAUCACUCACACAAAGGAAAAUCACACAAGAACAUGAUUAUCACAAAGAUAAUCAACCAGAAAUCUCACAAAGAGAAGAAGGAAGGGUCACACAGACAAAGGAACUCGAAGGUUCCAAACGGCAGAGAGAAAGAGAAAAACAGAAAGUGACGAUCCAAGAGCCAAACAGGGAGUAAGGAGGAUAUUUAUAGUAAAUAUCAUCAACCGUUGAUCAGCGGGUCAAUCCAACGGUCCAAGAGCGACUAAUGGUGUGUGGGCUGGAUAUUGGGCUCGGUUAAGUGGGCCUUCUAGGUAUAUAUUUAAUGGACCAAGUAAUAAAUCCAAUUUGGGCCUUUUCAUCAUUGCCUAACGUUGGACUGGAUCAAAUGGCAUCACAGCCCAACAAUUACUUUACAAGUCUUCUUUCUUCUUCCGUUUACAUUUCAUUCCCCUUUCUGGUUCAGAGCUACAACCUCCAUUUCCAUGACUUCUAAGCUAUAAGCUAAUCAAAAUUUUUUGUUUUUUGCUUCAGUGAUAGCGUCUAUUAUGCUUUAAACAAAAAUUUAGAGGGUAGACAACGUUCGCUUUCACUAUCUUUCUUUUUCCCUGCCAUUCGAACAUCCUCUCCUUUCCUUGCAAUGGAUAUCUCGUCCACUGAUCCGUUUACUACUCCUAUAGAUCUCCUUGAAAUUGUGAUCGACCAAAUAUCACGUGUCUCCUCCUCACAUGGACAUGUAAUUAAUAAGUUAAUUGUUUUUCAAGGAUUACUAUACUGUACAGACUUCGAAGAUAUUGAAGAAAUCAGAAACUAUUUCGAACUGUUAGCGUCAUUUGGGCAAGAGCUUAUGGUGUUCUUUACAGUCCCUAACCAACAAAUCUUUUCCAAUUUAACUCCCACGCUCAAUUCUAAUGAAGUUGUCGUGGCCUUCAUCAACUUUCUCCUCUUAAUGGUAGAAGUCAUCAUACAUUUUAAGGAAGAUUCGAUUGCUCGUGUAAAGGGUUCGUUCCAAAAUCUCCGGACAGAGCUUGGAUUUCUUAUCAGUUUUCUUGGGGAUACAGCAAUGCAUUUGCAGCCCACCAAGACUAUGUUGAUUGAUAUUGAAGACGUGGUCAAUGAGGUAGGAAGUUUCUUGUAUUUCUUACUUUUGUCCAUUGUUGUAUUCAUUCUGAUCAGUAAAGAAGAAGAAGAAGCCUGUACUAGAAAAAUGGAUUUGGAAUUUGUGGUUAAUGAGGUACAAAGUCUAUUUCAUUCCAACUUUUUCCACUUACCAUUGCUCUCCACUAUGGUGAAGGGAAGAAAGGGAAAAAAGGGAAGAAAGAUAAGAAAAAAACAGAAAAAGGCAAUGAUGGAUAUCAAAGCUCUGCUCCAUGAGAUAGGAAGUUUAUUAGGUUUCUUCUUCAUUUUCACCAAGAAUGAUCAAGUUAUGGAGACAGGAAUGUUGGGUCUUGCUCUUUCUCAUUUGUUAGCAAAGUUUGAGACCUUGAAAACAAAGAUCAAGGAGCACUGCAUCACAGUCUCAAAGAUGCCAAGUGAUAUGGCUCCAAAGGCUGGAGUGGUUUCACUCUUUAUUAUUGAUUCCGUCCUCGAUGAUCUCAUGGAUCUAACAAAUAACAAGUCUAACUCGACUGUUGUUGUGAAUGAUCAAAUUGUAAUGCUCCAUGAGGAGCUAAUGUUAUUGGGAUCAUCCAUCACGGAUAUAGUAUUGCAGCACGAAGCAAAACAUGAAGAACUUGUGACACGGAGCAGAGACAUAGCAUAUGAAGUUGAAUAUGUUAUCAACUCAUUUCCUCAUGUUUGGUAUCUUAGUCUUCGGCUUCCUCAACUCAUUGACAAGAUUCGGCUUAUUGUGAUGGCUGUCAAAGAAAUGAAGAACAAUAUUGAUGUAGCUAGAAUGUCAAAUGUUUCAAAACAUCCACAUGAACACAUAGAGUCACAGUCAAAAGAACCUCCCAUUUUGGAAGACAUUGUUGUGGGAUUUGACAAUGUAGCAAUUGAAAUUGCAGAACAACUUGUUGGAGGAACAUGCCAGCUGCAAGUUAUUUCCAUCUUUGGGAUGUCUGGGCUUGGUAAGACGACCUUGGCAAAUAAAUUAUAUAAACAUCCCUCCAUUUUAUACCAUUUUUACAAGCGUGCCUGGUGUGCUGUUUCUCAAAUAUAUAAUAAGAAAAAUUUGUUGAUUGAAAUUUUGAGCUCAAUGAGUAACAGUAAGAGGGAUACAUACAUGAAAAAGGAGGAAGAAAGCUUGGUUGAAGAUCUUUACAAAAACUUAAAAGGAAGGCGAUACCUCAUUGUGGUAGAUGAUAUAUGGGAUAUCAUUGUGUGGAGUGAUUUGAAAAGAUGUUUUCCAGAUGACGGAAUUGGAAGCAGAAUCUUAUUCACUACUCGAAAUAAAGAAGUGAGUUUGAAAGCUUCACCUCGUAGUGUCAUAAAUGAACUUCCUUUUCUGUCGGAAGUUGAGUGUUGGGAAAUAUUACAAGGGAAAGUGUUCCAAGAUAGAAAAUGUCCUCAGGAAUUGGUAGACAUUGGCAAGCUAAUUGCAAAAAACUGUCAUGGCCUACCACUUGCAGUGGUCGUAAUAUCUGGAGUUCUUGCAAACAUGGAGAAGAAAAAACACUUGUGGAAAAAAAUUGCAAAAAAUUUAAGUUCACAUAUAUCUGAAAUACCAGAGAAGUGCAUCCAAACAUUGCAACUUAGCUACAACCAUCUACCAAUGCAUUUGAAACCAUGUUUUCUUUACUUAGGAGCAUUCAGAGAAGACACAAAUAUCCCUGUACGAAAGUUGAUAUCUCUCUGGGUUGCCGAAGGAUUUAUAAAGAAGGAAGAACAUAAGAACAUAGAGGACGUGGCACGAGAAUAUCUAAUGAAACUAAUUGAUAGGAGCCUAGUACUCGUUGCUGAAAGAAGAUAUGAUGGAGGAGUCAAAACAUGCAAGAUUCAUGAUCUAUUGCGUGAAAUGUGCUUGAGCAUAGCUGAAGAAAAUAACUUUUUGAAGUUGAUCAAAGAGUAAGUUCAAUGUUUCUCUUCUAUUUCCUUUCCUUUCUGUCCAUUUUUUUUUUUUUUUUUUUUUUUUUAUUAAAAAAAAAAAAAAAAAACAAAAAAUUGUCCAUUUUUUUUUUUUUUUUUUUAGCUUACUAAGAAUGGUUAUUAUAUUUGAUGAUCGUAAACAAUGAUAUGGUUAUGUUGUUUUGUUACCAGUAAUGAUGAUGAUGAACAACGGUUGUUCAGUCAAGUAUCAACGUAUCAGCGGCACCAUCGUCUGAGUAUCAACUGUGCAAAAUAUCCUAGCUCGCUACCUGUUGGCCUACAUGUACGCUCUCUUCUAUUUGAUUUGGAUUUUAUGAGCUCCAUCAAAUUAAUCUCAUGCAGCUACAAAGUUCUUAGGGUCUUUUGUGGAUGGUCACUGUAUGAUUUUCUAAUAGGAUUUGAAUAUCUGGUUCACUUGAGGUACUUGGAAAUUUCAUGUACACUGCCACCAAUGGAAAACUUCCGCAAAUUAGAAUUUCUUGUUGUGUACAAUGAUGAUGAAAUUGAAAUACCUGAGAUCCUUCUUAAUAUGGUGAGUUUGAGACACAUGGAGUUUAACGGUGGUGCAUACUUCAGUGAAUCUAGCCGUCAGCUAGCAACUAACAGUAAGAGCUUCCAAAUAAAUAACCUACAAAGUAUUUCUGCACUCUCAAUUUAUGAUGAAAUGGAUGAGAAAAUUUUGAGAAGUUCACCCAACCUUCGCAGAGUACAAGUUAGCAUUGAGAAUUUAUUAAAUUGUUCCUUCAACUUCCUUUAUCAGCUCGAAUCACUGAAGCUAUCAACAGAAUACAAUACGCUUUAUUGGCGUUCCAGUCUGAUCAGUUUGCCCUUAAAUCUAAAAAAAUUAACUCUAGUUUGUGUAUAUCUGUCUCGAAAACAAAUGGAGAUAAUUGCAAGAUUGCCAUGCCUUGAGGUUCUCAAAUUAGUAUCUGCUGCCUUUGAGGGAGAACAAUGGGACACAAGUGAAAGUGAAUUCCCUCAACUUAAAUACUUGAAACUUUGUGGUGUAAAAAUUGCAGAAUGGAAUGCCUCAAGUGAUAAUUUCCCAAGGCUUCAACGAAUAGUAUUGGAAUAUUGCGAGAAUCUAAAGAUGAUCCCUUCUAAUUUAGGUGAUAUUCCAACAUUACAGAAGAUUGAGUUAUUUAUGUGUGGUCAAACUGCAAAUGAAUCAGCUAAGAAAAUUGAGGAAGAACAAAAGGAGAUGGGGAAUGAAAAGUUUGAAGUCACAAUCUCUAACACAUUCGAUGAUAUUGAAGCCAUUCUCUCACCCAUUUCCCCGCAGGAGAUGAAGGAAUUCUACGGGAGCGAAAUUCAGAAGGUACAAAUGAAGGAGAAUCUCUCCAUUAAUUCUCUUUCACGUUCUCAUCUUAGUGUUGUUAUACUAGAAUGAAACAUCAAAUAAAUUUUUGGCUAAUAUUGAAAUUAAUGGAUUAAAAUCAUAUUUUUAGUAGAUUUUCAUGAAGUUUGAUAAAAUGUGUGAUUAAAAAGUUAAUAAAAGUUACAAGUCUCAUAAAAUGUGUGAUUGAAAAUAAGUUUGGGAAAAAAAUGAGUUACAAAAAAUUGGGGCCAAACAGGAGCUAAGGUUGGCUCUACUCUAUGAGCCUCUUAAUGUCAUUCUAAGAAUUACUAGCCCAUAAGGUUCUAUGUUUUUGGCAUUGAUUCUCUAUUAUUUCAGCUUUUCAUAUUUUUCUACUAUAUAAUCGUGUUUACAUAAAAUCACAAUGAUCACAUUUUCACUUCUAGUUCAAUUAAGUCCUCGAAAGAAUUUGUUUAUUUAGCCUAAGUCGCCCAUUAAUUGCAUAGGCAGUCCUUCAAUGUCCAAACUUGAUACCUUAGUCCUUGAUUCCAAAUUCCAUCUAACUUCCAUCCAUCUUGGUCAAAUAUCGCCCCUUUUUAUUCUUUCUUGUUCAAUACUGAUUUUUUUCCUAAAAUAAUCAAUAAACACACAGAAUUAAGUUUUCUAGCUCAUAGUGAUCUUGCAAAAAAGCUGACUGUGUUGAAAUAAAGGUGUACCCAUUAGUUUACAAGCUUGUAACAUUGGCGUUAAUUCUUUCAGAAGUCCAUUCUCGGUGAUUGAGAUUUUCAAGAAUCGAUUGCAUAAUUGGAAAGGAGAUCAAUGGUUGAGCGACACUUUGAUGGCGUAUAUUGAGAACGAUGCAUUUGCCACUAUUGAUAAUGAUGUAAUUAUACUAUGUUUUCAAUGUAUUAAAAUUUGUAUGCGGCAGUUAUAGUAAUGUAUUGACUUAUUUUCGUUAAUAUAUUGUUUUUUUAGAAAAAAAUUGUAUCUUAAUUUUUGAUCCUACAAUGAAAAUUGUGUGGCUCCGCCAAUGUUAUUAGGCUUGAUUAAAACAAUUAUCUUUGGUGGAAAAAUCAACUUCUGAAUGUUAUAAUGGCUAGUGGAUUAGAGGGUUUUAUUGAUGGUACAUAUACUUUCCCCCCACAGUAAGCAGCACAUAUACUUUCCCCCCACAGUAAGCAGCAUGGCAGAGGUUUAAUAGGCUUGUAACGAGUUUGAUUUACAACUCACUAAGGAAUUAUGGCUUCAGUAGUGAGUGGAUUUGAUUACUGCUGAUGAUAUCUGGACUUCGGGUCGAAAUUUUUAUUAACUUUUCAGAAUUAUGACUUCAAGCUCUUAAUUUCCAAUCUCUUGUUGUUCUUAGUUCUUACAGAAUUUGAUUCACAAAUUCUUAAGAAUGCUUGCUCAGACCCUCUGCCAGAGAACUUUCCCGAUCAAUAAUUUGGUCAGGAGUUCUUGUUUGUCCACCCACCAUCACCAUGUAGUCGGCCAUUUUGCCCUGCACCAAAGAAGCAUACGAAUCAGUUCAAACUCCUUUACCCGAGCAGAGCUCUGUUUUGAGACUUUCGCUGAGGUUUCUCUGUUUUAUUAGAAUCCAAAAUCCAGCAUCCUUCCAUAUUUUCCUCGCAUCUGGGAACCAAAAUAAAGCACGUGCAACAGUGAAAUCUCUAAGUGAUUAACAUAGGAGAAGCCAUUGUAAUUCUUCUUCAAAUAAAGUCAAAAGAUUGUUGGUUAAGGGAUUCCUUCAAAUAUAAUAGAAGAAGAGAGAUGGCAGAUUUUCAUGUAUAUCAAAUUGAAACAGAAAUCUCUACAUAUGGAUGUUAGUACGCCUUUCCAAAGCGUUACAAAUCUAUUCAUGAUUACAAUCCUAUAAUGGUGGCUGCUGGGUUUAUAUAGUACACACAAAAGACGAGGGAAAAGAGAGGCUGGAAGAGAAGAAAAUAAACGGCGGCUGCUGUAGAAGAAAGUUGACUGUGGGUGUGGAUUUGACGCAUGUUUUUUUUUUUUUUUUUUUUUUUUUUUUUUUUAAUUUAGUACAAAUUGUGAAUUGCUCUAAACUAUAUUUUGGGUACUCCAAAGGUGUAGUAUUUCACAAGUUCCAUCAAAGUGAUGGUUAGUGAUGAGAUUAUUUCUUGUCCUUGGAGAUUGAUUAUUGUGGUAUUUUCCAAUUUGUUGACAAUUCAAAUUUUGGGACAUAAACUUAAAUAUUAUAAUCUAUAUUUAUUGUAGUGGAUUUGGCCAGAGUUGCCCCUUGGUUUUUUCAUGUACACUGGAGGGUUUUUUCCACGUAAAAUUUUGGUGUUGCUUUCUCUAGUUUUUUGCUUUGAGUAUUUACUUUCAUAUUUAAUCACUGUAGUUAAUUGCUUGAAUUGUUUAAUUUAUUCUUGCAAUAAAUGAAAUUGUCCAACACCUUGGUCCUUCUCACUUUUCAGAUUGCUGCAUUUUUCAGUAAUUGCUACUUGCUAAACGAUAGGAUAAUCAAUAAUCUGUGAGUUUGUAAUUCCUUUGUUAGCUAAACAUCAUUCCUAAAUUCAUGGACGUGCCGCCGUAUAGCAUUUUCUUUGUAUAUAUUCAAUAAUACUAAAUAAAAAGAUUCAAGCUUCCCUUCUUAAUUUCUGUUCGAAUUUUUAAUUUGCUAUAUAUAUGCAUAUAUUUCCAGAAGCAGCUAAGUUAAUACGAAACAAAUAGAAAAAGAAAAUUUUAUUAUUCAAAAAUCUUUCACCCUAUCUAUCCUCAAAGUUCAAAACAGGAGGGGGUGUUUCUCCUUUUUCAGUAUUAUUAUGCAAUUGACUCUUCGUGUAAAGAGUUGAUAGAACUGAUUGACUCAAAAAGAUAAUAUAUAUGGAGGUACCAACAAUAAAUGACAACGUCAUUAUAGUUGAUGACGUAAAAUAAGUAUAACUUUACUGAAAUAAAUGACGGGCAUCAUUUUUUACCGCUAUAUCAUCGACUUCCAAGUGACAGAAUUAGACUAAGAGCAUCUAAGCAUCUGAAUUCCUGAACCCACCAUUCUUUCAAAAGAUUUUUGAUAGGUCAAGUUUGAAUAAAGUUCAUUUCUAUUCAUCAAAUUAAACUACUAGCUCUAUCACAUUUAUCGACCUUUAGUUCAUUCUUAUAGACAUACUCCAUAAGUAUUAGUUAACAUAGUAGGCCAAAAUUGUAGAUUACGUACUUGUCCAUGUAAAUUGAUUUAUCAUAUGAUCUUUUAAUUGUCCACCUCAACUCCUCCAGUAAUUUGUCUUGAAUGUCCAAUAUUUUAAAAGCAUUAAAGCGUCCUUUGUGAUAUCCAAGUUCGAACAAGUAGCUAUAGACAUGUCUUCGAUGUGAUAUUGAAGUAUUAAGAAAUAAAAUUAAAUUGCUUACAAACUAAUUAGUUCACAUCUACCCUUCUACAAUAUAAAGAUAGCUUAGUUGAGCUUGUAUAGAGAGCACAAGUUUUUUGAAAAAGAUAUUUUUCACAACAUAUUCCAAGUAAUCCAGUUUUGAAGUCAACAAAACUGCAAUAUUGUGAUGUGAUCCAAGAAGCACAAGUAACAAAGUCAAGUCCAGAGUCGAGCCCAAGGAAAGAUCCGUUGAUAGUCGAGGGGCCAAUGAAUCUCAGUCUCAAAGAUGCCAAGUGACAUGGCUCCAAAGACUGGUGUGGUUUCAGUCUUUAUUAUUGAUUCCGUCCUCGAUGAUCUCAUGGAUCUAACAAAUAACAAGUCUAACUCGAUUGUUGUUGUGAAUGAUCAAAUUGCAACGCUCCACGAGGAGCUAAUGUUAUUGGGAUCAUCCAUCACGGCUAUAGUAUUGCAGCACGAAGCAGAACAUGAAGAACUUGUGAUACGGAGCAGAGACAUAGCAUAUGAAGUUGAAUAUGUUAUCAACUCAUUACCUCAUGUUUGGUAUCUUUCUCUCCGGCUCCCUCAACUCAUUGACAAGAUUCGGCUUAUUAUGAUAGCUGUCAAAAAAAUGAAGAACAAUGUUGAUGUAGUUAGAAUGUUAGUUGUCUCAAAACAUCCACAUGAGCUGGUAGAGUCAGAGUCAAAAGAACCUCCCAUUUUGGAAGAAAUUGUUGUGGGAUUUGACAAUGUAACAAUUAAAAUUACAGAACAACUUGUUGGAGGAACAGGCCAGCUGCAAAUUAUUUCCAUCUUUGGGAUGCCUAGACUUGGUAAGACGACCUUGGCAAAUAAAUUAUAUAAUCAUCCCUCCGUUUUACAGCAUUUUGACAAGCGUGCCUGGUGUGUUGUUUCUCAAAUGUAUAAUAAGGAAAAUGUUUUGAUUGAAAUUUUGAGCUUAAUGAGUAACAGUAAGAGGGACACAUACAUGAAUAUGGAGGAAAUAAGCUUGGCUAAAAAUCUUUACCAAAGCAUAAUAGGAAGCCGAUACCUCAUUGUGAUAGAUGAUAUAUGGGAUAUCAAUGUGUGGAUUGAUUUGAAAAGAUAUUUUCCAGAUGACGGAAAUGGAAGCAGAAUCUUAUUCACUACUCGAAAUAAAGAAGUGGGUUUGAAAGCUUUACCUCGUAAUGUCAUAAAGGAACUUCCUUUUCUGUCGGAAGUUGAAUGUUGGGAAAUAUUACAAGAAAAAGUGUUCCAAGAUAAAAAAAUGUCCUCAAGAAUUCCUAGACAUUGGCAAGCAAAUUGCAAAAAGCUGCCAGGGCCUACCACUUGCAGUGGUCGUGAUAGCUGGAGUUCUUGCAAACAUGGAGAAGAAAGAACUCUUGUGGGAAAAAGUUGCAAGAAACUUAAGUUCACAUAUAUCCGAAAUACCAGAGAAGCACAUCCAAAUAUUGCAGCUUAGCUACAACCAUUUACCAAUGCAUUUGAAACCAUGUUUUCUUUACUUUGGAGAAUUCGAGGAAGACAAGGAGAUCCCUGUAAGGAAGUUGAUAUCUCUCUGGGUUGCCGAAGGUUUUAUAAAGAAGGAAGAAAAGAAGAACAUAGAGGACGUGGCACGAGACUAUCUAAUGAAACUGAUUGAUAGGAGCCUAGUACUUGUUGCUGAAAGAAGAUAUGAUGGAGGAGUCAAAACAUGCAAGAUUCAUGAUCUAUUUCGUGAAAUGUGCUUGAAAAUAGCUGAAGAAAAUAACUCCUUGAAGUUAAUCUCAGAGUAAGUUCAAUGUUUCUCUUCUUUCUCCUUUCCUUUCCAUCCAUUUUUUAUUUUAGCUUACUUAGAAGGUUAUUAUAUUUGAUAAUCGUAACAAUGAUGUGAUUAUGUUGUUUUUGUUGCCAGUAGUGAUGAUGAUGAUGAAGAUAAACAACAGUUCUUCAGUCAAGUAUCAACGUAUCAGCAGCACCAUUGUUUGAGUAUCAACUACAUGGACUAUCCUAGUGGCCUACACGUACGCUCUCUUCUAUAUGAUUUUGUUUUUGAGAGCACAGUCACAUUAAUCUCAUGCAGCUACAAAGUUCUUAGGGUCUUUGAUUUUAAGAACAGGUCAACAAUCCUAGAUCUAGUGAUAGGAUUUGAAAAUAUGGUUCACUUAAGGUACUUGGCAAUUUCAUAUAAAUGGCAACCAUUGGAUUUGGAAAGGUUCCACAAACUAGAAUUUCUUGUUGUGGACAAUGUUGAUAAAGUUGAAAUACCUGAGAUCCUUCUUAAUAUGGUGAGUUUGAGACACAUGGAGUUCAAGGGCGGUGCAUACUUCGGUGAAUCUAGUCGUCAACUAGCAACUAAUAGUAAGAGCUUCCAAAUAAAUAUCCUACAAAGUAUUUCUGUACUCUCAAUUUACCAUGAAAUGGAUGAGAAAAUUUUGAGAUGUUUACCCAAUCUUCGUAGACUGAAAAUCAAUGUUGAAAAUUCACCAAAUCAUUCGUUCGAUUUCCUUAAUCAGCUUGAAUCGUUGAAUCUAUUUUUUUAUUCUACCAAUUUGAUCGGUUUGCCCUUAAAUUUGAAAAAAUUGAGACUGCAAUUUGGAGAUGUGUGAAAAGGCUAUAGUUCGACCCAAAUAAUACCUAGAGGGGGGGUGAAUAGGUGUUUAUGCGAAAUUUAACAAUUUAAUUAACUUAUGCAACAUGUCACAUAAGUACGCUUUGUCCAGAUUCAUUCACAUAAUUUAGCUACCUAAGUUGAAUUGCCGCGUUGAAAUCAAAACAACAGAAAACAGUAGAAACGCAACAAAAUGUUGAUGGAGAAAACUCAACUGGGUAAAAACUCUGGGCACAAGCCAAUAGAGAUCCACUAUAGAAGAUAUUGACUUACAGUACGCCAGACAUAAUUGAAUCUAACAAUACUUUGACCUCCUUACUGUAUCAACCAAAAUUCUCCUGGAUUUUGCAGAUCUGCGCCAAAAUCCCAGCCCUGAAUUUCUUCUAUCUCCCGUGAAUCACCAAGCACUCCAGUUCUUCAAGCAGUUUCCUUCCCGGAUCUUCAAACAGAUGAUCUUUUGGAAGUUGAUAUGGAGAUUUGAAUGGUGUUUUGGUUUUGUGAAGGUUGAUGUUUUUCUCUAAUAGAGCAAAAGAUGAAAAGAAAGAAUUUUUUGGCUCUAAAUCCUUUGGUUGUUGAGAGAAAUUUUUAUUUGUGUGUUUUCCCAAGGUUAUAAAUGAAAAACGGAAUUUUUGUUUAUAUAGUAGGUCGUUUUUGGUAGUAUGGAGCAUUUAAAAUUCGCGAGGAAGGAAAAUUACCAAAAGCUAGAUAGCACUGUCGCUCGAGCGAAGUGCUGGCGAAACUCGAGCGACGCACCUUCGCUCGAGCUACCCCUCAGCGAAACUCUAGCGACAACAGUUCUGUUAUUUAGGCUCGAGCGAGGUCAGGGUGAAACUCUAGCGAGAUCAACGCGUCGUUUGCAUCUUCAAAGCAUCCAACUUUACCCUAGACAUAUGCUAUAAACUUUGCAAAAUUGCAACACAAGUCCCUGAACUUUUUGGACCUUUACAAUGUAGUCCUUGACUUUACAAACUUGACAAAUUGGUCCUUUGGUCACAGAUUGCCAAUGACAACAUUUUUCUAACAAUGUGUCUCGAAAACAAAUGGAGAUUUGGAAGAUUGCCUUACCUUGAGGUUCUCAAACUAGAAUCAGUUGUCUUUGAGGGAAACAAUGGAACACAAGUGAAGGUAAAUUCCCACAACUUAAAUACUUGAAACUUGUAUGUGUAAACAUUGCAGAAUGGAAUGCCUCAGUGAUAAUUUCCCGAGGCUUCAACUAAUAGUAUUGAAUUUUUGCCGGAAUCUAAAGAUGAUCCCUUCCUGUUUAGGUGAUAUUCCAAUGUUACAGAAGAUUCAGGUAUAUAGGUGUGGACAAACUAUCAAUGAAUCAGCUAAGAAAAUUGAGGAAGAACAAAAAGAGAUGGGCAAUGAAGAGCUUGAAGUCAUUAUCUCUGAAUAGGAAAUUGACAUCGAGAAACUUCCAAAGGUAAUAAUGAGAGAGAUUCUCUUCUUUAACUCUCUUUCAUGUUCUCAUCUUGGUCCGAGGUAUUAAACAUCAAAAACAUCAAAAAUUAAUUCUACUGUAAUUUUGCCUUCUAUUGAAAUUAAGCUCAUGUUUGGUUUGGAUUAAAAUCAGAUUUUUAAUAGAUUUUCAUAAAGAUCAAUAAAAUGUGAUUGAAAAAUUAAUAAAAGUUGCGGGUCUCAUAGAAUAUGUGGUUGAAAAUGAGUUAAAGGGAAAAAUGAGUUUUAAAAAUUGGGGACCAAAUAGGCUAAGUUGGCUCAAUUUUAUGAGCUUCUUGAUGUUAUUCUAGGAAUUACUAAUCCAUAAGGUUCUAUGUUUGGACAUCGAUCUCUAUUAUUUCUGCCUUUCACAGAUUUUACCAUAAAAUCGUGUUUAAAUAAAACCCCCAAUGAUCACAAUUUCACUUCUAGUUUGAUUCAGUCCUCGAAAUAAUUUCAUUGUUUAGUCCAAGUCCUCAAUGAAUUGCAUGGGAGGUCCUUCCACUUCUAAACUUGUUAUCUUGGUCCUUGAUUCUAGAUUCCAUCCUUCUUGAUCAAAUAUUGGCCCUUUUUAUUGUUUCCUGUUCAAUACUGGUUUUUCUCCUAAAAUAAUCAUCAAAUACGCAAAAUUAAAUAUAUGCUCAUCAAUGUAUUUCCAAACAUCCUCUUUUGAUGGCUUGGAUAAGUAUAAAAUCAUACUUAUCAACUGUCAUCGAUAUGCAAUUUCAGGAGACGGGUGAUCUUUUUUUAUUUUUCCAAGGCAAAUAGUGAUUUACUCAUUUGUAUUGCAUGUUUGUGUUUGCACAAUUCGCUAAAGGACAAGUGAAUUCAAUUGUGUGAGUAAUAUGCCAAAUAUUUUAAACCAGUAGAGAUCUUUGCAUUGAUGAUCAUAUUUAGACAUAUAUUAUUGAUAUGCACACUCAAGAGAUUUUAUUAGGGUUUGAAGACCUUAAUGAUCUUGCAUAAAAGUUUGUUCUGACUUAAAAAGGUGAACCCAUUACUUUACAGACUUUUAACAUUGGUGUUAAUUAUUUCAGAUGCUAGGGUUGGUACGUUCUUGGCAAACAAGAUGAUCAAAAAUCGAUUGCAUAGUUGGAAGCAAGAUCAACGGUUGAAUGACAUUUUGGUGGCGUAUAUUAGAACGAUGUAUUUGAUGAUAUUGAUAAUGAUAUAAUUAUACAAUGUUUUCAAAAUAUGAAAAUGUGUAGGCUACAAUUAUAGUGAUAUAUUGACUUGUUUUUAGUAAUACGUUGUUUUAGAAAAAUUGUAUUUUAAUUUUUAAUCAAACAAUGAAAAAUGUGUGGCUUCACAAUCAUAUUAGGCUUGAUAAAACCAAUUAUCUUCGGUGGGAAAACCAAAUUCUGAAUGUCACCAUGGCUAGUGGAUUAGAAGGUUUUAUCGAUGGUACAUCUACUUUUCCAUCAAAGUUUGUUGUACAACUGCUCAUUGGGUCGAAAUUUUUAUUAACAUUGCAGUAUUAUGACUUCAAGCUUUUCAUUUCCCAUCUCUUCUUGUUUUUCCUGAAUUUGCUUAUCAGAUUCUUAAAUUGCUUGCUCAGACCCUCUACCAGAGAAGUUUCCCAAUCAAGAAUUUGCUCAUAAGAUUGUUGGUUAAGGGAUUCCUUUAAAUAAAAUAGAAGAAAGACAGUAAAUUUUCAGAGAAGUUUCCCAAUCAAGAAUUUGCUCAUAAGAUUGUUGGUUAAGGGAUUCCUUCAAAUAAAAUAGAAGAAAGACGAUAAAUUUCCAGAGAAGUUUCCCAAUCAAGAAUUUGCUCAUAAGAUUGUUGGUUAAGGGAUUCCUUUAAAUAAAAUAGAAGAAAGACAGUAAAUUUUCAGAGAAGUUUCCCAAUCAAGAAUUUGCUCAUAAGAUUGUUGGUUAAGGGAUUCCUUCAAAUAAAAUAGAAGAAAGAUGGUAAAUUUUCAUGUAUAUCAAAUUAAAACAGCAAUCUCUACAUAUAGAUGUUAGUACGCCUUUCCAAGGCGUUACAAUAUUUCUAGAACCAGCCUAGUUGAUACGAAACAAAUACAAAAAGAAAAUUUUAUUAUUCGAAAAUCUUCCACCCUGUCUAUCCCCAAAGUUCAGAACAGGAGGGGGUGUUUCUCCUUUUUCAGUAUUAUUAUGUAAUUGACUCUUCGUGUAAAGAGUUGAUUGAAUUGAUUGACUCAGACGGAUAAUAAUAUACAUGGGGGCGCCAACAAUAAAUGAUUAUGUAAUUAUACUUGCUAAUGCAAAAUAAGUAUAACUUCAUUGACAUAAACGAUAGGCAUCAUUUUUUACUGCUAUGCCAUCGAUUUCCAAGUGACAAACUAGACUAAGAGCAUUUAAACAUCUGAAUUCUUGAACACACCAUUCUUUCAAAAGAUUUUCAAUGUGUCAAAUUUGAAUAAGGGUCCUUACUAUUCAUCAAAUUAAACUACUGGCUCUAUCACAUUUAUCGACCUUUAGUUCAUUCUUUUGGACGUACUCCAUAAGGGUUAUCUAACAUAUUAGGCCAAUAUUGUAGAUUACAUACUUGUCCAUGUAAAUUGAUUUAUCAAAUGAUCUUGUAAUUGUCCACCCUCAACUCCUCCAGUAAUUUGUCUUGAAUGUCCUAUAUUUUAAAAGCGUUAAAGCGUCCCUUAUGGUAUCCAGGUUCGAACAAGUAGCCAUGGACGUGUCUUCGAUUUGACAUUGAAGUACUAAGAAAUGAAAUUAAAUUGCUUACAAACUAAUUAGCUCACGUCUACUCUUCUACAAUAUAAAGAUAGCUUACUUGAGCUUGGUAUUUUUCGCAACAUAUUCCAACUAAUCCAAUUUUGAAGUCAGUAAAACUGUAAAAUUGUCUAUCAACUCAAGUACAUACUUUCUUUGACUAAAUGUAUGCUUUAGGAAAUCCGUAAAAAUAAAUUGUCACGAGUCGCGUUAUCUAAUCAUACCAAACUUGCCACGAUGAAAUCAAAACUUAUCGCGACCAAACUAUUGUUAUACGCAACAUCAUGCACAUAAGAUCAUAAAUUUUAUGCACAAAUCUUUCAGAAGUCUACAGCUUCGAUUUUCAAACCAUAACUGGAGAAAGCAUGAUCCACGUCUGGAAAACAUAUUAAGCGCUUUCAAAAUUGCUUUGAGUAAACCUAUCAAAUGAAAUAACAUGCAAUCUAAUAAAUGUUUUCUUGAUAUGAUCUGGAAUCUGAGAUGUUAACCAUGACAACCGAGACAAAAAAAAAAAAAAUAAUAAUAAUAAUAACUAUUGUUUCAAAAAGCCCGUGUCGCAAGAUUGAAGUACUCCUGACCUCCUAGCUAGACAGAGGUUCAGGAUUCGUCUUCGUCUUCAUCUUUGUCCUCGUCUUCAACUUCAACUUCAUCUUCAAAAUCUACAUUAUCGACCUUUGCAACAGGAGAUGCUCACCAAAACUUGUUCAACUGUUUUAGAAUCUGAAGUCCUACGUCAGCGACAGCGUUGGCCAUUGACCAGAUCACUAUUCUUUUCAGCUUAGGCGAUUUUUCUAGUAAAAGCUUAGUGACUGCCAUCUCAGCAACUGUGCCUGAAAUAAAAUGCAGCUUCACUUUUUGAAGUCGAUUUGAAGUUACAUCUGAGCAGUCUUGCACUUACAGAAAAUCUGGAAUAGGACUAGCAUCAGCAUUUGCAGCACUCUCACAAAUCUAGACAUUAAAGCAAGAUAUCACUGAGCUUAAACUUUUGUUUUAAAAUGGAAAAUUGAAGAUGUAAAUUGUAAUGGUCAUAUCCAUCACUUACCUCGAAUCUCAGUUCCUCAAGGUUGAGGGCGCUGCUGAUCAAGCACAAAACACGAGAGUUCAUCCAAUAAAUUAAAAAAUAUAUAAAAUAACCUCUGAUCAAGCACAGAACACAAGAGAGUUCAUCCAAUAAACUAAAAAAUAUAUAAAAUAACCUCUGAUCAAGCACAGAACACGAGAGUUCAUCCAAUAAAUUAAAAAAUAUAUAAAAUAACCUCUGAUCAAGCACAGAACACAAGAGAGUUCAUCCAAUAAACUAAAAAAUAUAUAAAAUAACCUCAGAACUUUAAGGUGGAUUAAAGUAGCUGGAAGCCUUUCUUGGACUUGACCUGCAGCCAAAAUCUUGAGAGCAGUGGUAAAAGCACGAUCUAAUAUAGUUAACUUGACGAUUUCAAGGGAUUGUAUUUAUAAUCAAAAAUACCUUAAUGACAGUAUAGUUCAAGAAUAUUUUCUGAAGGCCAAUAAACUUCAUACAAAAGAGAAUAAAAAAACUGAAUGAAGUUACAUUUCCCAUCUUGCAAAAUAUUGUCAACCACCCAAUCAUUAUGUGAAGCAACAAAAAUUAUUGCAAGAAGAGUGAAUUUCUUAAAACAAAACAAUGAUGUAGGAAACAUGUCAAUUCAAAGUGUUUUAGCAUAGGAGCAUCAAUUUCUAAGUAGUCAAAUUUGUUUGAAACAUUCAGCAACAGUUUCUCCAGUAAUGGGCAGCUAGAUAUCAAACUUCCUAAUGCAUACAUCAUAAUCAAUUGUCACGUCAAGCAAUUCCAGCCAAAUCAUCCUAUUAAAUCCUUCAAAGCUUGGUGGAGGAGGAUUGAUCAAACAAGACAACAGCUUCAAAUGUUUCAAAUGUAAACACAUAAAUAGUGAAGAAGGCAAUGUGUACUGUUCUCCGCUCUUGAUUUUAAAGGUGAAUUCUUCAACACUGUACUUCCAUAAGAUAUGUAUCAAGUCGUCAAUGUCUGAGCAAUUUUAAGUUUCGGAAUAACGAAGCUCAAUUUAGUUAUGGGUCCUUUACGAAGCAAAAGAACCUUGUAAAGGAUCAACAAGAAUUUCAUUCUAGCUGAUUCUAGGUUUCCCUCAUAUUCUUGCCAUAGGGUCUCAUCAAAUCUCAGUUGGGGUAGUUUGACCCAUUUAUACCUCCAUUGUUUUGACAAAAUACUUGUCUUUGCAGCAUCAUGUAAAGUCAAAUGCAUUAGAAUGCUAUCUGCUACAUUGUCAGCAAGGUUGCUUACCCUAUCAACAGGUUGGAACUGGGUAAUAUCCAUUCUGCAGUGUUAUUGAAAAGACAACCCUUUAAUGACACCUCACAAGUAAUAAAUGUAUAAAAUUUACCUUAGAAGUAAUAUGCAUGCACACGGUAGAUAUUAAAGAUCCAACAUGAAGGUUUCCCCAUUGUCUUGCAUUAUUUUAAUAAUCCUACGCAAAAGUUUUAACAGUUAAAUUUUCCAUAUUUUAUAUCCCAAAAUUUGAAAAAUGGGGAUUACAGUUUCUUAAGCAUGGAUACACUUGCCCUCAUGCGUUAGAAAUUAAAAAAUUAUAAAAUAUCGGACACAACAUGUGGUGUGUUGAACACAUCUGCCUUAAGUCUAGGAAAUUUAAAACUGAUAUAUAAAAGAAUAUACGCCACGUGACAUAUUGGUAGUAGAAUGAGUGUCAUCCUUCAUAGCUGGUUAAAUUAUCAAAACAUUCAUAUGUUACCCACCAGGAAAAUAGAGACAGGUUUCACAAUUGAAAUUUACAUUUAUACAUGCCCUCGACAAAGUGGCUGUUAAGGGAUAUAAACCCACAUCAAAUAAAGAUGAAAAUAUAAAUCAACUUAUAAGAUUUUGUGCUACUCCUAUUUAUAAGGUUGAUCUUUUAAGAUGGAACUCUCAAUCUUAACAUAUCAGAGACAUUAAGCUCUAACAAACGAUUCGAUCCGAUUAAGAAUAUAAAAAAAUGAGCAUACGGACACCAAGAUUGGUUUGCUCAAAAGAGCCACCAUCUUGCUGUGGGUUUGUUAAGGAACAUAAUCUCAUAUCGAAUAAAGAUGUAAACUUGGACUAGUUUAUAAGUUUUGGGCUAUUCCUCUUAACAAAGUUGACAUUUUAAGAUGGACCCAAGUCUUAAAAUGGUAUGUUAAGGGAUAUAAUCCUACAUCGAAUAAAGAUGGGAACAUAGACCAACUUAUAAGGCUCUCGGCUACUCCUCUUAACAAGAUUGGCCUUUUAAGAUAAACUAUAAAUUUUAACAUGGUAUUAAAGCCCAUUAAGCUCCAACGAACGAUUCGAUCCGAUUAAAAUUCAAAAAUGAGUACAUGAAUUUCACUAUUGGUCUGCUCAAACGAGUCAUCAUCUUGUGGGAACAUGUUAAGGAAUAUAAUCACAUAUAAAAUAAAGAUGAAAAUAUAGACCAACUUAUAAGGUCUUAGAUCACUUCUAUUAACAAGGUUGAUCUUUUAAGAAGAAACCCAAAAUCUAAACAGUGGCAACAAAAUAUUCAUGUUGUCAAUCCCAAAUUUAUUGGGAUUAAAGUUUAGUUUGUAGUCAUAGAUGCAAAUCUAACAUAAAAAUGUGUACUGCUCUUCACAUAGUAUCCUUGAUGAUGCAGUGGUGCCUACCUGUUAUAAUUCGAUGGUUAAACUAGUUGUGAAUCCUGAUGACAGAAAGUGUGCUAGGAUAAUAGUUUGUAGAGUGUUCUAAAAAAAAAUCUCUCUUGUAUAUGAGCUAGGCACCACUUUUAUAGGUAGAGACUACUUAUGCAGAUGGUGUGUUUCUUCAUUUUAAUAAACCCGUUGCUCGAGUUUUCUCGAAAUUGAGUCUACCAUGAAAUAGGUGAUCAAAUGGAUUGACUCAGUCAGAGAAUUGAUUUAGAUAAGGAAAGAGUCUGGUCGAAUAUCUAUGUCCAGUCUGACCAUAGGUUAAGAAACAAAAAAGAAAAUCAAAAUACCGUCUAUAGCUACAAUGUGACUGCUUAGAAAAAUCUAUUGUUCGAAAAUUAGAAAAGCAAAGUAUCAAGGAAAGUUAAACUUAACAAACUGACUAAUUGCUAAACUAAUUCUAUUUACAGUAGCCUACAGAGUUGAGGGUCAUUUUUAGGAUUUUUCUUCCAUCCUCAUCAUCUCCAAAGAAGUCAAUCUUUAUAUAAUGUAUGUAUCAAUAGACUAUGCAUUUUACAUUCAACCCCACCCCAUUAAAAGAAAGAAGGCAUCUUCUGGUAGUAUACACUACUUCUGAAUCCUCUUUUAUCCUGUCAUAAUAUUAUUUUCUGCAAAUUCCCCAAUUUGUGUUGCAAAAAUAAAAUCUCAUUGAACAUGCAGAAAACAGUGCAACUAAAGAUUUGACUCAUAAAUAAAACACUACACAUUUCUACAAAUAUUUCAUAUAAAAAGUUAAAGGGAGGGACCGUACAAAAACUGUUUCAAUUUAAGAAAAUAGAAUCGCACCUGUAAUGGAGAGAGUGAUGGCACCGCGGCGGAGGGGGUUUUGGAUUGCAAUCUCAAAGGAAAUUAACGGGGAAAGGGGAGCUGAACCUUCAGUGGUGGAUUAAAACACUUGGGUCAAACUUAAAAGUUAAGGGUGUUUUGUUUGUGUUUUAGUUUUGUGUUUUGAGUUUUAAAUUCAUUUUGAGUUUUGUGUUUUGAGUGUUUGUUUUGAAAUUGUUGAAAAUGUGUUCUUUUUGUUUGUUUCUUAAAACAAAAAAAAUGAAAUUUUUUUUUUUUUGAAGAGAAUCACCACACCUCCAAAAAAAAAAAUAAAUAAAAAAAGAAAAUUUUUUUUCGAAAACGGGAAAGAGAACACGUUUUCACCGUUUUGAAAAAUCGAAAACAGAAAACGGCCCGAAAACGGUAAAGAGAACAGGGCCUAAAAGUUGCUGACAUUUUUUGCUAACUGCCAAACUUGAAUAAAUUUAAUUUUAAGUUUUAAAUAACUUCAUUUUGAAAUAUGACUAAAGGCCUUGUUUAAUAGGGAUUAAAAUCAAAUUUUAAGUAAAUUUUGAUAAAAAUUAUUGAAAUUUAGCUAAAAAGUUGUGGAUCCCUUGAAAUGUUUGAUUAAAAAUAGUUGUUCACUUUGACUUAAAUUAAAAUCUAAAUUUAAUUUGUAUCAAAUAAGUUUUUAAAUAAUUAAUUACUUUUUUCUUAAUUAAAAGCACUUAGCCCCUGAUUGGUGAGUAUUAAAAUCAAAUUUUUACUAGAUUUUAAUAAAAAUAAGCGAAAUGUAUGGUUGAAAAGUUGUGAGUCUCUUAAAAUUAAUGGAUGCUUAAAAUUAGUUAUUAACUUUGAUUUGUAUUAAAAUCUGGAUUUAAUUUGUAUAAAAAUUGGGCUUAGUAUAAAAGUAAGUUUUAUUUUACUAUAAAAAGUAACUUAGUAACAUGUUUGCUAGUGAAAAUGAAAAGAACAAAGAAUAACAUAUUUGGCUGAGCUCAAAAAAACAUAAAAGUAUCUAAGAUUUACAAAACACAUCAUAUUAUCAGAGUUUUAAAAAUCGGACCGACCCCAAUCCGUUCAACUGAAAGAAUCGAGAAUCGAGUCCAAAACCAAAACCAAUCUAGGUAGGCUUAUAAAACCUCUAAUUGAAAAUUCAUCCCAAAACUCGUUAAAUUGACAAGUUUUUGAAAAACCCAUGAACCUGUUCAACCUAUGUAAAUGUAUAUUUUUAAAUUAUAUAUAUGUAUUGCAUAUUUAUAUUUUUUAAUUUUUCAAAAAUCACUAGUUCGAUUCCGAUUCAACCCUGAUUUAACCUUUUGAUGCUUGACUCUCUUUUUCAAGUAAAUAGUCGGGUCAAUUCUUAAAACAUUGCAUAUUACUGAUUUGAUAUCUUUUUUAUUCAUUUUAUUUCGUUUUUCCAAUUCGCUGUAGACUUGUAUGAAAAUAGGAUUUACUUUAUUGAACUCCUCGACAAAAUCAUACCAAAUGGGGGUAGAAACAAAGCUUCUUUUGAUUAUUCGUAAGCGCCAAUUAGUUAAAAAAUUACAUUAAUAAUUUAUACUCUUGCCCUAGCUCGUCCAAAAGCUAGAUUCAUAUCUAUAUUAGUAAAAAAAUAUAUUUUAAAACUAUAAAUAAAUAAUUUUUUAUUAAUCAUUUUUUCUAAUUCGCUAUAGACUUGUUUGAAAAUAGGAUUUACUUUAUUGAACUCCUCGACGAAAUCAUACGAAAUGGGGGUAGAAACAUAGUUUCUUUUGAUUAUUCGUAAGUGCCAGUUAGUUAAAAAAUCACAUUAAUAUUCUCUACUCUUGUCCUAGCUCGUUCGAAAGCUAGGUUCAAAUCUAUAUUAGUAAAAAAUAUAUUUUAAAACAAUAACUAAAUAAUUUUUUAUUGAUUAGUUUUAUAAAUAAAUUAUGUUAUUUAUUUGAACAAUUAAAUGAGAAUUACUUUAGAUCAAGAAAAUGAUUUUAGGACAUGUUUAAAAAUAAAAAAUGACUACAAAAUAAUUAUAGAUGUGAAUAUCACACUUAUUUUUUGCUUAGUUAACGAGCAUUUGUUGAUUGUUAUAUUCAAUUCUUUAUUCUUUAGAGUGAAUUAUUCAAUUCUACUCUCUGUUGAUUUGUGCAAUAUUUUCGUGUUCUUGGGCAAAAAUUUGAAUUUUGACAAUUUUAUGAUAUAGAGUGAAAGGAGGUGAAAAGAGGACUAGCUUUUGAUGGUUUAAGUUUCACUGUGACAUUUUGAUAUUGAAAUUGAAUAUAAAUUGAGAUUUUUUAUUUUUUAUUUUUUAUUUUUUUGUUGAUUUAUAUUUUGUUAAGGGCGAAGGGAGGGGCAACCUUGGGCUCCCAUUAAAUUUUCAUUAUUUGAGAGAGAGAGAGAGAGAGAGUUAUUAUUAUUUUUUUCUCUUUGUUAGUUUAAUACAACAAAAAAGCACUACCCCCUAUUAAAUUAAUAUUUUUAUCAACUUGUGAAUGGUUUGUGAGCGUGGUGUAAAAAUAAAAUAAUUUGUCAAUUGUCGUAUUAAAAAUUAUAAAUCCAGAAGAUAGUAAAGAUAUGCUUUUAAUAUUUGUGUGGGUCUUGUAAUUGAAUUUCUUUGGGUCGUAUAACGCACUUUUAAUUGUUGAAACUUACCUAGUGAUGUAGUCAUUCCACACUUUAAAGUAGGUUUAAUUUUUCUUGAAAGAGAGAUCAUCAAGUAAGUUUGUGAAAUUCGACUGGCAGCAUACGUGAAGUUUGUCAAAGUGUAAUAAAUUAAUGUUAAAAAAAAAAAAAAGUCUGAAUCGGUAGAUUAUGAGGAUAGCGAAUCUAAUUGGGAAGUGUCGGCACGCCCAUUUUGAUCUCUAACAUCCUUAUGCAAAAAUAGUAGUGUAAAAUUAUAAAGUAAAUAACUUUUUUUAUUUUACGAGAAUUAUAAAUAAAAUAAUUUAUUAAUUUUAACAAUAAAUGAACACAUAUUUAAAAGAAAAACAAAUAUAAGGUUACAGAUUUGUAUUUUUUUUUUAAUCGAAAGUUUAAUCCAGAACAAAAUCAUAGAAACAUUAUGUGUAAAUAGGGAUGUCAAAGGGGCCUAGCGACUCGUUGGUUUGGCCGCUCAUUUCGUCAAAAUAGGGAUCGUGGGCGGUUCGGGCUUGUCAAAUCACGAGCCCGAGCCAAGCGCAGGGCCCCAUUUGGCGAGCCAAUUAUCCGCGAGCGCACGAGCUCAGUUCGUGUGCUAUAGUUGCCGAAUUUGGGUUACAAAUUUUUUUCCUCAAAACAUUUGCCUAUAAAUACCCCCAGAAGGCCCACCCAUUUUCAUCUUCAAAUUAUUGGUUUUUCACUCUUCUGCGUCAUACAAUUACAAUUUUCUUACUAUUUCAAUUUAUCGUAGGCCACAUGGAUUUAAAUCUGAAUCUUUGUGGCAUAUGAGAAAUUGGAUCUAUGUGGCAUACAAUAAAUUGGAAACUGAAAAAUGUAUUAGAUAGAUUGGCAAAAAGUAUUUUGGAAGCAUUAUUAAUGCACGUGAAGGAUUGACGUAACGCUCAUUUUCGAUUACAAGAUAAAUUUUAAUUUGUCGAAAUCACAUAUUGUUAGGUAAGUCAUAAGUGAUAUUUAAUGCAAUUUUAAUCAUAUUAAUCAGAAUUUGUUAUUUUAUAGUACUAUUUUUAAAUUCCUUUAAAAAUUUGUACAUGUUACAACCUACAAGUCAUUCGUGUACAAUUUUUAACUCCGCCUACUCAAAAUUUAAGUUACCGUUUCCAAGCUUGGAUAAAGGAGGAGGGUUCGUAUAAUUAUAUUCUGAUUUCAUCUAUUUAAAUUUAAAAAAGAAAAUGGAAAUCAACGAGCUCCCCCCUUAAGUAACAAGCCACGAGCUCGGCUCCUGAGGAACAUGAGCCGAGCUCGUAUGUUUAAGGGCCGAGCUGAGCUGAGCCGGUCCAUUGCCACCGCUACGUGUAAGUGAUCAAGCAUGCCCAUUAACAUGCUCUAUAUAUGGUGAAUUUUAAUGUGUAUAUUGUGAGUACGUCUAGACAUAAGAUGCCUUCAUAUACAUCAUCAUGUGACAUAUAAAUUAAGCUCCUGUAUGGUGUAGCUAAAUAGUUGAUAAAAAUUUAAGUUAAAAAGUCAAUUAUUAAUUUUAAUCACGAAUUUCAUAGGAUUUACACUUUUUAUCAACUUUAUCAAAAUCUACAAAAAAUCUAAUUUUUAGCUAAAUCAAAUAAGGGAUUAAUUCGUAUGUAGUAACAUGCAAUCCAGCACGAACACUAGAAGUCAAUAUAUGAAUUUUCAAAGCUAUUGCACUUUUGAUUUUACCCAAUACAAGGAAUCUACAAAAAAUCUUAAGCUCAAUCAAACAAGAGCUAAUUUGCAUGUAAUAGUAUGAAGUUCAACGCAAACACUUGAAGUCACGGAUGCGCUCCCAGCUGUUUGGCCAUCUUUACCUCUCUUAAAAUUAAUUAUCUGCUACUUUUCAACCAACUCCUUUGCAGCAAUUGGGCCCCAUGUCUGCUGCCAUGCUUAGCAGUUGUAGAUAAAAAAUCUUGUUGAUCGUUGCACGUUGCCAGACGAAAAUACCUCCUUUAUUGAAAUGAACUCCAAAUUAUUCCCCAUUCAUGACAUGUGACCUUCUUUUUUCCAUAAGUCUUGAACUCUGCUCAUCUCCACUUAACUCCGCGUGGCCAACACUGACCUCAGAUGCUGGACCAUAGAAGCUACAAUUGAAGACAUCCACUUCUGCAUAUAAACGUAUGGCAUCCAUAGCAGCCUAACUUGUGCCCGAUCCACUGUUCGGAGCUCCCGUUCUGCCAUUGUCCCGUAAAGUCGCCCACCAAUUCCUCGACAUAGACUCAUAGGCUGAUUCCUUUCUAUGCCUUUUGGACCCACAAGUCAGGGCCACACGGCAAGGACAACGACAGCUCGCAUUGGGGCUACUAUCCACAAAGCAUGGUAAGCUUCUUACCGAAUUCACGAGAUUCUAGCACAUCAAAAAUCACUUUUUGUGGCAAGUUGGUGACUGACAACCGUUUCUUUUUCAAAGCUACAUGACCUAGUUAAUUGACCCGGUGCUAGUUGUAUCUCUUCCUCGACGCUCCGGCACGAGGUCAAAGACCCAAAAGUGUGCGAAGUAGGAUCCUCGGGAAUACCAGAUUUUUAUCUCUAUGGCAGAGCACGUGACUGCUGAGGGCAUUGUCGGGGUAAGUUUUUUUCGACUACUUGCUGGGAGCACAUCCGUGAUCUGUUGAACAAGAAGGCUAGGAAGGAUUGGACGAUCGCUCAGCUCAAAAACCACUAGCAAGUUAUGCGAACGGAGCACGAGCUUUUUAUGAAUUGCUCUAAUGCUCUGGAAUUCAGUAUAGGUUGAACAAUGGGGGCAGAAUCAAAGUGGCGGACUGGUGGUAGAAGCAGAAAUUGAAGGUAAUAAUGAACUGCCCGUAAUCAUAAUCUCCCUGUUUGUCUUGCCAUAUGAUUGUCCACUUUACACUUGUUGAACAUGAUUAUACUUUACCUAUUUCCGACUACCCUCACUACAUAAUGCGAAUCUUCAUAAUGUGUUGUGCUGCUUUUGUAAAAAUACAAUUGGAAUGCAUAAUUUAUAGUUGUCGUUACCUUUGUUGUUGCCAACUUCAUAGGAUGCAGUACAAGCUGCCUUGUCAUUUCGAAAACUGAAAUGCAAUCUACUAGGAACCAUGUACGUUUAGGACUUAUUCCAAACCCAUGUCCGCUGCUUGCACUAUGUUUUUGCAAAUUUCUAGUUAUGCUUUAGUUGAAUGUGGAAUUGCAUGAUCUCGUUGUUCUCUUUUUUUUUUUUUUUUUUUUUUUUUUUUACGCCAUACUAUGUCCCACUGUGAUAUGCACAUGGAAUUGAUAUCAUUAACCUAGUGCAGGAGAAUCCAAAGUAUGGAAAGUUUAAGGACAGUGACAACAGAGAAAUUUACCACACUUACAGCAAACUAUUCGAUGACAGUAAUGACUCUACAAAGUAUGUUUUAACACCAACAAAACUUUCACAAUCCGAUUUAGAUUUUAUCUUGGACAAUGACACCGAAGAUCCAAACGAUAGGCUACCGGUCAAUGCCAAGACGACAGACUCGAGUGACGAGCCAACGGAGGGCAGAGCCAACUCUUUAAUGAAUAUUUCCCUCAGGCGAGGCAGGGAAAAGUGUAAUGGUAAGGAGGUGAGGGAAAAGGGAAAGAAAAGAACUUCGGGGCCAGGGAAGUGUCGAAGUCUGCUAACAACUUGGUGACUACGUCAAGAGAAUUCACCUUGAUCCUUCGUUCCAAGGACAAGGGCCUAAUGACCAUUCUAGAGUGUGUGAACGACUUGCUUUUCAUGGGCCUCGUUGUUAGUGGUGACAAGCUCCAUUUGAUCACUCGGUAGUUCUUUAGGCAGAGUGACAAUUGAAUUGCAUACAAGUCUGCCCAAACAUGGGAGCUCAGGUUCGUGUGGAUUGAGUACUGCUUCAAACGCGACGAGGAAUCAAACCAAGACAAGUUGUCGAAGGCAUGGCACAAACUUUAAUUUUACUUUGCCAUUGUCGAUUUCAUAUUUAUGUCAUUAAUGCUGUUUGUAUUCAUAUGUGUUGAUGUACUUUGGACAACUUAAUUUCCCAUUUGUUGAGCAUGUAUGUAAUUAUUGUACUUGAGAGCGAUAAAAUGUUUAAUGGCAACAGUUGUAUGUGUAUGUCGAACAUAUUUGUUUCUACUGUGACAUGUUUUAAGUUGACGUGUUGAUGGAAUAUAUUCAUUGCCAUAUGUAGAGAAUGUAUUCCCAUUUAAAGUGCUCGUCACUUACCAUCAAGGCAGGCUAAAGUAAACAUUGUGUGUAUGGCAAGUAUAAUCAUGACAUUGGUAUGUCUAUAAAGGGCCUCAUCCAUUUCCACAUAGUGAUGGCUCGGCUCGGCCUGGCUUGUUUUCAACGAGCCGAGCUUGAGCUCGGAGCUUGUAGCUCGUUCGAGCUCGUGGGCCGAGUCGAGCUUUGGCUCACGAGUUUAUCAUCCUUUUUUUUAAAUAGAAAAAACACAAAUAAUGUAAUGAAAACACUUUUUAAAAAAAUAAAAAGUAUUAAAAAAUACAAAUAAUUUAAUGAAGACAUUUUUUUUAUUUCUAUCAUAUUGUAAUAUUUUUUAUAAAGUAUAAAAUAUUUAUGUAAUGAAGACGAAUUAUUUUUUGAAAUACAUUUACACAAAAUAUAUUUUUUCGAUUUCUUUUUAAAGUAGAUAAAAUAUAAAACCUCCUCCUUUAUCCGGAUUUGGGACCGACUACAUCAAUUUUGAGUAGGCGGAGUUAAAAAUUGUACACGAACCACUUGGUGUAAUGUAUACAACUUUUUUAAAGAAAAUUAAAUUUAACGAUUAAAAAAUAAUAAAAUUUUGAUUAAUAUAAUUAAAUCAAAUAUCACUUACCUGACGACAUGCAAUUUCAGUGUAUUUAUCUUGUAGUCGAAAAUGAGAGUCAGGAGCCAAUCCUUCACGCACAUUAACGCUUCCAAAAUAUCUUCUUUCAAUCGACUCCUGACAUCAGUCAAAACCCUUUCACCUGCACUAAAAGUAGACUCCGAAGCGGAGGUGUCAGCAGAUCUUUCGCAAUUGCAGAAACAAUUGGCUAACAUCUUUCAUAUUUUCGCUAGAAUUCAAUUACUUUUCCUGAACUUUUUUUAAUUGUUCUAUCUGUUGGCAUAGUAGAUAACGAAGUAAUCAAUUAAUUCGACAGGCAUCACAUUUUGAAUUGCAGCAGAUGUUUGAUGAGAUGUAAAUGUAGACGACAUGACACUAGAUGAACACAUUGUAGUUGCAUCAUAUCUAAAUGCAUUAAUGUCUUGAAAUAAAUUCAUUAUUUCGGCAUCAGUUUCUUCAAUUUCAGCUGAAGGAGUAGGUGCAGAGGGUAUCCGACUAACAUUCGCACUCAUUCUUUCCGCUUAUAAAUCAUACAUUUCACAUAAUUUUUGCUCUAAAUUCUUAUAGGUGAUAGGUAUAUCAAGUAUUAAGGCUUUAUUGAUUUGAUCAAUUACGUAUUUAGUUCCCGAAAUAUUAUAUCGGCGGUCCAUUGUGCAUGUUAGAGGAAAUAACAUAUGCAGUUCUUCCUAAUAUUUUCUAAACUUUAAUUCCACAGCAAUUAUAAUUUCACUAAAAGUAGGAUUAUUUUUAUAUUUAUGAAAUAUACUUGCAAUUAUAUAAAGACGUUCAAGCACCAUACAACUUGUGGGAUAAUAAAUGUCGGAUAAAAUUUUUGUGGUCUCAUAAAAAUAUGUUAAAAAUCGUUUAACUUUCAAAGCUAAAACCCAAUCGGAUUUAUUCAACAUACCAUCGUCAUCACUUGUAACGUGUCUAUUGUUAUAAAAGUCAGUUAUUAAAUAUUCAAAAAAUUCACAUGACUUUAAUAGCAAGUAAGUAGAGUUUUAUCUAUGGCCUACGUCGCUAACAAAUAUUUUAGCAGUCGUCACCCCUAGUUCGACACAAAAAUCUUCAAAUAUUUGUUUUUUAUUAGGAGAGAUCGUAAUAUAUACUAAUACAUUUCUAAUCUUUUGAAGUUCAUCAUUUUUAUGUUUUAAGCCAUCUUACACAAUUAAAUUCAAGAUAUGGCACACACAACGAAUAUGAAACAAAUAUCCACCAAAAUCAGAUUGAAGUGUCCUAUACAAUUUAUCGGCGACUACCUUAUUAACACUAGCAUUAUCAAAAGUAAAAGAUCGAAUUUUAGUCUCGCAAUUAUAUUUCUAAUAAUACUGAUAAUAGAUUAUAUAUAUUAUUAGCAUUGUGAGGAAAUUCAAUAAUUCUAAAAGCAAUAAUUUUUUUAUGCACGCACCAAAGUGAAGAUAUAACACCCCUUUAUAUGCUCUUUUACUAAAACUAUAGUGUGCGGUUGUAACUAUAUAUGCUCUUUUAUUAACCCCUUCCCAUAUAUCAGAAGUUAAAGAUAACACCCCAUAUUGUUACAAAUUUAUAAUUAAUUAUUGUUUUGAAUGAUUGAAAUAUUGUAUUGUAUCGGCAUGAAGAAUGUUUUGACUUACCACAACGUAUAUUGGUUGCAGAUAUUCUUUCACGAAUGAGACGAAGUGUAGAUCGUCUGCAAUAGCGAGAGGCAACUCAGUGAUGGCAACAAAUUUCACCAUUCCGGUUCGAGUAUUGUCCCCCGAACACACCCACGUGGAUAGGAGUGAACUCGUAGAACCGGUGCCUGGACUGUCAAAUUGUAAUUGUGUUUGACCAGCUGGAAGAAAUCCAUAUCUGGCCGCACAUGCUUUGUAGUGGGGGUUGAGAUGGGUGGUACCAAUUCCUUUUUGCCAUGCCAACUUUUGUUGGCAGUAUGUAUAUUUUGCAAGGCCAUCGAUGACUUUUUUCGUUGAAAUCAACUUAAAGUGAUUCUAAUAUUUUGCUUAUUUUUUGCCCUUUCACUUUUCCCUUGUAUCUGGGAUAUAUAAUUCGACAUCUUCGUCCUCUUGUUCCGCUUCGGGAACAUUAAUAUCAUCCAAAUCAAUUGGAUUAUGACUUCCAUGACUGUUAAUGUGAACAUCUUUAGGUAUUGGUACGUCAUUUAGACCGGCAAAUUCAUUUGGAAAAUAUUCUUGUGCCAUCCUAGGCGAUUCGCCAUGUGACCCACAUCCUGUAUCGAAUAAGUUCUCAACAAAUGAGCAUUGAUCCAUUUGUUUGAUUGUUUAUAAUGAAAUUCAAAUAUAAUAACUAGUAAAAAUAUAAAUGUAGUGAGAAUUGAGAAUUGGAUGAAUUGAAAUUGUAACUGAGUAAACUGUAAAAAAAUGAACCGAUAUUGUAUAUUUUGCACAACAGCACAAGAGAGUAAAAACUCGAUAAUUGAUAUAAUAAAAGAGAGUUGAGAAAUGAGAAGUGAGAAUGAAGAGAUAAUUGAUAUGAAAAAAAUGGAGAGUUAAGGGGGUAUUAAUAAUUGAAGGAAAAAAAAUAAAUCAGUGACUAUUUCGGUUACUGAAAAAGUAACCUUUUUGGUCACUCAACUUAACGAGCUACAAGCCGCUCGUGGGCGAGCUACAAGGUGAGGCCCGCUAGGCUCGCAUUCGGGCUCGUGAUUUUAAGAGCCCGAGCCGUCCACGGGCCCUAUUUCGUCGACUCGGCCCUUUUAACAUCCAUAUUUCCACAAACCAAGUGAAGUUGGGAGAAAAUGCAGAGUUAGAAAAAUUUUAGACUUCCGUAGGGUUAAGGUAGGAAAUUGUCCCACAUUUUCUUUAUAGUACAUACAUCUUGUUACAUAAUGAUGUUUCCCAAAGUCCGAUUAAUUGGGUGUGUCGUGUUUUACUCAUGCAGAUGAGCGACGAGUCCUCUGCGAUUGCCUCCUUUGGUAUAGAUUGCAACUUCAUUUUAGUGUUCAACUUUGACUAAGGAUAGGACGAUGAAGUACUGCAACAGAUGGAAGAUGACACUCUUGCAUGGUUGUAAUAUUUAUGAAGAGCGGAAGGCAUAGUCCUCGAAACUUGUCACCGAAUAGAGGCAACAGAUACUUGUUUUCCAUGUCACGCAGCGGUCAUUUUUUCAUACUUCAGAAUAUGCACGUGUACUCACAAACUUGUUUCCAAGAGUUCCGCAUGUAUCCCCCUACGUUCUAGCUUUUUAUGCGUAUUCUUCGAGAUCAGCAAGGAUUAGUGAGCAUCACAAACAUCGAUAUAUACGAACAAGUUGGCAUAUUCUUUAGCACACAGAAAAUGAUAUCUUCAUGUGCAAAUGCUCUUUGAGCAUUCCUUGUAGACCAUUUCCCAUUACUUCAAAUGCGUGCUGUGAGUCGUCGUUGUGCUAGCUGCUGAUAGGAUUAGAUCACAUCACCAGUACAAUGAAGAAGGCAGACAUCACCAACCCAAUACCACCGUUUCAGGUUAGGAUGGCCGAACACUAAAUGGGAACCAAUGCGUUUGUACAACAUUUAUUGAUUCGUUAGAAGUGCCCACUAAUAAUUUGGAUUCCUGUAACAGGAGUGUAUUGGCUCGAUUGACAGAAUGCAUGUUUGAGUUGUGCUACCGCGAUAGAGGAGACAGACUUUUUUGGAAGGAAAGGAUAUCCAACUUAGAACUUGUUGGCAACGUGUGAUUUCAAUUUGUGUUUUACGUUUGUAAUGCCCGGAACUACUGGGAACAGGUACGACAGUCGUAUUUUGGCACGAUGUGUCCAUAGUCUGGAUGUAAACUUUUUGAAACUAAGGAACGAGAAAUACUACUUUGUGAACUCGGGUUUCACACAGCUGUCGUGAUACAUAGCUCCAUACAAGGGAUUUAAUGUACGAUAUUACUUUCAAGAAUUUCGGAACAGCAAUGGCAGUCGAUGGUAGGUCCUAAAUGCGUGGAAGAGGUUCAAUUUUCAUCACUCAUCUUGCCGUAACGUUAUUGAGCGAGCAUUCGGUGUUUGGAAUUAGAGAUGAAAAAUCAUCGAUCGAAUGUCUAGGUACUCGUUCAGAUCACAAACAUUUGUUGUCAUUGCAAGGAUGACUGUUCAUAAUUUCUUAAAACGACACGGAAGGUUGAACGAAGGCUUUCGCAGAGCGGAGAAAGCUGAUGACAACAAAGUUGAGGUCAAUCUACCAGACCUUGAGGACGAAAUUACGGCCGAUGACGACGCGAUUGGGGUCGAGAAUAUACCAUGGCAACAACUUUGUGAUUAUAUGGCCCAAGCACUUUGUUAAGUGUUAGGAAUAGUAGUCCCUUCAAUUUAUGUAAUCCAUUACUUGUUCAAAUAAACUACAUCGCAGAGUGAAAAAAUGUGGAAAAAACGUUUGUGUCGUGUGCGAAUGAAGCGAUAUGAAAGUGUAAAAUCAGGAAAUGAUUCACGUGAUGAAUGUAGGGGCAUUAUGGUCUUUCGAUCAUGUGUUCCGGUGUUUUUCAUGCAAAGGCAUGUGCAGUGACUUGUAACGGUACAUGCACUGCCAUUGUGGACUGAUGUAUGGGUCCCACAAUUGUUUGAAAAAUUUGGCAAAUAAAGAGAGGUAAAGGGGACCAAACGGGGAUUGAUUUCUCCCAAUACGAGAAGUAAGCAUCCGUCCAUGGUAACCAACAAUUAAACCCUUAUUUGAGCCGUAUUUUGGGGAAAAAUCUGUUUUGGAAUAGUUUUUUUAUUCCUUAGAGAAUGCGUGGUUAAAAAACAAAAGUUAAAAAAUAAAAAAAGUUUCCAAUUUACGUGUAAAAUUAUUUUAUUGUAAAACGUGUGGUUGAAAAUAAAUUUUGAAAAAAAUGAGUUUUUGAUAAAAUGAGCUCAAACAAGGACUAAGUGCUUCACCAUUACGUUGUGUCUACUUGCGUUUACUUUUUGGAAAAAUUCAUAUAUGCCUCAAUAUUAAAUAAAAUUUCACACUUUCCAGUGUGAUGGUAAAUAUAAUUAGAAAUACUAAUCAAAAUGAUAAUUACCUUUAGAAAUACUACCUUCCAUAAUUAUAUCUCACACCAUAUUCUGUAACUGAUAAAUUAUGAAUUCAACAAAUAUCACGCUUUCAAUUAAUGCACCUUCCAAAUCAGAGAUAAAUUUAAAAUUAAAGUGGGAGAGAUGCAGAUAUAUGUGGCAGACAACGUAAGGCGAAUCCUCAUCUUCCAAUUGUAUCGUUCAAGAUAUACUUCUUCGAUGGCAGUCGUUGAAGAAAUUUUUAUAUUUCGACGAAGAUAAAUUGUGUGAUGUAUAGAAUAAAAAAAGAAUGUGUGAUGUAAAUAAAUAAAAUGACUAAAUGUAUUAAUGUCUUAUAUGUGAAAUGUAGGAGAACAUUGGUUUCCACAAGUGGUUGAGAUGUCACGUGCUUAAAAAUCGCUACUUAGCAAUGACGUCGAAUAUAGUGAAGUUGGUGAAUUUUGUGAUUAAACCUUUUAAGCAUUGUGUGACAGAUUGCAUGUUCAAAUUGCAGAGGCACAUAUUACAAAGGUGAUUUUAUAAGAACCUAAGUAAUGCAAGUGAAACAUUUACGCGAUUAGCAGGCGGACAUGAAAUAUUCUAAGGUUGAAUGCUAAAUGGUCAAUGAGACUAAACGUAAAUGAACUAAAUAUAGUUUCUCGGUUUCUCGAUCUAAUAUUUUUAUCAUAUAUGUAUAUUUCAUUCCAGUUCUUUGCAGGUUUCUGCUUCUACUCAAUUCCAGUAUGAAGUCACUCACCAAUGAUGGAACAAGCACAUUGUAGACUUGACUUGUAUGAGAUGCAUAUGUAACCGUUUUCAAAUAGAUGGCGUUCCAUUUUAUUACAGUUUAGCAGUAAUGGAUGAGAAGGGAGAGCAGCCUUACAACUAAUGCUCACAUAAUAAUACGAAGGACACCUACGUGGACAUUUACUGUUACAAUCCAACUUUUAUAGUCAAAAAUUCAAAUAUUGACUAGUCAAAGUCAAAGUCAAUCAAGGACUAAAAUGAAAUUAAAUAUUUUAUUUGGGUUAUUUUGCAAUUGGCAAAAUGUAAAGGUUGAAUUGGAUAUAUUUAAAAGUUUGGAAUUUAUAUAUAUACUUUUGGAAGCUAAAGGAUUAAAUAUUACUAAAAAGUGAAGCUAAGGGAUUUAUUGUGCAAUUUUGGGUUAGUGGACCAAUUAAUUCAAACCUUUGACCCAUUUUCUCUCAUUUCACCCUAUUUCACACACACACACACACAGUAACUUACGGGAAGCAGAGACCGAGAAAGAAGAGAAAAAGAGGAAAAGAAGAAGGGAAAAAGGAAAAGAAAAAGGAAAAGAAGAAGGGAAAAAGAAGAGGAAAGGAGGUAAGGUUGAUAUCUUCAAGUUGGGUUGAAAUUUUCCAUUUGUUUUAGGUGAUAAAGUAUGAAUUAUGUUAAAAUUUUUAGGGUUUUAACUUGUUGAAUAAUAUGUCGAAUUUUAGGGAUAUUUGCACGAAUUGGAGCUCAAGUGUGGGGAUUUAUUCAUUUCAAAUUUUCAGCAAGGUAUGGAGAUGUCAAAUUUUUGGGAAAACCCUAGAAUCCGAUUUUGGGGAUUUUAAUUAAUUAAUUGUGAAGUGAUUAUGUAAAUGAAAUAUUUCACUUGGGAAUUGAUUUUAUGGAACAAAUGUAUAUUAUGUGGGUGGAAUUGUGGUUACUAGUUUCAUUAGAUUGGAGAGAAAAAUUAGUUUUAAAUUUGAAACGAUGGUUAUGUUGAUAAAUUAGUGAUUAACCAAGGGAUUAUAAGGUGUGAUUAGCUCCAAUUAAUAAAGGAAAAUUUGAGAAUUUAUUUAAGUACCAAGAGCAUUUAAAUUAUGUUCUAUUAUUAAAUAUUAAGGUUUCUUGAUUUGAUAGUGGAUAAACUGGUUAUCAUUAUCGUAUUUCAGGAGGUAACGAGGCGAUUGGAAACGUCUAUCAGCCUAUCUAGUUUGUAGCUCAUACCUUGUGAGUGGAAAAAACUUAUUUUUCAGAAAUAAGUCUUCAUUAUAUUUUAAAGUUAUUUAUUGUAUAAAGUUGACUUCAUAGCAUGAUUUUUAGAAUAACUUGGAUUUUAUUAACAAUUGCUUUUAAAAUUAAAUUCAGUUCAAUUAAAUCAUUUGACUAGCAUGUUAUAUGAAUAUAAAUGUUUCAGUAUAGCUAAAGUUAUUUUAAAACCAUUAGAAAGUACCCAGGUGAUUUUACCCCAGUUUGCACUGAUGUGAAUGUGUUUCCACAGUGUAUAACUAGUUAUAGUGAUUUUACCCUCUCUGCACUAUCGUGAAUGUGUUUCCAUAGUGUAUGACCAGAUUAUCAGAGGUCUUUGGGACCUACUCUCGUACACACAUAGGCUUUGGGCUGUGUACUAGGACGAUUAGCCUUUGGGGCAGCUCUGCGUACGUAUGACCAGAUUAUCAGAUUAUCAGCUAUCAGAUUAUCAUAUUUGAAUGGCUUUGCCUUGUACAUCGAGAUUACUCUGUACAUGAGUAAGGCUAUUCAUUGGGUACUCUUUUUGGUGUGAUUUUUCAGUAUUUAUUCUAUUAUCAGAUUUCAGAUUAUGGAAUUCAGUUAAUUUAGUUUUCAGAAUAAAGCUUUCAACUUAUGGUAUUAAGGCAGCAAUAUUUCAUAAUUUUUCAUGGAUAUCAGAGUAUUUAUAGUCAUUAUGUUAUACAGUUGCCUUUCUAGAAUUAUGUCCAAGAAAUUAUGAUAUGAUCAUGUAUAGUUUUUUUUUUAAAAGUGUUACUAUUUUUUUCAAAAGUUCUUAACGUUAAAUAGUGCACGAAUUUUCAGAAAAUAGCAUAAAUGGAAAAGUUUAUUUAUUUUCAACUAUCCACUCACUGAGUUAUAAACUCAUAUCUUUUUACCAUGUUUUCCUAUCAGGAGAAGGUCGAUUUUGAGAUAUUUGGGAAAGCCCGCUGAAGCAAAAAGAGACCGUUUUAUAAGUAUGUAAUGAAUAGUUGGGAAACUUAUGUUUAUUAAGUAAUUGUCUAAUUUUGGGUGACAAGCAUAUUCGUAGAAGGGUUUGUAAGUGAUUUAAUACUUGCAUGUUGACAAGAUGAUGUUGUAGAAGCACUCAGUCGAAUUUUGUUAUAUUUUGUAGUAGUUGUGGUGGUAUUAGAGGAAGUUGUGGUUUCCAAAACUUUUGGUUUAAAUGCCUAUUUGAGAUUUUGAUGAUUUUUCAGGUUGGUUUUAUCCAUGUUACAAGGGAAACUCUGUCAAAAUUUUCAUAGAAAUUAGCACAGUCAAAAUAGGUCAAAUUUACCUUGGUGGCGGGUCCGACAUUUAGUUGGCAUCUACUACCGGCGCACGACACGUGUCGAGUCAAUUAGGUUGAGUCGGGACGGGCCGUGUCAUUUACGUUGGUGGGAUCAUUCCAUUAGGGGGUCACAAACACUGGACGAAUCUUAAGAAUGGACACAUCCUCCCACCUAAAUCAAAGAGACCAACGGUCGAUCAAAGAAUUCUAGGAGUACAAAGCUCGAGUCCAUCAAUCCGAUCACAUGUGACAUGCGGAUGCUGCGAAGGGAAAUGUCAUAUUAAAAGAACUAAUAAGCAACCUCUGUUGUUGUGCCACGUGAGAAAACGAAAGCAUGGAUAAGAUAUCAAUUAUGUUUUUUUCUAAUCCAUUUAUGUAUUUGAUCUUUAUGCUACUACGAAAUAUAUGUAAUCAUUUUAAAUUAUGAUUUAUAUGUAAUCCUUUUACAUAUUCCCUAUAUCUGCUUGUAUAUUAAUUCGAAAUAGAGUAAUUAAAUAUGAAAUAAAUAAAACACAUGAUUAACGAAAUAUUAAAAGAAUAAAUUAAAUUGAAUAAUAUUUUUUUACCUAACCAAUUAAGAUAAUUAAUUAAAGAAAUAGUGAAAUGAAAAAUCGAAUAAAUAUUAUUAUUUUUAUUCAAAUAAAUAAUCGAAAUAAAUAAUAUACAUAAUUAACGAAAUAUUUAAAAAAUAAAUUAAAAAACAAUAAUUUUUUUACUUAACGAACUAAAAUAAUGAAUUAAAAAAAUAGUAAAAGGAAAAAUCGAAUAAAUAUUAUUGAAAUAAAUAAUCGAAAUAGAAUAAUUAAAUAUAAAAUAGAUAAAACACAUGAUUAACGAAAUAUUUAAAGAAUAAAUUAAAUUGAAUAAUAUUUUUUUUACCUAACCAAUGAAGAUAAUUAAUUAAAGAAAUAGUGAAACGAAAAAUCGAAUAAAUAUUAUUAUUUUUAUUCAAAUAAAUAAUCGAAAUAAAUAAUAUACAUAAUUAACGAAAUAUUUAAAGAAUAAAUUAAAAAGCAAUAAUUUUUUUACUUAACGAACUAAAAUAAUGAAUUAAAAAAAUAGUAAAAGGAAAAAUCGAAUAAAUAUUAUUGAAAUAAAUCGAAAUAGAAUAAUUAAAUAUGAAAUAUAUAAAACACAUGAUUAACGAAAUAUUUAAAGAAUAAAUUAAAUUGAAUAAUAUUUUUUUUACCUAACCAAUUAAGAUAAUUAAUUAAAGAAAUUGUGAAACGAAAAAUCGAAUAAAUUUGUAAAUAAUAUAUAUAUAUAUAGUCAGAUAAUUAACGAAAUAUAAUUUUUAAAUAAAUAUUAAAUAGUCAAAUAUGUGGAAAUUUUUUUGUUUAACUGUUUUAAUAUGUGAUUAGAUGAAUUUAUUUAUUGGUUUAUUAAUAUGAAAUUUGAUUGGUUAAAUUUGAAGGUACGAUAUUUUAUUUAAAAUUUCUUUUAUAUGGUUUUAACAUGUAUUAAUUUUGUAGGAUGGAAUAUCAUAUCGACAACGAUCUGAGGGCUCAUUCGGGAAAAGUUACGACGUAUUGUAACUUUUCCAGCUAUGCGACGGUACUUGAGGGGCUGGACGAGGAGGAUAUUGACUUACUCCGUCGAUCGUUUUUAUGGUCGUUCUAUCCGUUGAAGGACGUGCAGUUCUCUGGACAAAUUGUUGAUUCUUUAUUACUCCGGCUGCUUAAACCAGUCGAUGGCGAUCAGUUAUAUUUUGCUAUUGGGGACGGGAAGGUAUGUAGAUUCUCGAUCCUUGAAUUUGCCCUGAUUACGGGCUUGAGAUAUAUCGGGGAAGAAGAAGUUAGAGCCCGUAUUAUACGAAAUAAAAGGUUAUUGGAUUUAUAUUUUGGAGGUAAAGGGCCAGUUACACCACCACAGUUAGAGGACGCAUUUAGGAAAUGCGAUCACCUGUUAGACAAGUUGAAGUUAGGGUUGGUGUAUAUACUGGAGAAUAUAUUGAGGUGUCGACAUCGUAGGACGUCGAUUGAUCUUUUUUCAUUGGAUGUUGUUGAUGAUAUCGAUGCUUUCAACAGCUUUCCAUGGGGUCAGAGAUGUUACACCGAUACUCUCCAUGUAUUCAGAAGGGUACACACUAUGCCGAAAUCGGAGAGGGGCGAUCGCAAAUAUGAUGUAUAUGGCUUUUGCAUGGCUUUGCAGGUAAAUAUUCAGUGUAACGUAAUGCGUGUUGAACUUUUUUAUUAAAUGUAUAUGUAAAGUUUUAUUUUGUAAUUGUUGCAGUUGUGGGCAUAUGAGGCUAUCCCUGCUUUGGGUAGCAAAUGGGCGAUCAAAAGGGAGACCAGCUGCCCACGAAUGCUUCAUUGGCGAGCACAUGAAAAGCCAUCGGCUAAAGAUUUGAUAGUUAUCCUCGACGAUCCUCAGGUGAGUAUUAUAUAUUUGCAAUUUAUAUUGUACAUACAUUUACUCGGGUCGAUACAUGUUCGUUAACACGUUGAAAUAUGGUAUGUCAGCUCGAAGUUCAUGCUGAGUUGGUUGUCUCGGUGGAAAAGGAGGAUGCAAUAUAUGUACGUGAAUUACUUGUUCCCCCUACUGAAGACGAUCCAGUAUUUGAGUCCGUUCCGAAUAGAAAUAUAAUACGUUUAUUUAAGUUCAUUAUUUAUUUUGAUUUAUAAAUUCAUGUGUGGAUUAUUAAUAUUAAUUGUCUUCUCUGUGUAGGAGCGCCAUCCGGAACUUCCACUUAGCAGAUCUCCUUCGCCUCCACCGAUGAGAUCUCCGUCACCUCCACCGAUGAGAUCGCCUCUACCGCCAUUAUCUCAUUCUCCGAGGAUAUCUUCGUCUCCCAUACCCACCCACCUCCCACAUGGAUCGCCUACACCCAGUCAGACCCGUCAUUCAAAUGAUUUCUUUGCACGCAUGACUGGCAUUAUUAGAGAAGAGCUGGGAACGAUGCGACGUGAUUUUAUGACAGAGGUAGUCGCAUUACGAGAGGAGAUAGGGGUAUUACGACGGGAUUUUACGACAGAGAUCGUCGCAGUACGAGAGGAGAUAGGGGUGCUGCGACGAGAUUUUACGACAGAUGUAGUAGCUUUGCGAGAUGAGAUUGGAGUGCUGCGACAAGAUAUAGGAGACCUUCAUACUGAGGUUGCAGCACUUCGAGACGAUGUAGCAGGCGUCCGAGGGAAUGUCGGGGAGACUGGUGUCCCUCGAGAUUGGUGGGCAACGGCCGGGAGAAUCGAUGAGUUUUUUGGUUCGGUGCUGGAGGCCGAGAGGGAAGGGGUGGAGGUCGGGCAGGAGGAGGCCGGGAUGCUCGGGAUGGAGGUCGGGCCGGAGGUGCCGGAGGAGGCAGAGAUAGAGGGGGUGGAGGGAGGGACAGGGGUGGCCGAGGAGGUAGCGGAGGGGACAUCAGAGGUGGUAGUAGAGGGGGAUGAUCAGGUUGCGGAGGAUGAGAGGACGCCGGAGAUGACGGAUGACGAGGUAGUAUUCGUGUCUGAGGGGGCGACGGAGGUCUCGAAGGGUAAGAAGUGUGCUGCUGACGCGCCAGAGCUGAUGGUCGGUAAGAGAUCAAGAUUGCCGUCACAGUACGUCGUUUCUCCCUACACGGUCGAGGCGAAGAGAAGGGGAUUUGUGGAUGGGGCGUACCCCAAUCUUUUUCGCGACGUCGACCCAGUCAGACAGAAGGCGUUCGAUGAUUGGUUCAAAUCCCUUAAGUUCGAGUAAGUAUUUUAUGAUGUUGCUACUAUUUUUUUGUAUCUUUGAUAACUGUUUUUUCAUUUUUCAGAGAUAGUUAUACCAUCGGCUGUAUGACCGUGCACAAUGCUAAAAAGUGGUUUGAAGAUGUACUGACGACCUCAGUUUGGCUCGCUGAUGAUGUAAGUUUUUUGAGUUUUCGUUUAUUAUAUUUAUACAAGUUGUUGGUUCAUUUACUUAAAUGACUCUAUCUUUUUUGUUGGUGUUUUUUUGUUUCAGCAUAUCGACUUGGCUAUGGAAUUGUUACGUGAUCGGGCGCAGAGAUACCCGAGAUCUUAUGACAGUCCUACUCGAGUUAUCUUGAGCGCUGAGUUCGUUCGUGUCGUAGAUAUUGAGCAUCAGGAGCUCCUAAGCAAGGGGAAUGAUUAUGUUCUGUCUGAGUACAUGCUGGAGUGGGUGAUUGGACUACAGUUGAGGUGCGGAAAGCCGUGGACGGAUUGUACACAUAUGUACAUUCCAGUGAUCACGAACUCACACUGUUUUUCGGUGGAGAUCGUAUUUGCUGAUUCCACCAUAUAUGUGUAAGAUUCUGAUCAUAGCUGUCUGACACAAGGUCAAUUGGAGCAAAUACUGGAGCCAUUGACUGUGAUCGUGCCCAUGAUGGCUAGUCAUGAGAUGAUUCGAGUAAAUGAUAGAUUAGCCAUUGUGCGGAACACGACGACGGCGAGACAAGAAAGAUCGUAAGGAUUUACAACUUUUAAAUUUUCAGAUUUAAUUUUCAAUUAUAUGUUAUGGAACUAAUAUCUUCUACUUCGGUUGCAGGGGUGACUGUGGCUUAUUUGCAAUCAAGUACAUAGAGUUCUUGAGCAUUGGUCGCAAUGUUGAUACAAUAAAUUAGUCUUGGAUUGAUAUGUGGAGACAUAAAUUAGCUUGCGACUUGUAUGAAUAUAACUGUGAUCCUUAGUACAUUGUAAAUUAUUUUAUUAAAAUGUAAAUGUUGUUUACUUCAGUAGGAUUCGUGUUGUACUGAAAGAAAUAAAUAAUCGAAAUAGAGUAUAUUGUAUGAUAUUAUUUUAAAAAUUUAAAUGAUAAUCGGGAAUUAAAUGGACUAAAUCGGAUGCAAUUGGAAAAAAGUAAAAGGAAAAAUCGAAUAAAUAUUAUUCAAAUAUGAAAUAAAUAAUAUACAUAAUUAACGAAAUAUUUAACGAAUAAAUUAAAAAANNNNNNNNNNNNNNNNNNNNNNNNNNNNNNNNNNNNNNNNNNNNNNNNNNNNNNNNNNNNNNNNNNNNNNNNNNNNNNNNNNNNNNNNNNNNNNNNNNNNNNNNNNNNNNNNNNNNNNNNNNNNNNNNNNNNNNNNNNNNNNNNNNNNNNNNNNNNNNNNNNNNNNNNNNNNNNNNNNNNNNNNNNNNNNNNNNNNNNNNNNNNNNNNNNNNNNNNNNNNNNNNNNNNNNNNNNNNNNNNNNNNNNNNNNNNNNNNNNNNNNNNNNNNNNNNNNNNNNNNNNNNNNNNNNNNNNNNNNNNNNNNNNNNNNNNNNNNNNNNNNNNNNNNNNNNNNNNNNNNNNNNNNNNNNNNNNNNNNNNNNNNNNNNNNNNNNNNNNNNNNNNNNNNNNNNNNNNNNNNNNNNNNNNNNNNNNNNNNNNNNNNNNNNNNNNNNNNNNNNNNNNNNNNNNNNNNNNNNNNNNNNNNNNNNNNNNNNNNNNNNNNNNNNNNNNNNNNNNNNNNNNNNNNNNNNNNNNNNNNNNNNNNNNNNNNNNNNNNNNNNNNNNNNNNNNNNNNNNNNNNNNNNNNNNNNNNNNNNNNNNNNNNNNNNNNNNNNNNNNNNNNNNNNNNNNNNNNNNNNNNNNNNNNNNNNNNNNNNNNNNNNNNNNNNNNNNNNNNNNNNNNNNNNNNNNNNNNNNNNNNNNNNNNNNNNNNNNNNNNNNNNNNNNNNNNNNNNNNNNNNNNNNNNNNNNNNNNNNNNNNNNNNNNNNNNNNNNNNNNNNNNNNNNNNNNNNNNNNNNNNNNNNNNNNNNNNNNNNNNNNNNNNNNNNNNNNNNNNNNNNNNNNNNNNNNNNNNNNNNNNNNNNNNNNNNNNNNNNNNNNNNNNNNNNNNNNNNNNNNNNNNNNNNNNNNNNNNNNNNNNNNNNNNNNNNNNNNNNNNNNAUUAACGAAAUAUGUAAUGAAUAAAUUAAAUUGAAUAAUAUUUUUUUUACUUAAACAAUUAAAAUAAUUACUUAAAGAAAUAGUAAAAGGAAAAAUCGAAUAAAUAUUAUUCAAAUAAAUAAUGGAAAUAGAGUAAUUAAAUAUGAAAUAAAUAAUAUACAUAAUUAACGAAAUAUGUAACGAAUAAAUUAAAUUGAAUAACAUUUUUUUUACUUAAACAAUUAAAAUAAUUACUUAAAGAAAUAGUAAAAGGAAAAAUCGAAUAAAUAUUAUUCAAAUAAAUAAUGGAAAUAGAGUAAUUAAAUAUGAAAUAAAUAAUAUACAUAAUUAACGAAAUAUGUAACGAAUAAAUUAAAUUGAAUAAUAUAUUUUUUAAUUAACCAAUUAAAAUAAUUACUUAAAGAAAUAGUAAAAGGAAAAAUCGAAUAAAUAUUAUUCAAAUAUGAAAUAAAUAAAAUACAUGAUUAACGAAAUAUUUUUUUUACUUCACCAAUUAAGAUAAUUAAUUAAAGAAAUAGUAAUCUCUCCAUAUUGUUAGUUAAUAUAUAUAUCGUUGUCUCACUUAUUUUAAAAGAAAACAAACAAAUACAUGACACAUAGAAAAUACAUAUGACAAAUGUGAUAAAAAUAAAAAGAGUAAUUAAACAAUGUGAUAAAGAUUACAUCCGAUUUCAAUUCAGAAAAUCACAAACACAUGACAAAUAGAGAAUACAUAUGAUUUAUAUAGAUACUACACAUCCGUCGAGUCAUUGUUUAGUGGAAUCUGGCUUGUACAAAAUCGACGUGUAUGUCCUGUAGCACCGCACCUCCCGCACUUACACGGUUGUGGAAACUCUCCUGUAGAUGGUAUUCUAGACGUCCGUCUACGACCAGGAGUAUGCGGUGGAGCUUCAGGUGGCAAUAAAUUAUUAAGUGCUACAAUAUAAUCAGGAACUUCCCACUCGGCUUCAUUUGGUAGAGGAAAUAUAGUUUCGGCAUACGCUGCUCUCCAAAAAUCAGUCAUAUAAUAAUGACUGCACAAGCUGUGUGGUGGAAAUCCUCUAUACAUAGCCACUGCGACAGCAUGUGCACAUGGAAAACUUUCCAACUGAAAUUUUCUGCACGUGCAGGUAUUGUCAUUCAAGUCUACAAUGUAUCCAACAUUGCGCCCGCAUCUCACGAAGAAGCGAAAUUGAUCUAGUGGUUCCACAAAUAGAGCUUUUGCCACUUCCAGAGUUUUGAAUAGUCGAUCUUCCUGUGCCGGAGCUAUCACACUCGUGCAAUUUUGGGAUUCUUCACGUCGGUCAUAAAACCACUGUUGCAACUUGCUGCAAAUAUGUUCAAUCAUUGCGAGAAUCAGUAACUCUCAAUCCUUCUUGAAUAAUGCAUUCAGCGACUCUGCAUUAUUCGACGUCAUCAUGUUGUAUCGACGUCCUAGAAAAUGUGACCGUGCCCAAUGUUCAACCCCCAUUUCUGAUAGAUAUUCCCAUGCACUUUCUGAUUUAUGUUCUAUUUCGCCCAUGAACUUUGUAAACUCUUCAAAGCUGUAAGCUUCUGCAGCUCUCCUAAACAAUGCAACGAUGCCACUGCCCCGGUACCUAGUCUUCAGAUUGCCCUGAAUGUGGUACAUGCAAUAACCAUGAUGUGCUUCUGGAAAAACUUCGGCUAUACCAUUUAUUAUUGACUGCCCCCGGUCAGUCACAAAUGCAAGGUUCUCGAUGUUCCCAAUUACUUCUCUCAACUUCGUGAAGAACCAACGCAUUGCUAGAUCAUUCUCUCCAUCGACUUUGCCAAAUGCAAAAGGGUAAAUUUGGAAAUUGGCAUCUUGACAAGUAGCAAUAAUCAACUUUCCUUCAUAUUUAGCUCUUAAGGUUGUACCAUCAACUAGAAUUAGAGGUCGCAUAGCAUUUCGAAAACCUCUAAUGCAUUGUCCAAGAGCCAUAAAAAAAUACUUGAAGCGAUUCUGCCCAUCGGUUUCAAUAAAAAACGUCGAGUCAGAAUUAGUUCUCACCAUGUUGUGGCAAUACCUGGCCAAUUUGGCAUAACUCUCCUCUGUCGAACCCAUUAAAUCUUCCAAUGCACAUUCUUUAGCCUUCCAGGCCUUCUGGUAACUCAUAACCACCCCAUACUCUCGACGGAUGUCGUUGAUGAUAUCUGUAGGUCUGUAAAUCGUCCGUGGAUCAUGAAACUUGUGCAUUAUCUGUCGACCAAUAAACCAUGAUCGAGCUUGCCUGUGAUCAUUUUGACGAAUACCCACUUCACAAGUAUAUUCCCGCGCAUACUUACGAAUAACAAAGAACUCAUUUGUGUCCAUCUUUGUCGCACUCAAAUGCCAACUGCAAUUGUUGUCCACACAAAUAAUUGUGUAUGUAGACUUAUUUAAUUUUUUUACCUUAAACUCAAAAUUAUGUUUCAUAGCAAUUCGGUGCACCGCUUCUUGCAAAUCUCUUUUCGUGUCAAACAAUUGAUCGACAUGUAAAUCUUCAUCAUCAGGAACUACACGCGAACAAUUAGAAGACCGUGUACUCGGCCCAGCAUGUGAGCUCCCACCAGACUCAUGUCUCUGUCUGGAUAAAGCAAUCAAAUCCUGAUUUGUAAAUGGCCUUUCAUCCUCGUUGUCUUGAACUUCCUCGUAAAUCCUUCGUGUAACGGUGACAUCAUGGUGAGUAGCAACUGCCCCAGGAAUAACCACAUCAUCCUCCCGAGCAAUCUCAACAGUAUCCCAAAAAUCAUUCUCAUUACGAUCCUCUCCAUCAAAAACUUCGUGUUCACCCUCGAUGACAUUUUUCUUCAACAAACUUACGCAAAUAGGAGUCGUCUUUCGACCUUGGUUCAAUUGAAUUAGAUGCUUUAUUUGCGCUUCAGAAGUAACUUUCAAAGGUGGAAUCGAAAUUGUUGAAUGCUUUUGAAAUAAAAAUCCCAAUUCCAUAUCGUACUGAGAGGAAUCGACGUUAAGCAUGUUUAGUAUUUCACUGUACAUUUCUGUAAACGAAGUAUUUUUUGUUAUCGAAAUAGCAGCAACCCCUUCUCCUUCACUCGUCCAUUUCCAUUCCCAUUGACCAUUUUCUUUCCUUUGAAAUUCGCCGAAAUAACAGAUUGGGACACACGCUUUUGCCAUAUCUGCAUUACGAAUUAAAAAUAUCAGAACAAAUUAUCAGAAAUAAAAUUAUCAGAAUCGAGGGGCGGGGGAGUCUGCAAACAGACGGUCCGGUCCGUCUGUAACGGACGGUCCGGAUGUAAAAUCCGGCGUUCCGGCGUCUGAUCGGUGCCGGCCUGAACUUUGGUUCUAAUAUUAUUUUUUCUACCAUUUAAAAUAAAUAUACGAUUUGAAUAAAAAUAAAAUUAAAUACUACGGAAAGAUACUUACCGAAUUGAAGUGCUGAAAUUUAAUUAAAUUUUUCUGUUGAGGUUGAUAACUGAUAAGUUUAUGAAAUUUUGAGGUUGAAGUGGAUGAAAAAUGGAAGAGUUUUUAUCGUGUUAGAGUAAACUGAUGAAAAGACUGACUUCGUUUUCAAAUUUCAAUUGAGCCUUGUUUGGAUUUUUAUUUGUAACUUAAGGAUAUUUUUAUCUUUUUACCAUAUUUCUAUUUUUGUAAUUAUAUAACUCAUUUAAGGGCGUUUUUAUCUUUUACACAAGAAAUGGCUAUUGUAAUGAAUGUUAGAUUUUUAUGAUUAAAAUGAAAAAUGAUUAAUUUGACAAAGUCAAACUUAAAAGUAGCCCGUUAUAUUAUUUUGUUGUAGUAAUGGCUGUAGAUUAGUUAGGGUGAGAAGGGAGGAGAACUCAUCAAUUGAAGGCAAAAUUAAUUUUUUCCCCUACUAUUUUCUCUUUCUUUGUAGCAUUGGCUUCCUCUCAAAUACCAUAACGCAAGGAGUGACAUUGCAGAUAGAUAUCUACAAAAGAUAGAUGGUGGCACAAGAAGGCUUGCCUAUUAAUUUUUCCAUGAGCUCGUACGCAUUAAGAUGCCGAUACCUGCUAUUUUCAUCAAUUUUCUACAAAGAUUACGGAAGCUCCUUUAAAUUUUCUGUGUUGGAAUCUAUAUGUUGGUAAUAAUUCAUUUGUUUUCUUUUAUUUCAAUUUGAAGGCGUGAUUAUCUGAAUAGAUUGUGUCCGGGCAACUCUAAUGAGAAAUUCAGAUCUAAAGUUCCUACAAGAAGGUAUCUCGCUACCUGUUUAAUAGAAUUUAUCUGCUGGUGAUGAAUACUGUUUGUACACUAAUGAGGCACAUUUUCAAUCAAAAGAUUUUUUUUUUGAAUUGUUUCAGAUACACUAGAAAAUUCGAUUUGUUGUUGUUCAUCUUGUUUCUAGAAAUUUCCUUGCUACAUUCUUGAAUGUUUCCGUUGAUUGAUAUAUUACUAUUCACAAGCAUUCCAAAGUAGACCUGUUUGUGAAUGUAUGGAUGAGAAGAAAGUUGGAAAGUUCUCCGGGCACUUGAGUUGACUUUAUAUUCAGUUUCUCAUGAAUAGUGUUUUCACAUGUCUAUCUUUUGCUCUCAACAGAUUAUUGACAUUUAGAAUCAUAAUUUGGCACUGAUAAUAUCACUAGAUGGUAGUUUUGUUGCGUCUAUGGUAGUAUUUCUCAGCGCUUCAUGGACAUUUUCAUUUUAUUGCUUCACCUCAUUUCUUGAAUUACCCUUUUAGUUGAACUUGUAUCCUCGUGAAUUCAAUUUCUCUUAUCAUCCAUUUGCUACAGCCAUAACAAUGACUAAUCUGGAUAAUUGUUAACGUGCCUUUGCUUUUCCAUAGGAAAACAUUGCAUGAUACUUGCAAUUGUCUUUACACCUGUAUAUGAGUUAAAAAAUCUUCAUUUUGUAUGUGAUGUUUCAGGUUUUUGGAGACUUUGCCAUUGAAAGAACGGUGCAAAACUUGGCGUCUUGAGGUCUGUUCCUACUAACUUUGAUCUCAAAGCCGUAUUCUAUCCUUCUGGUCACUCCUUACAUGUAUAACAUGGAUUAAACAGCAAUUUCAGUUUGAUUAUUUCUUUCUUUUUUUUCCUUUUUUUUUUUUUGCGCGAUUGAUGUAUGAAGUUGAUGGAACAUGGUUCUCCAAAUCAUGGAUUUGACGCUCUAAAGCACCUAGCUCUAGAUGAUUCUGUUGAAGAAGUUUUGGAAGUCCUGCAGGAAUAUGCUCGAUUAGUCCAAGGACUGUGGGUUCCAAAGAGUUCGCUGGUACAUGGAACAGAUUCAGGAAUUGAAGUUUGAGCCAGGGUCUAUAUUCUUCUAUUGUUUAGAAAGAAUCCACUAGUUAACGAUUGACAAAUACCUCAACGUCCUCAACUUCCUAAAGCAAUGAAAGACUUCCUAAAUGUAUUGGCUGUUGAGAGACCCAUCCUCCUUCAGUGAUUGGCAACUCAGAGAGCUUCCCGAUCGAAGAUUCAUAAAACUCAAUCCUACUGUUGCAAAGAAACAAGAAGAAGAAUGGGAAUCCUUGGAAAAGAAGACAAAUGAUCCUCUGUUUGGAGGAAGAAACGAACCUAGUACAAAGACUUCUUCAAAGUCUAAUGUCAUAAACAAUCCGGCCACGUCAAUGAGUUCCAGUAAAUUAGCUCUCAAAACUCCAAAUGAGGAAUCCUCGAGGACGCCAAUGCCAGAGACUUGAGAAGCUUUAAUGAAGGCCCUUUAGAACCUUUUAAAAGGCAUCAAGGUUUGCAGGUGAGAUCACUUUAUUACAUCAAGCCCUUAGUUUCAAAUAGUAGUUAUAUGUGGUCAUAGUUUCAAAUAGUAGUUAUAUGUGGUCAUAUUUUUUAUUGAAGAUAGUUUUCGUCACUGCAUUGACGUUUUGUAUUCUAAAUCACUAGGUCACAGUUAUAUUGCAUUUUAUUUGAUUAGUAUUUGUCGAUUUUCUUUGCAUGCAGUAAGUGCUGAUGUGACCUUGACAUUCAUGGCCUUUUCUGGCCCUAGCUCAUUAAAAAAAUUGAGACAUGGUAUAGUAACUAGAAGAGAUGAGGAAGACGAGUGGUCUUGUGAAUUAUUUCUCUGCUUGCACUUAGGACACUAGUAGGAUUACAUUUUUGCAUUAACUGGGCUGGAGCAAUUGACACUGUUUAACAAAAUGCCAAUGGACCAUAUUUAAACAUUUUUUUGUUAUUAUUACUUUUGUAUUACUUAUAUUCUUAAUGCAGAGGCAAAGAAACUAGUUUGAAUUUUCUUAUUUAAUUAAAAUUUAUUUAAGCUAAUGUGCCCUUUAAUCUAGGAAACAUAGGAGUGUUAUGGUUUUCCUGUGGCAGUUUAGUUUGAUUGUCAAUAGAUGGAAUUUACUUGGCGCUAUGUAUGCCAGUUUUCAACAAAUUUGCCAGCGUUUGAAGGACUUGGCAGAUUCUGAGUCCGCCCGUUCCAGGGGAUUUGCCAAAGAGACAGUUGCUGCAGCAAACAGCAUUUGUGCUUUUCCUGAUGAGCUUCAGGCAAUCAUUAGUCGAUUUGCAUUUGAUAUUCAUGGUGUCUAUGUUCCGAAAUCAUUUCCAGAUCAUCCACAAUAUGAUCCAUUCAGGUUACACCUGCCUUCAUUUAUUUUGGUUCUAGAACAUUGAUAUUUUUCUUUUAUUAAGUUCUCUUUAUAAGAAAGGAUCACCAUUUUAUAUCGUUCAUUAUUGAUUUGUGGUUCUUUCUCUUCCAGGAAGGUUGUCAUUGAUCUUCUUAUUGCUGAAGGACCAAAAGCAAAACUCAAAGAGGUUCCCAUAGUCGAGGCUGCUAAGAUGGAACUUAAAAGGGAUAUACCUCAGAUUGGAUAUCAGAAGGUCAGAGUCAAGCUUACAGAUUAAUUAUGAUGAAAUUGUAAUUAGGUGUUGAGAUCAAAUACGCUGUCUCCUUGACACCAUUCAGGCGAACUUACUAUUUCCUGAAAUUUUUUUAAUUAGGUUUUGAUUAAUUUUUGAGGCCUUACGAAAGCACAAACAAGAUUGAGAAUCUGAGGAGAUUGUCACAGGAGAUAUAGGAGAUUACCACUCUCAUUGUGUGGGGGUUUGUGGUUGGGAGGGAGGUAGCCCUAUUUGCCUUGCCCUUAAUCUAGCAUCUAUCUUACCUGCCUAUCAUGACAGCUCCCAAUGUUUUUCCUUCCUAUGAAAGAUUCUUAAGCGUCGCUCAACCUUUGUCACUCACUUCUUUUAAAUGAGCACUUAAUCUAGCAUUAUUCUCAUGAGAGGAAGCUAAGCAAUGGAAUUAUAAAGCAGAGAAAUGUGUAGUGAAUAUACUUUUGAGAGCUGGUGAUAUGUGAUGUGAGGAAAGAUAUAUUAUGCUUGCUCCUAGAAGUUUCCCCAUGCAUAUGCUCUUAGAAUUCCCUCAAUAAUUUAGAAUACUCUUAGUGACCACUGAGCUAAUUUUCUGAUUCUCGUGUGACUGUCUCAAGUCAGACCUCCUUGUGGGAAAAAUAUAUAUACACAUGGUUUCCUAAGCACACAGUCUUAUAGUUUCUUAUAAGCUUCCUAUGCAGAACCUUAGUUACUAGGAAGAGAACAGAGAUAUUUUACUGGUCAUGUCCCCUUCACUGUCACCCUUGAUAUGUUCCAGCACUACAAGAUAAAUAUUAAUUGACCUACUGAGCCUCUUGUCCUCUUCCCUAUUAUCGUCGAUGGAAGCCUCAAUGACUUAUUUGUGAUAAAUUGCUUGCUAAUUUAGGUUAUGUAUUCCCUUAUGUGCUGCAGGUUUUACAGGAACUAUGUCUAUCACAAGGUUUUGAAUGGGUCCUUAAAAGUGGCGAUGGAAAUCCACAAAAGUAAAGUUCAUGCAACCAAAUUCUACGUUAGUCUACGAGGUAAGAAUUAGCAUAUUUACUAUGUAUUACGAUAAGUAAUAAAGUAGACACAUCUCACCACAAGACUUAAUGGAAAAUUUCUAAAUUGCAUGAAAUUCUUGAGCUUUGUGUUCAAGAAAGAAAAUCUCUGCUUAUUCUGUUUACAUGGAUCAUUGUGAUCUGUUGUUGUUUGUCUGAAUUUACCCUUAAGUGCCUUGGUAAUCGAGUUGAUGUGAUGUCUGAGUUUUGCAUUUUGAAAAGAGGAUUUACAUCGUUCCUUGAAGUUAUAUCAGUGCAUAGCAUCAGUUUAAAUCAUCCUUGAAUAUUGCCUAAUUGAUUCUCAUCACAUAUUGGAAUUUGAAAAGUUAAUAGGUCUGUUUAAUGUAAACGCAGAAGUACAUAUACACAGAACAAGGAAUGUGUGUUUACAUAUACGUAUUUGUGUUUAAACUACUAUUAAGAUGGCUGAGGUACAAAAGUCAUUUGUUGAAAAUGGUAAGGAACCUGUUUCUUUGGAAGCAGCAAGGGAUGUAUUCUUGAUAUCUCGAGUGGCUCUUUGAACAUUCAACCUUCAGUGCAGCUAUGAUGAUUUAAAAUAUACAAAGGAUACCAAAUACACUGGGGAUGAGUCUUCCAUGUAAUUAAACACAUUAAUAUAUACCAUCAGAAAUAAUAUUUUGUUAAAUAUAUAUGAUUUCAUGCUGCUACAAUAUUGUAUCCUUCUGUUAGCAUUAAUUCUUUUUCCCUUUAAAAUGUUCGGCCUUAUUGUCACUUGUCAAUACCGUGGUUCAUCCAAACAAUUCAUAUUUGAUAUUGACGAAAACGAAAAAUUAUAAUGACUUGCAAAUGUAUUAAUUCUCUUAAAUGAAUUAAAGAACCUUAGUGCUACAACCUGACUCGUGGUCGUGGUUGUCGUAUUCAAUUUAAUUUUGUGCUCCCAACCCUUGUACCUAAGUCGAAGUGAUGCAGUAGACACCUCGUGCUAUCAGAAUUUUCUUACGAGUGCCUUUGGAAAUUAAAAAAUUCCCUCAAUAAUUUAGAAUACUCUUAGUGACCACUGAGCUAAUUUUCUGAUUCUCGUGUGACUGUCUCAAGUCAGACCUCCUUGUGGGAAAAAUAUAUAUACACAUGGUUUCCUAAGCACACAGUCUUAUAGUUUCUUAUAAGCUUCCUAUGCAGAACCUUAGUUACUAGGAAGAGAACAGAGAUAUUUUACUGGUCAUGUCCCCUUCACUGUCACCCUUGAUAUGUUCCAGCACUACAAGAUAAAUAUUAAUUGACCUACUGAGCCUCUUGUCCUCUUCCCUAUUAUCGUCGAUGGAAGCCUCAAUGACUUAUUUGUGAUAAAUUGCUUGCUAAUUUAGGUUAUGUAUUCCCUUAUGUGCUGCAGGUUUUACAGGAACUAUGUCUAUCACAAGGUUUUGAAUGGGUCCUUAAAAGUGGCGAUGGAAAUCCACAAAAGUAAAGUUCAUGCAACCAAAUUCUACGUUAGUCUACGAGGUAAGAAUUAGCAUAUUUACUAUGUAUUACGAUAAGUAAUAAAGUAGACACAUCUCACCACAAGACUUAAUGGAAAAUUUCUAAAUUGCAUGAAAUUCUUGAGCUUUGUGUUCAAGAAAGAAAAUCUCUGCUUAUUCUGUUUACAUGGAUCAUUGUGAUCUGUUGUUGUUUGUCUGAAUUUACCCUUAAGUGCCUUGGUAAUCGAGUUGAUGUGAUGUCUGAGUUUUGCAUUUUGAAAAGAGGAUUUACAUCGUUCCUUGAAGUUAUAUCAGUGCAUAGCAUCAGUUUAAAUCAUCCUUGAAUAUUGCCUAAUUGAUUCUCAUCACAUAUUGGAAUUUGAAAAGUUAAUAGGUCUGUUUAAUGUAAACGCAGAAGUACAUAUACACAGAACAAGGAAUGUGUGUUUACAUAUACGUAUUUGUGUUUAAACUACUAUUAAGAUGGCUGAGGUACAAAAGUCAUUUGUUGAAAAUGGUAAGGAACCUGUUUCUUUGGAAGCAGCAAGGGAUGUAUUCUUGAUAUCUCGAGUGGCUCUUUGAACAUUCAACCUUCAGUGCAGCUAUGAUGAUUUAAAAUAUACAAAGGAUACCAAAUACACUGGGGAUGAGUGUUCCAUGUAAUUAAACACAUUAAUAUAUACCAUCAGAAAUAAUAUUUUGUUAAAUAUAUAUGAUUUCAUGCUGCUACAAUAUUGUAUCCUUCUGUUAGCAUUAAUUCUUUUUCCCUUUAAAAUGUUCGGCCUUAUUGUCACUUGUCAAUACCGUGGUUCAUCCAAACAAUUCAUAUUUGAUAUUGACGAAAACGAAAAAUUAUAAUGACUUGCAAAUGUAUUAAUUCUCUUAAAUGAAUUAAAGAACCUUAGUGCUACAACCUGACUCGUGGUCGUGGUUGUCGUAUUCAAUUUAAUUUUGUGCUCCCAACCCUUGUACCUAAGUCGAAGUGAUGCAGUAGACACCUCGUGCUAUCAGAAUUUUCUUACGAGUGCCUUUGGAAAUUAAACCUUAUAUGUGGUAUCGUGUUUGCAGGUGCUACACCAUUAUUAUACUUCUCUGCCAACUUUAUUUAUUCACUAUCUGGAAUUCUAUUUGGCCGGAUUAGGUCACCAGAGUAUGAUUUGCUAUCUAGCAUGAUCUUGUAUGCAGUGAUGAUCUCAGACCAUAGGAAGGCAGGCAAGAUAAAGAAAAAGACAAUAGAUCUCGAAAUUUAACUUCGUUUACAUAUAUGGUUAUUCAUUGUAAAGCUAAAUUAGUCUCUAAGCCAAGGAUCGAUGAGUCUUUUCCUUGUGUUCGUAUUUGUUGACUGGGCAUUGUAAGAAUCUUUUUAGAGGGUAAUUUUUCAUGUCCAUUGCUUCUAAUGGGCUCUUCUCUCAACAUUGAUAUAGGGUAUAAUAUUGAAAUGUUGUGAACUCUUUAAGUCCCUCAAAGAAACCCAAAUGUCGAGUUGUUUAAUGGCUUGUUUGGUUGGACUUUGAAAAAGUCAAAGCUGUUUAUAAGAUUAUCGAUGUUUUUGGAUAAUUUUUAGAAAAUGAUUUGACUGGUUUGAUGAGCUUUUUAAAAUUGAUAACUUUUUACAAGUAAAAGUCUUGUCAAACAGGUGUUAAAGUAUAAGUCCUGUUAAUUGAGUUGAGUGAGGAUUAGUUUGUUCUACUAAAAUGUGCUUUUUACAAUAAAAAGUGGACUAAAGUAGAUCAUGAUAAAUUGAUCUAUAAAUAGCCCAUCUAACUUUAAAAAAAUCGAGUCAUUUUUACAUUGACAUUCAGUGCUUGUUUGGGAAAGUUAAACGGUUGAUUUUGUUAAAAGAAGUGGAAGGUCUUUUGAAAUGAGUGGUGGAAAAGAGAGUAAUACUGGUGAAUUUUGUGUAAUGUAAGAUUACUAUUAAGGGUGGUUAUAUUAUCAUCACAAUAAGUGUUUGGUGCCCUAUAAUUUUCUUAUUUAUUUUAAAAAAUCACUAGUAAAAUGACAUAAGUACCCUAUCUUUUAUUCACUAAUAUAUUUAUUCAUAUGAUCACUAUCAUCCGCACACAAAAAAAUACCUAAAGUCCUAUUUAAAGAUACAAAUGCCAAGAUCAAAAGAUCCAAGAUUGAGGAAAAGAGCAAGAAAUUUUAGGAUAUGGUAUAGGCAUUUUAUAAUAUUGAAUCUAUUAUUUUAAAAGUUCGCUAUAUUUUUCUGAAGAAACUCGUCAUUAUUGUAGAAUAUGCCAUUAUACAACCUGCAAGAGGCAUUGGAUUUGGAGGCUAAAUGUUAUAACCCACUCACUCAUAGUCAAAGUCAAGAAAAUUAUUUAGUCAAAGUCCGAAAUUCAAUUGGUUAAAGUCAAUUUCAAAUAGGGAUUUAAAUGAAAUAAAUUAUUUUAUUGGGGUUUAAUUUAUUAUGAAAAAUAGUUAAAGGUUUAAAAUGGAUAAAACUUAAUUUUAGGGAUCUACUUAUAUAUUAUUGGAAGUAAAGGACUAGAUGCUAUAUUAAAUUGAAGAAUAAGGACUUCCUAUGCAAAAAUGGGUUGUGGAGUGCAUGUGACAAGUAAUUAACCCAUUACUAUUUUCAUAUAAUAAAUACAUACCGAGAGAUGAGGCUGGAGAUGGGCAGAAGCAAGAAAAACCAAGAAAGAGAGAAGGAAAAGGAGAAAAAGAAAAGGGAGAGAGAGAGAGAGAGAGAGAGAGAGAGAGAGAAGGAGAAGAAAAGGAAGCGGGUCUUCAAGCUUGGAUUCUCCAUUUCUUCAUUGAUUUAGAGAGGUAGGUGUAAGUAGGAUGAGUUAUCUUUUUGAGUUUAUGAAAAUUUUCUAAAAUUUAAGGUUUAGCAAAAUUAAUGAUUGUUGAUAUAUGUUUGAGGCAUUAAAAACAACAAUAAUAUUAGUGUUGAAAGGAAGGAAAUUGAAAUGGGUUUGUAAAUUAGAGUUCCAAUCUUUGAAUUAUUGUGUUUACACUUGAUUUAUGAUGAAUUAGAGUGGUAAAAAAAAAUUUAGGUUAGAUUUUGGUAUUUAUAAUAAAUUUUCGAGCAAAAUUCAUGUGCAGGUGCUAUUCAUGAAAUUCUGCCCAGAAAAGUGCCAUUUCUGUCAAUGGUUUUGAUGCCAGAUCUUAAUAUGCAGAAAUUGGUGCCAGGUUUCAAUUUUUUGGGAUUUUAGUGCUGUUUUUGACAAAACACUUAUUUUUCAGAUUUUUAAAGGCUUCAAUGAAGUUAUAUGAUAAGUAUUGAGGUUUAUGUAUUGGAAUAAAUUAUGUAUAGUGCUUGUAUAUGUAUAAGUUAAUGAUUUUAAGGAAGUGUGGGUAAUUUAAUAGAUUUGAUAAUACAUGGUGUUUAGUCGAUGAAUUAAUAAAGAGAAUAAAAGUUGGGGAUUGGAGAUGUAAGAGUAAAUAUAGAAGUUGAGGAGUUAAGUGGUGGAAUUGUAUUGAUUUAAAUAUGAAGUUUCAAUUUGAGUAAUUAUUAUACCGUUAUUUCAGGUAGUGACGUGAAAACUUGAAAAUACUUGUCAAUUUAGCCAGAUUUCUAUCCAUAAAUAUGUGAAUGGAAAAAAUAUAAAUAUUUUUAAAGUAUUUAUAAAUUAAGUAUAUUGUUAAAGUAUGUGCAAUUAUGUUCUCGAAUUAUAUGGUUAUUAUGAAAAUAUAUUUUAUUAUGAUACAUGUGAUAUUUUAAAGAUUGUAUACGGUACAUUGUGAAUUGGAAUAUGAGACAUGAUUUUGAAAUCGACCAAAAUAAUACCCGUGAUUAUAUAUUUCUUCUAGUUCACUGAGGAGUCUUGGCCAUGUUCUAUACAACACUGAAGGGUCUUGGACCGGGGAUGAAGGGGUCUCGACCGUAUACAUAGGGCUGCACAAAAAAAUCAUGAAACCGCAAAUCGAACCGAAACCGUUGAGUUGAAACCAUUGGUUCGGGUCCACAUGGACCCAUAGUUUCUUUUUCGUCAAACCGAACCAAACCGUUUCAAAAUAGUUUGAUUUAGGUUUUGAUUUUCAAAAACUGUACAAAUUGAACGGAACCCUUUUUAAAUUUUUUAAUUAAAACAUUAAUUUUAUUAACUUAAAAAUUUUAGGGUUUUUUCUAUUUCUUUUUAAAUAUCAAUUUAGUAAUACAAAUUAUAACCAACUUAUUGAAAUAAUCAUAAAAAGUAAAUUAUGUUCAUUAUUAUUGACCUAUGAUUUAACAGGUUCACAACAAAUGUCUUACCCGAUAUCUAAACUAAACUAAAAUUAUUCCAAAAUCAUAUGAAAUGAAGAAAAAACACAUAUUUUCACAAUCCAAAUCAUGAUUCAACAAAAUUACGUAAGUAAAUCACGUCCAAAACUUUAGAAGCCCUAACAUAAACUCUCAUUUUCCUAACAUUUGAUGCUUUUCUGCCACUGUUGAACGAUUACUAAUUGCAUUUGUCUGUUUUUGUUAGUCUACUAAUCUCUUCCCGAGUCGUCUCUUUCUCUCUUCUCGUCUUAGAUUCUUAUUCAAUCCAUUUUUCCAUUGUUCUUUCUUUUAUUUUAUUUUUUUGAACUUAUUAUACAUUUGUGAGUUCUGGUUUGGAUAGAAAAAUGAUUAUUCGUGUGCCUAGUUGAUUAAUGAACUUGUUUGUGAUUUGGAAAAAACAAAGGACGGAAUGUAUUGAUUAUAUGAAAAUGUUAAAGUUCCCUAACUAGUGUUAUUACCUUCUACUUUCAUAAAGUAGUUAGAUGAUAAAAUUCGUCAAUUUUCAAUAAGUCAAAAAUCUAUUAAUCUUUGUACAUCUAAAUAUAUCACGUUUAAUUCUUAUUUUACAUCUCACUAGCAAGACGAAAGGAAUUUUAACCAAACUAUAAUAACAAAAUGUAACUCUACCUUUACCAAUAGUUAUAUGACAAUGCGAAUGUCAAAUAAGAAAAGAUAAAUAAAAAUGAAGAAAGAUGUAUUUGUUCUAUUAACAUCUUUUAGAAAACAACUUUGAAAAUAAUUUAUUCACGGGUUUCAUAGUAAUUAUGAAUGUAAUUUAACAUUUAACAUAAUUAGUUAUUGUUUAAACUUAUAUUUAAUUUAUGUUAAAUACAUUACUAUAAUGUCGAAAAGUAAACCGCAGAUUAAAACCGAACCAAACCGCAAAUUAUGGUUUGGUUUGAUUUGAAAAAAUUUCAAACCGCAUAAAAUGGUUUGAGUUGAAGAUAUAGCACAAACCGCCCAAAUCGAACCGCGAUCACCCCUACGUGUACAUAUAGUUCACUGAGAGGUCUUGACCGUACUCUAGAAUUGAUUAUGAGAGGUAUUUGAGAUCAUCGUUCAUUCAUGGAGGGAGUCAAACGCCCGUGGUAAAAGUUCUUAGCCCGAGGGGUGGAUUACAUAUUUCAGUCAGAGGGUACAUUUUUGGUGAAUUUUUUAGCAUGCUUGAUGUGAUGAGAUUAUAGCGUGGUUAUCAGCUGAUAUUUAUAUCAUGAUUUUGAGAUGAUAUUUUACAACGUUAUGUGAAUGUUUCACUUUUGGUUAUAAUUACAUAAUGUUAUCUUGUGAAGUAUUAAAUGAUAUGAACUCGAUUUUUGAUAGAAAUGUAAAAUUGAAAAGGUAUAAUUAUUUUCGAACUUCUUCACUCACUGAACUAUCAACUCAUAUAUUUUCCCACGAUUUUUCCUACAGGUAGCAAUUGAUUCUUUUUAGCUGAAGAGCCUAAUGAUUUUGGAAUGAAAGCCACACAGUAUGUUGAAUAUUAUAACUCAUAUUGAUGAAAUAUGAAGUAAAUAUUUUGGGCCCAUCGCAUUAUGUUUUACAUAAGCAUUUGAUUUUGUUGUAUUUUUUUGAAGUAACUCAUAGUCAGCCUUGAUGAUAGAUUUGACAUCUAGUCAGCAUCUAUCUUCGGUGCACGUCUCGUCUCGGGUUCACUAAGGUGAUUCGGGAUGUGUUGUGUCAGAGUGGUAUCUAAGCAUGGUUUUGAAAAUUUUUAUGGUUUAUGCAUGCUCAGUGGGUAUGAUCACAUGUCGUGGUGAUAGAAAUCAUAAGCUCUCUAACUCGAAUGUAUGAAACCAAAAAUAAUAGAAAAAUAUUUUUUUAACUGAUUUAGAAGCGACUCGUAUGUAAGUAUGGUAGUUGUAAUGAUCUAAUGGUUGGAAAUGAUAUUAGUUGUUGGGUUGAAACUAUGUGUGUAUGUAACCUAUUAAGAUUUGAACAGAUUGUGAUGAUUUUGUAGGGCAUUUGAAGUUACAGAUAUUACAACCACUUAAUUAUCAAUUUAUUUGUAGAACUACAUGAUUUUUUUUAUGAGUACAUAGGAAAUUUUUUAGCUAUAGCUUGCACGAUAAAUACAAGGAAAUGAUAUGAUGUGUAAUCGGUGACAAUUAGUGGGGAAUUUUAAUUAUUCUUGAAGCCAAAUGGUUAUUAGUGUUAUCAAAUUUUGUGGUGAUUUAAGGCCACUUUAAUGGGAUGAUAAUAGAAAUCAUGAUGAUGUAUAUUUAUGCUAUAUGAUAAGGUGGAAGACAAAAUGAUAAUUUGUUGAUUGAUAGAAGACAAUGUGUUAUUGUGUACUUUAAGCAUCAAGGAAAUUAACGAUAAUUUCAAUUAUUUAUGAGUAGUUUGAUUACAAGGAAUGUUAGAAUAAUAGGGAUGAACUUCACAAUGUUUACCUAUUAGGGAGUGAUUUGUUUAUUUAAAAACAGAAUUAAUUGGAUAUGUGCAUUUAGGUAUGUUUAUGCGAAAAAAAAAAUUGAAAUUGAGAAUGGUAGAAUCGAAGUUUGUUGAGAUUGGGAAAUUAACAUGCGGUAUAUUGAUAUGUGAAAUGUUCAAGUGAUAAAUAUGAAGGUUAUCAUCUUGUGAUAUUAAGGGAAAUUUAUAUAAUUAAAUGUUUUAGGUCAUACAAUAUGACGAUAAAUGCUAAGGUUACAAGAUCAUAACAUGAUAUGGUGAAUAGCAUGAAAAUGAAUGUAAUGGUUGUCCUAUAGCAAAGUAAUAUGAUGAUUUAUUUGGGUUAUUUAAGUUAACGAAUUUUGUUAGGGCCAUUUGUUGAUUAUUGUGUUACAUUUCAUACAAUUUGGAAGCGUUGAGUUAAAUUUUGAAGUUAAGAUGAAUUUAUUGAAAUGUUAGUUAUGUAAAUUUUGGGCUAUUUUUAAUUGUAUUUUGGAUCAUGAACAAAGUAUUCAAUUUUUGUCAAAAUAAAUUUGUUAAGGAAUAUAAGUAAGACAUGUUAGCUAUGUCUAAAGUUUAAGAUGAUCAUCAAAUAUAGAUUUUACUCAUUGUGAAAUAGUAUCUUUUGGUUACAUUAUCUUAAUUAAAGGUCUUUAUGUGAUAUACAAAAAAGAUUAUGCAUUGACGAUAGAUCAACAAUCUAUUUAUGAAAUAAGAGUAUAGAUUUUCAUGGAUCAAAUGUUAUUAUUGUCUCUUUAUAAAAAGAAAGAACAAAAUUUGUAUGUGUAUAGAAAUGUCAAAAGUUUUGCUAUCAGGAAAUAUUGAAAAAAUAUUUGCUCUUAUAUUUAAAGAUGAUAAGCGAUUGAUUCACGAUAAUGAUUUAUGUUAUGGUUUAGAAAUUGUUUUCUAAGUGGAACGAUAAAAUAUGGAUUAUGUUGUAGAUUGAUAAAGAGAUAUAAUUAAAUCAUGAUAUAUGGUUGAUUAUAUUGGGAUUGACAUUUAGGAAUUGUGGCAUUAUCACAUGGUGGGAAGACCAAUACUUACGGACCACAUGAGUUUAAGGAAUAUUUAUAUUCAAAAAGGAGCUGAACUUAAAGCUAUGUAUAUAUUAUCGUUAGGUGAUAAAAUGAAAAGUUAAAAAUAUCACAUAUUUAUAUUAGGAUGAUAUUUAAGGUAUCGGUUCAACAUGUAUUUCAUAUGUUCGGUGGUUAGUAAAUGGACGUCAGAUUUAACUAAUGCUAUAAGAUCAUCAGUGGAGUUGGUUGAAAAUCUUACAUAUGAAGAAAAAUCAAUUCGGAUCUUGGAUAGGAAAUGAAUAGAUUUUGUGCAGAAAGUCUAUUCCACUAGUUAAAGUUUGUUUGGAAAAAAAAAAAAUAGAGGCUUCAUGGGGCAAGUAUUCAAAUAUAUGCUCUAUAUCUUUGUGUUCGAAUCCUAAUUGAUUGAAUUUCGAGGAUGAAAUUUUUUGAAGGGGGUAAGAUUGUUAUAACCCACUCACUCAUAGUCAAAGUCAAGAAAAUUAUUUAGUCAAAGUCUAAAAUUCAAUUGGUCAAAGUCAAUGUCAAAUAGGGACUUAAAUGAAAUAAAUUAUUUUAUUGGGGUUUAAUUUAUUAUGAAAAAUAGUUAAAGGUUUAAAAUGGAUAAAACUUAAUUUUAGGGAUCUACUUAUAUAUUAUUGGAAGUAAAGGACUAGAUGUUAUAUUAAAUUGAAGAAUAAGGACUUUCCAUGCAAAAAUGGGUUGUGGAGUACAUGUGGCAAGUAAUUAACCCAUUACUAUUUUCAUAUGAUAUAUACAUACAGAGAGGUAAGGCUGGAGAUGGGCAGAAGCAAGAAAAACCGAGAAAGAGAGAAGGAAAAGGGGGGAGAGAGAGAGAGAGAGAGAGAGAGAAGAAGAAGAAGAAGAAGAAGAAGAAGAAGAAGAAGUGGGUCUUCAAGCUUGGAUUCUCCAUUUCUUCAUUGAUUUAGAGAGGUGGGUGUAAGUAGGAUGAGUUAUCUUUUUGAGUUUAUGGAAAUUUUCUAAAAUUUAAGGUUUAGCAAAAUUAAUGAUUGUUGAUAUAUGUUUGAGACAUUAAAAACAACAAUAAUAUUAGUGUUUAAAGGAAGGAAAAGUGAAAUGGGUUUGUAAAUUAGAGUUCCAAUCUUUGAAUUAUUGUCUUUACACUUAAUUUAUGAUGAAUUAGAGUGGUAAAAAAAAAAAAAAAAAAAUUAGGUUAGAUUUUGGUAUUUAUAAUAAAUUAUCGAGCAAAAUUCAUGUGCAGGUGCUAUUCAUGAAAUUCUGCCCAGAGAAGUGUCAUUUCUGUCAAUGGUUUUGAUGCCAAAUUUCAAUAUGCAGAAAUUGGUGCCAGGUUUCAAUAUUUUGGGAUUUUAGUGCUGUUUUUGACAAAACUCUUAUUUUUCAGAUUUUUAAAGGCUUCAAUGAAGUUAUAUGACAAGUAUUGAGGUUCAUGUAUUGGAAUAAAUUAUGUAUAGGGCUUGUAUAUGUAUAAGUUAAUGAUUUUAAGGAAGUGUGGGUAAUUUAAUAGAUUUGAUAAUGCAUGGUGUUUAGUCGAUGAAUUAAUAAAGAGAAUAAAAGUUGGGGAUUGGAGAUGUAAGAGUAAAUAUAGAAGCUGAGGAGUUAAGUGGUGGAAUUGUAUUGAUUUAAUUGUUAAGUUUCAAUUUGAGUAAUUAUUAUUCCGUUAUUCAGGUAGUGACGUGAAAACUUGAAAAGACUCGUCAAUUUAGUCAGAUUUCUAUCCAUAAAUUUGUGAAUGGAAAAAAUAUAAAUAUUUUUAAAGUAUCUAUAAAUUAAGUAUAUUGUUAAAGUAUGUGCAAUUAUGUUCUCGAAUUAUAUGUUUAUUAUGGAAAUAUCUUUUAUUAUGAUAUAUGUGAGAUUUUAAAGAUUGUAUACGGUACAUUGUGAAUUGGAAUAUGAGACAUGAUUUUGAGAUCGAUCAAAAAAUUACCCGUGAUUAUAUAUUUCUUCUAGUUCACUAAAAGGUCUUGGCCGUGUUCUAUACUACAUCGAGGGGUCUUGAACCGAGGAUGAAGGGGUCUCGACCGUGUACAUAUAGUUCACUGAAGGGCCUUGACCGUGUUCUAAAAUUGAUUAUGAGAUGUCUUUGAAACCAGCUUUCUUUCACGGAGGGGGCCAAAGGCCCGUGGUGAAAGUUCUUAACCUGAGGGGCGGAUUACAUAUUUCAGUCAGAGGGUACAUUUUUGGUGGAUUUUUCAGUAUGUUUGAUGUGAUGAGAUUAUAGCGUGGUUAUCAGCUGAUAUUUAUAUCAUGAUUUUGAGAUGAUAUUUUACGACCUUAUGUGAAUAUUUCACCUUUGGUUAUAAUUACAUGAUGUUAUCUUGUGAAAUAUUAAAUGAUAUAAACUCGAUUUUCGAUAGAAAUGUAAAAUUGAAAAAGUAUAAUUAUUUUCGAACUUCUCCACUCACUGAACUAUCAACUCAUAUAUUUUUCCACGAUUUUUUCUACAGGUAGCAAUUGAUUCUUUUUAGCUGGAAGAGCCUAAUAAUUUCGGAAUGAGAGCCACACGGCAUGUUGAAUAUUAUAACUCAUAUUGAUGAAACAUGAAGUAAAUAUUUUGAGCCCAUCGCAUUAUAUUUUACAUAAGUAUUUUAUUUUGUUGCAUUUUUUGAAGUAACUCAUGUUAGCCUUGGUGAUAGAUUUGACAUCUAGUCAGCAUCUAUCAUCGGUGCACGUCUCAUCUCGGGUCCACUAGGGUGAUUCGGGACGGGUCAUGUCACUAAAGGACAGUAUUUAGAAAUGGAUCAUUGCAUGGAUCGUGAUAUCCCAUUUGCUGAAGAUUGGAUAAAAGUUAGAGAUAUUUGUAAACUUGUUCAAAAUGUAUAUGAUGUUGCUGAAGUUCUUUUCAAGACAAAACAUGAUAGUGCAGGCAUCUAUGUUCACAAAUUUCAAGAAUUACAAGCAAGUUUUAUAGAAGAAUCCAGAAAUUCAGAUAAAUUUGUUAGAAUCAUAGCUCGGAAGACGCUAAAGAAGUUUGAGAAGUACUGGAAGAACAUGUUCCUUGUACUAACCGUUGUUACGGUUUUGAAGCCUCAAUAUAAAAUUAAGUAUAUUGAAUUUUCUUCCUUGAAGUAUGAUACUAGUUCUAGUAUAUCAGAAGUGACAACCAUUUCAAAGUCCAUUCACUCACCUUAUGAUGAUUAUGUUACUAGCAAAACCAGAUAAGAAUAUACAUCAAAGAAAGAUGCAUACACCCAAAUGUUGGUUUUAAUUGUUGAGAUGAGUAUAACCAGUUUAUCCAAUCUAAUAGUCAAUCUCGAUCCCUAGGUAAGAGCUUGAAUGCUACUUGGAAGAACCUGUCGUGCCUUGGAGCAAAAAUUUCAGAGUGCUGUCAUGGUGGCAAUCUGUGAGCCCCAAAUAUCCUACCAUGUCCAAAAUGGCUCGUGAAUCUCUGCACAUAAAAUGUUGAUAUUUCAUGUCCAAAAGAACAAAAGAUCCAAAGAUUAUUGAGCCAAUGCAUGGAGGAAAUGUUGAUAUUCCAUGUCCAAAAGAACAAAAGAUUCAAAAAUUAUUGAGCCAAUGGAUGGACGAAGAAUGGUUGGGGAAAAAUGAGGAGUAAUUUUGGGACGGAGAAUACAUUAUUAUUAUUAUUAUUAUUAUUAUUAUUAUUAUUAUUAUUAUUAUUAUUAUUAUUUUCAUUUUUAGUUCUUUUUGGGGUUAAGACUAUAAUUGUAAAUUUGUUAUGGCAUUUUUAUUGGAAACGUGUUAUUAUUGUGGUGGUGUUAUAAUGUGUGUAGCAAGUAAAAUUUGUGGUGGCAAUAUAAUUACCCUAAUGUUAAUUGUUACUUUUGAUCCCAUCUUUUUAAUCUUUUUCAAACAAGCAUUUGCCUAAUUUUUUUAAUUAAUUAGACAAAUAGUCAAGUUGAAUAUGGUCUUUACUAUUAAAAAAAUGUAAAUAAACAAUAAUUAUUUUUCAUAAGACUAAAUUCUCCAACUCAUAAAAGGAAUGGCAAUACGACAGGUGAUUUUCCUUGUCUUUUGUCGCGUUGGAUAUUCUUGGGUAGAGGAUAGGAAAUUAGGAAUAGGGAAUUUGCUACUCUAUUUACUCAAUUUUCUAAUAUCAAAUUUCAAAUAUGAUUUAAGUUUAAAAAUAUACAUAUACAUAUAAAACUAAGAGUCUGAACAAGUAUGAAGUGAGUAAAAUGUUCUCAGUCCCUAUAUCGAUUUUCUAUUCGGUGGGACGUAACAAGACAUUUGCUGUCUUUGCCUAUAAAGAGCUUUUUAUAUUCUAAAAAAAAAAGUCAUUUCCUCAUUGACAUUUAAAAGUAAAUAAGAUUAUUCAUAGUUGCUUACUAUUAGUAAUUGCUUUACGUGAAAGUUUGUUAUUUGAGACAUUAAUUUUCUAUAAUUUUAUUUCGUAAAACCAACCUUUCAUUCUUUAGCAGAGCUCUCUCUCUCCACCAUUUCAUUCAAUUUGAUAAUAAACUCAUCCUUGGAGGGGGUUAAAAUUAAAUUUUUAGUUUAAUUUUGAUAAAAAUUGAUGUUUUGAGCUCAUUUUCAUCUUAUUUAUGGACAAUUUUUAAACGUUGCACAGUACAAAACCUUUAUCGUGGGGGAUCUAUACCCUAGGCUGGCAGCUUUGUUUCUUUAUUUCUUAUUUCUGAUACCCAAUUGACGAUGAUUAGUUAAAGUGAACUUGGAAAAGUAAAGAAACAAUGCAUGGCUUUUGUUUGGAGCAAUUCGCGUUCACAUUUCAAGAUAGGGGUAAAAUUGGAAGUUGGCCAUAUAUAUGCAUAACACCAUUUGGACUAGCUUUCACAUGGUGGGCCACGUGAUGUGAUAGAAGAAUGCAUUUUUUUCACAAUAAUGGCGUCCAAACGUUAGCUUUCACAUGGUGGGCCACGUGAUGUGAUAGAAGAAUGCAUUUUAAUGAUGCCCACACGUCAAUAAUGGCGCCCAAACGUCCAUUAUUGUAGAAAAAAAUGGAUUCUUCUAUCACAUCACAUGGUCCACCAUGUGAAAGCUAACGUUUGGGCGCCAUUAUUGUGGAAAAAAUGCACGUUUGGGUGCCAUUAUUGUGGAAAAAAUGCAUUCUUCUAUCACAUCAUGUGGCCCACCAUGUGAAAGCUAGUCUAAAUGGUGUUAUGCAUAUAUAUGGUCAACUUCCAAGUUUAAAAAAAGGUUAAACCUCAACCUUGAGGGGCUUCACUGCCUCGCCCUUGGAGUAUCGUGAGGAAGGUAAAUUGCGGGAUGUGCCCCAACAGGUCAGGGAACAAGAGCUUGUCCGUACACUGGUGCUCACAAGGAAUCCGAUUCCACAUAUCAGGAAUCGACCCCUUACACUGCGGCUGCCAACAAAGUUGAGACUAUCUCACUUCUAUCUUUUGCACCACUGAGUUAUGCCCCGGGGGCGUCAACUUCCAAGUUUACCCCUAUCUUGAAAUGUGAACACGUAUUGUUCCAAACAAAAGCUAUGCAUUUUUUACUUUUCCAAUGAACCAAGUUUCCAUUAUUGAGGAUAGAGUGUUGUAAAGCUCAUAUAAAGCAAAUGUCGAUAAGAGGGAAUUAAAAUUUUAGAGGGUAUUUGGUGGGGAUAAAAAUUAGAUUUUUUAGUAGAUUGUGAUAGAAGUUGUUAAAAUGUGUAGUUGAAAAUUUGUGGAACCUAUAAAAGAUGUGAUUAGUGUUGAUUGUUUGACUUUAACUUAGAUUAAAAUCAGAUUUUAAUCCAAAUCAAAUAGUCUGUUAAAUCCUUGUCAAAGUCAAAGUCAAUAAUUCAUUUAAAUCACGUAUUUUAAGACAUUCAUAAGUUUUUAAUCAUAUACUGUAUCAAUUUUUAUCAAAAUUUAUUAAAAAUUUAAUUUUAACUUGUAACAUCACAUUUCUCUUUUCCUAAUUUUUGCGAAUAUGAUAUUGCCUAAUGAUAUAUUUAAUGCUUAUUAUUAAUUUAUUGUCAAUGAGACUACUAAUAUAUUGUAGUGGAUUAUACCUUGAACGUCCUAGGUGAUUGACAUGACAAUUAAAGUUAAUUAUAUGAAAAUCUAGGAAAGGAAAGCAAAUGUAAAUAGAUGAAGAAAGAGGACUAGUAAUUAUUGAGGAGAGUGUGCUAUACAGCUCAUAUAAAGCAAAUGUCAGUAAUGGGGAAUUAAAAUUUAAAUAUUUACCAAAGUCGGAGUCAAUAAUUGAUUUAAAUCAAGUACUUUAUGAUAUUCAUAACUUUUCAAAUAUGUUAUUGAGUUGUGAAUAUCACAGAAGAAUGCAUUUUUGGAAAAAGUUUUGUCUGAUUUGAUGAGCUUUUUUGAAGGAAAAUGAUAACUUUUUUACAAGGAGUAGAAGUCUUGUCAAACCGGCGUUAAGUAUAAGAUCUACUAAUUAAGUUGAGUGAGGAUUAGUUUGUUCUACUCAAAUGUGCUUUUUACAAUAAAAAAUGAACCAAAGUAGAUCAAGAUAAAUUGAUCUAUAAACAGCUUCUCUAAUCUUAAAAAAAUCGAGUCAUUUUUACAUUGACAUUCAGUGCUUGUUUGGGAAAGUUAAACAGUUGAUUUUGUUAAAAGAAGUGGAAGAUCUUUUGAAAUUAGUGGUGGAAAAGCGAGUAAUACUAGUGGAUUUUAUGUAAUGUAAGAUUAAUAUAAAGGGUGGUUAUAUUAUCACCACAAUAAGUGUUUGGUACCCUAUAAUUUUCUUAUUUAUUUUAAAAAAUUACUAGUAAAAUGACAUAAGUACCCUAUCUUUUAUUCACUAAUAUAUUUAUUCAUACGAUCACUACCAUCCGUACACAAAAAAUACAUAACUCUACUUAAAGAUACAAAUGCCAAGAUCAAAAGAUCCAAGACUCACUAAUAUAUUUAUUCAUACGAUCACUACCAUCAGUACACAAAAAAUACAUAACUCCUACUUAAAGAUACAAAUGCCAAGAUCAAAAGAUCCAAGAUUGAAGAAAAGAACAAGAAAUUUUAGGAUAUGACAUAGGCAUUUUGGAAUAUUGAAUGUAUUAUUUUAAAAGUUCGCUAUAUUCUUCUUGGAAACUCGUCGUUAUUGUGGAAUAUGCCAUUAUACAACCUGCAAAAGGUAUUGGAUUUGGAGGCUAAAGGACGGUAUUUAGAAAUGGAUCAAUGCAAGGAUCGUGAUAUCUCAUUUGCUGAAGACUGGAAAAAAGUAAGAGAUAUUUGUAAACUUGUCCAAAAUGUAUAUGAUGUUGCUGAUUUUUUUUCGAGACAAAACAUGCUAGUGCGGGCAUCUAUGUUCAUAAAUUUCAAGAAUUACAAGCAAGUUUGAUAGAAGAAUCUAGAAAUUCAGAUAAAUUUGUUAGAAUCAUAGCUCGGAGGACGCUAAAGAAGUUUGAGAAGUACUGGAAGAACAUGUUCCUUGUACUAACCGUUGUUACAGUUUUGGAUCCGCAAUAUAAAAUGAAGUAUAUUGAAUUUUCUUCCUUGAAGUAUGAUACUAGUUAUAGUAUCUCGGAAGUGACAGCCAUUUCAAAGUCCAUUCACUAGCCUUAUGAUGAUUAUGUUACUAGUAAAACUAGAGAAGAAUAUUCUAUGAGUGAUUCGAAUUCUGAGUUUGAAGAAGAGAUUCCUACAAACAUCAAAGAAAGAUGCCAACUCCCAAACUUUGGUUUUAAUUGCUUAGAUGAGUAUAAACAGUUUAUCCAAUCUGAUAGUCGAUCUCGACCAUUAGAUAAAAGCUUGAAUGCUACUUGGAAGAACCUGUCGUGCCUUGGAGCAAAAAUUUCAGCGUGCUAUCUUGAUGGCAAUAUGUGAGCCCCAAAUAUCCUACCUUGUCCAAAAUGGCUCGUGGAUCUUUGCACAUAAAAUGUUGAUAUUUCAUGUCCAAAAAAUAAUUGAGCCAAUGGAUGAAGGAAAUUGAUGAGGAAGAAUGGAUGGGGGAAAAUGAGGAGUAAUUUUGGGAAGGAGAGUACAUUGUUAUUAUUAUUAUUUUUUUUUUUUUUCAUUUUCAGUUUUUAUUGGGUUAAGGCUAUAAUUAUAAAUUUGUUAUGGUAUUUUUAUUAGAAACAUGUUGUUUUGAUGUGUGUAGCAAGUAAAAUUUGUGGUGGCAAUAGAAUUGCCUUAGCAUUAAUUGUUACUUUUGAUCCCGACUUUUUAAUCUUUUUCAAACAAGCAUUUGCUCAAUUUUUUGAAGAACUAGACAAAUAGUCAAGUUGAAUAUGGUCUUUACAAUUGAAAAAAUGUAAAUAAAUAAUAAUUAUUUUUAUAAGAUUAAAUUCUCCAACUCAUAAAAUGAUUUCAAUACGGCAGGCGGUUUUCAUUGUCUUUUGUCGCGUUGAAUUUUCUUUGGUAGAGGGUAGGAAAUUAGGAAUAGGGAAUUCGUUACUCUAUUUACCCAAUUUUCUAAUAUAAUUUUUAAAUACAAUUAAAGUUUAAAAACAUAUAUAUGCAUAUAAAAAUAAAAGCCUGAACAAGUAUGAAGUAAUAACUUGUUCUCAAUUCCUAUAUCGAUUUUCUAUUCGCAUGGAACAAAACAUUUGCUGUCUUUGCCCAUAAAGAGCUUUAUACUCUAAAAAAAAUCUCAUUUCCACAUUGACAUUUAAAAGUAAAUAAUAUUAUUCAUAGUUGUUCACUAUCAAUUAAUUUUCUAUAAUUUUAUUUCUUAAAACCAACAGUUCAUUCUUUAGCAAAGUUUUUUCUCUUUCGACCAUUUCAUGCAAUUUGACAAUAAACUCAUACUUGGAGGGGUUAAAAUUAAUUUUUUUUAGCAAAUUUUGGUAAAAAUGGACUUUUGGAGCUCACUUUCAUCUUAUUUAUAGACAACUUUUGACAUUGCACAGUACAAAACUCUUUCUUUAUUCCUGCUCGACACUAAAUUGAGAAAAAAAAAUACAAUACUUUUGUUAGAGAUGCUACUGUGACGGUGACAGUGACAGUGGCCAAUUUGACGCCCUCCUAUGGCCCUCGGCCAGAAUUAUUCUUACAGCGUUUGUGAUAGAAUUCACUUUUUCCACAAUAAUUCGCCUGACAUAAUAUUAAUAUGUUAUUAAAAAGUAUAAAAUAUCAUAAAAAAAUUUAGGCCCUGUUUAUGGUCUUUUUUUAAUUUAAAAAAUUAAAUUAUAGAAUAGUGAUUGAUGUUGAAAUGUGUGGUUAAAAAAAAGAAAUUUUUUUUAACUUUUGAGUAAUACUAUUUUAAUAAAAAAUGUGUGAUUAAAAAUAAGUAAAAAAUAUAAUAUGAUAAAAUAUGAAAGAAUAAUUGACAAACAAUGGCUUAAUCGAACAUUUGCUUUAUAUGAGCAGUACAACACACAUCUCAAUAAUUACUAGUCUUCUUCUUCAUACGUUUGCAUUUCCUUCCCUUUUCUGGGUUUUCAUUUGAUUUUCAGAUCUACAACCUCCAUUUCCAUGGCUUCAAAGCUAUGAGCUAAUCUAAAUUUUCUGUUUUUGCUUCAGUGGUAGCGUCUAUUAUGCUUUGAACAAAAAAUUUAGAGGGUAGACAACGUUCACUUUCACCAUCUUUCUCUUUCCCUGAAAUUCGACCAUCUUUUCCUUUUUUUGCAAUGGAUGUCUUACACACUGAUCUGUUUACUGCUCCUAUAGAUCUCCUUCAAAUUGUGAUCGAACACAUAUCAUCUGUCUCCUCCCCAGAUGGACAUAGAAUUGAUUUGUUACGUCUGCUUCAAUCUUUACGAGACAGCAGAGACUAUGAAAAUAUUGAAGGAAUCAGAAAUUUUUUCCGAGAAUUUGUGUCGCUUCAGCAAGAGCUUAAGGUGUCCUUUACAGUUCCUAACCGGCAAAUCUUGUCCAAUUUAACUCCUACUCCCAAUUCUAAUGAAGUUGUUGCGGCCUUCAUCAACUUUCUCCUCCUAAUGGUCCAAGUCAUCCUACAUUUUAAGGAAGAUUGGAUUGCUCGUGUAAAGGGUUCGUUCCAAAAUCUCCGGACAGAGCUUGGAUUUCUUAUCAGCUUUCUUGGGGAUACAACAAUGCAUUUGCAGCCCACCAAGACUCUAUUGAUAGAUGUUGAAGAAGUGGUCAACGGGGUAGGAAGUUUCUUGUCUUCCUUCUUUUUGACCAUUGUUGUAUUUAUUCUGAUCAAUAAAGUGAAAAAAGCCCAUACUAGAAUGCCGGAUUUGGGAGUUGUGGUUAAUGAGGUAAGAAGUCUCAUUCUUGAGGAUAUACCAUUGCUAACCACUAAGUUGAAAGCAACGAUAGAUAUUAAAGACCUGCUCCGUGAGAUAGGAAGUUUAUUAGAUUUCUUCAUUUUCACAAAGAAUGAUCAAGUUGUGGAGACAGGAAUCUUGGAUCUUGCUCUUUCUGAUUUGUUAGCAAAUUUUGAGACCUUGAAAACAAAGAUCAAGGAGCACUGCAUCGCAGUCUCAAAGAUGCCAAGUGAUAUGGCUCCAAAGACUGGUGUGGUUUCACUCUUCAUUGUUGAUUCCGUCCUCGACGAUCUCAUGGAUCUGAUAAAUAACAAGUCUGACUCAAUUGUUGUUGUGAAUGAUCAAAUUGUAACGCUCCACGAGGAGCUAAUGUUAUUGGGAUCAUCCAUCACAGAUAUAGCAUUGCAGCACGAAGCAGAACAUGAAGAACUUGUGAUACGGAGCAGAGACAUAGCAUAUGAAAUUGAAUAUGUUAUCAACUCAUUACCUCAUGUUUGGUAUCUUUCUCUCCGACUCCCUCAACUCAUUGUCAAGAUUCGGCUUAUUAUGAUAGCUGUCAAAGAAACGAAGAACAAUGUUGAUGUAGUUAGAAUGUCAAUUGUUUCAAAACAUCCGCAUGAGCUGGUAGAGUCAGAGUCAAAAGAACCUCCCAUUUUGGAAGACGUUGUUGUGGGAUUUGACAAUGUACAAACUGAAAUUGUAGAACAACUUGUUCGAGGAACAGACAAGCGACAAAUUAUUUCCAUCUUUGGGAUGCCUGGACUUGGUAAGACGACCUUGGCAACUAAAUUAUAUAAUCAUCACCAUGUUUUAUACCGUUUUCACAAUCGUGCCUGGUGUACUGUUUCUCAAAUAUAUAAUAAGAAAAAUGUGUUGAUUGAAAUUUUGAGCUCAAUGAGUAACAGUAAGGGGGAUACAUACAUGGAAGAGGAGGAAGAAAGCUUGGUUGAAGAUCUUUACAAAAACUUAAAAGGAAGGCGAUACCCCUUUAGUAACAGUAAGAGGGAUACAUACAUGGAAAAGAAGGAAGAAAACUUGGUUGAAGAUCUUUACAAAAACUUAAAAGGAAGGCGAUACCUCAUUGUGGUAGAUGAUAUAUGGGAUAUCGAUGUGUGGAAUGAUUUGAAAAGAUGUUUUCCAGAUGACAGUAUUGGAAGCAGAAUCUUAUUCACUACUCGAAUUAAAGAAGUGGGUUCGAAAGCUUCACCUUGUAGUGUAAAGGAACUUCCUUUUCUGUCGGAAGUUGAAUGUUGGGGAAUAUUACAAAAGAGAGUGUUCCAAGAUGAAAACUGUCCUCAAAAAUUGCUAGACAUUGGCAAGCAAAUUGCAAAAAACUGUCAUGGCCUACCACUUGCAGUGGUCGUGAUAGCUGGAAUUCUUGCAAACAUGGAAAAGAAAAAGCAGUUGUGGGAAAAUGUUGCAAGAAAUUUAAGUUCAUAUAUAUCCGAAAUAUCAGAGAAGUGCAUCCAAAUAUUGCAACUUAGCUACAACCAUUUACCAUUGCAUUUGAAACCAUGUUUUCUUCACUUCGGAGCAUUCAGAGAAGACAUGGAGAUCCCUGUACGGAGGUUGAUAUCUUUCUGGGUUGCCGAAGGAUUUAUAAAGAAGGAAGAACAUAAGAACAUAGAAGAUGUGGCACGAGAAUAUCUAAUGGAACUGAUUGAUAGGGGCCUAGUACUUGUUGCUGAAAGAAGAUAUGAUGGAGGAGUCAAAACAUGCAAGAUUCAUGAUCUAUUGCGUGAAAUGUGCUUGAAAAUAGCUGAAGAAAAUAACUUUUUGAAGUUUAUCGAACAGUAAGUUCAAUGUUUCUCUUCUUUUUUUUACUUUCGGUUCAGUCCAUUUUUUAUUUUAGCUUACUAAGAAGGUUAUUAUAUUUGAUAAUCAUAACAAUGAUGUGAUUAUGUUGUUUUGUUACCAGCUAUGAUGAUGAUGAACAAUGGUUCUUCAGUCAAGUAUCAACAUAUCAGCAGCACCAUUGUCUGAGUAUCAGCUCUGGGAAAUUUGCUGAUAGUCCACUACCUUUCGGCCUACACGUACGCUCUCUUCUAUGUGAGUCUUUUAUUACGAAGUUUACCAAAUUAAUCUCAUGCGGCUACAAAGUUCUUAGGGUCUUUAGAGGAAAUAUACAAUAUGGAUUAGAACAUCUGGUUCAGUUGAGGUAUUUGGAAGUUUCACCUAAACUGCCACCAUUGGAAAGGUACCCUUUCCACAAACUAGAAUUUCUUGUUGUGAACAAUGAUGAUGAAGUUGAAAUACCUGAAAUCCUUCUUAAUAUGGUGAGUUUGAGACACAUGCAGUUCUGGGGCGGUGCACACUUCAGUAAAUCUAGCCGUCAGCCAGCAAGUAACAGUAAGAGCUUCCAAAUAAAUAACCUACAAAGUAUUUCUGGACUCAGAAUUUUAGAUGAAAUCGAUGAGAAAAUUUUGAGAUGUUCGCCCAAUCUUCGCAGACUGGAUAGCUGGAUUGGAAAUGGUUCCUUCGACUUCCUUAAUCAGCUUGAAUCACUGAAGCUAGAUAAAGUAUUUCAUUUUUCUCCCAGUCUGAUCAGUUUGCCCUUGAGUUUGAAAAAAUUGAGACUAAGUUUUGUGGAAGCCUCUCGAAAGCAAAUGGAGAUAAUUGGAAGAUUGCCUUACCUUGAGGUUCUCAAAUUAGAACAUGUUGACUUUGGCGGAGAACAAUGGAACACAAGUGAAGAUGAAUUCCCACAACUUAAAUACUUGAAACUUGUAGAUGUAAAAAUUGCAGAAUGGAAUGCCUCAAGUGAGAAUUUUCCGAGACUUGAACGAGUAGUAUUGGAAUAUUGCAGGAAUCUGAAGACGAUCCCUUCCAGUUUAGGUGAUAUUUUAACGUUACAGAAGAUUGAAGUAUAUGAGUGUGCACAAACUAACAUUGAAUCAGCUAAGAAAAUUCAGGAAGAACAAAAAGAGAUGGGCAAUUUGUUUGAUGUCAUAAUCUCGGGAACAUUUGGUGAUACAUUUAGCCAAGGCAUCUGCAGCGCGGCGGACGAUUUGAAACGGGGAAGAAAUUCAGAAGGUAAUAAUGAGAGAGAUUCUCUUCUUUAAAUAUCUUUCACGUUCUCAUCUUGGUCCUAGGUAUUUUAUGUUAUACUAAAAUGAAACAUCAAAAAUAACUUUUACUGUAAUUUUGGCUUGUAUUGACAUUAUAUCCCUGUUUGGUUUUGUUAGGAUCUUCCUCUUUCUGGUCACAAUUUCCGGGCUCAGUUAACCAUUAAACAUCGAAUUCAACAUCAAUUGGAAUCACCAAGAACCGCCGGCGCCUCUUCCUUCUAUGGUUGCUUUCCUCCUUUACUUUGUUGAUUUAAUCCACACACUUAGGAUGGAUACCACUCAGGUAAGGUUCACAAAGACUCAAGCAAUUGGGGUGGAGAAGAAAUCAUGAAGGAGAUGAAGGCAGAAGAACUCGGCUGGACACGGCAGUUCCUCUAAGUCACGGCUUCAACUUGGACGGGUUCAACUAAUGGACGGUUUCAACAAGGAUGAAAACACCAAUAUAUAUAGUAAGUCAAGUGGCCAACAUAAGGUAAGUCGGGAUAUGGUAAGUAGGGAUAUGGUAAGUAGGCUCGACAAGGGUUAACUUCCAAUGGAAAGAAUCAACAAGCCACAAAGAGUAUUAGCCGUCCAAUAGGUAAGGCAACGUUUGGUCGGUUCAUCCAUUAUUCGAUGUUGAAUUAUCGUUCAGUCAUUUAUGUCGAUUGAUAAAAUUGGUUCUCAUCAUCGCCCAGGAGGUCGUUUGACAACAUAAUGUCUAACAGGUUUGAAUUAAAACCAGAUUAUUAAUAGAUUUUCAUAAAGGUCAAUGAGAUGUAUGAUUGAAAAAUUAAUAAAAAUUGUGAGUCUCAUAAAAUAUAUGGUUGAAAAUGAGUUAAAUUUGGGACCAAACAAGGGCUAAGUUGGCUCUAUUUUAUGAGCUUCUUGAUGUUAUUCUAGGAAUUACUAAUCCAUAUGGUUUUAUGCUGUGAAGCACGUGUCCGAGCCACGGGGACAUCUCGGAGAUGAAGAAGAACUGAAGGCUGUCGGAAGAACUGAAAAUCAGAGACAGGAAGAAGAUGUUGAGGAAGAAGUUCCGAGGUGAAGAAGAACUAAAGGCGUGUCGGAAGAAGGCUUGAAGAUCAACAACAGGGAAGAAGAUGUUGAGGAAGAAAACUCUUUUUUUGGGGGAAGAAGUGAAGAGACGUGUGUGGCAUUAUUCCCAAAAAGUUUACUUUCAAUUCAAAUGUAUUGGGCCCCAUAACAUUAAUGACUUCUCCUACUAUCUAUUCGAUUGAUUUUUCUUCGAUUUUACCCUUUAACAAAAAUAAACCAUUGAUUUUGUAUAUUUGUAAUUUCAGCUAAACCUCAAGGACAAAAAUGGGAUUUUCUGAAAUGGUCCCAAGUCACAAUUAAUUGGACUGCCAUAUGUACUGUGUGCCAUACUAUUAUGAGCUAGUAGUGUACAAAAAUUUAAUUUGACUAAAAAGUUUUAUUAGUAUUUGUUAUUUAUUUAUUUAUUUAUAUAUGAUGUAUUUUGGACUAUUAAAUUAAAUAAUAAUAAAAAAUAUUUUAAUCAACAUGUCGAUAACGUAUCGUGUCGAAAUUUUUUCGAAAAAUUGCGUGUCGACUUGUCGGAUACGUAUCAUGUCAGACACUCGUGUCCGUGUCGGUGCUUCUUAGGUUUUAUAUUUGGACAUCGAUCUCUAUUAUUUCUGCCUUUCACAUUUUCACCAUAAAAUAGUGUUUACAUAAAUCCCAACGAUCACAGUUUCACUUCUAGUUCAAUUCAAUCCUUUAAAUAAUUUCAUUGUUUAGGCCAAGUCCUCAGUUAAUUGCAUGGGAGGUCCUUCAACUUCCAAACUUGACAUCUUGGUCCCUGAUUUUAGAUGCCAUCCAACUUCUAUCCUUCUUGAUCAAAUAUCAUCUCUUUUUAUUGUUUCCUAUUCAGUACUAGUUUUUCUCCUAAAAUAGUCAACAAAUACACAAAAUUAAGUAUCUGGCUCAUAAAAGUAUUCCCAAACACGCACUUUUGAUGGCUUGGAUAAGUAUAAAAUCAUACUUGUCAACUCUCAUAGAUAUGCAACUUCAAGGGUCGAGUGAUCUUUUUUUGAGGUAAAUAGUGAUUUACUUAUUUGUAUUGCAUGUUUGUAUUCGCAGAAUACACUGAAGGACAGGUGAAUUCAAUUGUGUGAGUAAUAUCCCAAAGAUUUUAAACCAAUAGAGAUCUUGGCAUUGAUGAGCAAAUUUAGACAUGUAUUAUUGAUAUGCACACUUAUGAGAUUUUAAUAGGGCUAGAAAACUAUAAUCCCCAAUUUUCAAAUUUUGGGAUAUAAAAUAAGGAAAAUUUAACUGUCAAAACUUUUGCAUAGGAUUAUUAUAUAAUAAUGCGAGACAACGGAGUGAAACUUCAUGUUGGACUUUUAAUCGCAGUUGUGUGCAUGCAAAUUAAAAAAUUGGACACAACAUGUGGUGUGCUGAACACGCGUGCCUCUCAGUGUCGAAAAUUUAAAAAUGAUAUAUAAAAGAAUACAUGCCAAGUGGCUUGCUGGUAGUAGAAUGAGUGUCAUUUUUCAUAGAGCUUUGCUAUCUUGACAGGGCUGUGGUGGCCACCUAUUAGCAGGGCUGGGGACACAAUAAAUUUUCCCUUUUUCAUAGCCGGUUGAAUUAUUGGAACAUUCACAUCCAUAUAUUACCCACUAGGAAAACAGAGAUAGGUUUCACCAUUGAAAUUUACAUUUGUGAAUGCCCUUGACAGAGUGGGAACAAAAUACUCAUGUAGUCAAUCCCAAAUUUAUUGGAAUUAAAGUUUAGUUUGUAGUCAUAGAUGCAAAUCUAACAUAAAAUGUGUACUGCCCUCGACAUAGUAUGCUUGAUGAUGCAGUGGUGCCUACCUGUUAUAAUUUGAUGGUUAAAUUAGUUGUGAACACCGAUGACACAUAGUGUGCUAGGAGCAUAGUUUAUAGAGUGUUCCAAGAAAAUUCUCUCUUGUAUAAGAGUUAGGCACCACUUUUAUAGGUAGAGACCACUAAUGCAGAUGGAGUGUUUCAUCAUUUUAGUAAACCCGUUUCUCGUUUUUUCUCGAAAUUGAGUCUAUUGUGAAAGAGGUGAUUGAAUGGAUUGACUCAGUCGGAGAAAUGAUUUAGAUUAGUAAUCAGUUUGGUCGAAUACCUAUGUCCAGUCUGAGCAUAGGUUAAGAAACAAAAAGAAAAUCGAAAUACCAUCUAUAGCUAAUACAGGCGACACAAGCAACAAAACUUGUAACUGCUCAAAAAAGUCUAAUGUACGAAAAUUAGAAAAGCAAAAUAUCAAGGAAAGUUAAACUUAACAGACUAAUAGCUAAACUAAUUCUCUUUACAGUAGCCUAGAUCUGAGGGUCAUUUUUAGAAUUUUUCUUCCAUCCUCAAUCGUCACCAAAGUAGUCAAUCUUUUUUUUAUCAGAACAAAGUAAUCAAUCUUUAUAUAAUGUAUGUAUCAAUAGACUAUGCAUUUUACAUUCAACCCCAUCCCAUUAAAAGAAAAGGUCAUCUUUUGGUAGUAUAUACUACUUCUGAAUCCUCUUUUAUCCUGUAAUAAUAUAUUUUUCUGUAAAUUCCCCAAUUAAUGUCGGAAAAAAAAAAAACAACUGUGAACAUCCUGAAAAGAGUGUAACUAAAGAUUUCAUUCACGAAUAAAACACUACACACUUCUACAAAUAUUUCAUACAAAAAUUUAAAGGGACCGUACCAAAAAUGUUUCAAUUUAAGAAAAUCGAAUCAUACUCGUAAUCGAGACAGUGAUGGAACCAUGGUGGAGAGGGUUUUGGGUUGCAUUCUGUAAGGAAAUUAAGAGGAAAAGUGGAGCUGAAACUCAAACGGUUGACGAAAACCUAUAGCCCGAGGUAAAAGUAAAGUUGCUAACAUUUUUGGCAAAGGCCAUCUCCAAAGUGAACACCAAAAAAUCAAAAUGCAUCAUUUUUUGGUGCAAAAGGACCUCUAAUGGAACACUAUACUUUACACCAUUUUGGUGCAAAAUGGUACAUAGUGAGUAGUGUUGCACCGAAUAUGGUGCAACGCUAUUCACUUGACUCCAAAGUGGACAAAGUCUUUUUUGCCCUUUCCUAUCCUUUUUCAAAUAAAUUGAUGAAGAGUAUUUGUGUCAUUUGUGCUAUAUAUUUUUUAAUACAAUUUAAAAUAAUAAUAAUAAUUAUUAUUAUUAUUUGCAUUUAAAAUAAAUUUUAAAUGUAAGAAGUAAUAAUUAAUGAAUUAAUUAAAAAAAGAAAAAAAUUAAAAUAUAACAAACACGAUUAUUUAUUAAAAUUAACACGAAAUAUAUUAAACGAUGACAUACAUAUGAUAAUCUAAUUUUAUUUAAACAAAACGAUACAUAAAAAGUGCAUAGUUUAGUAAACAACGACAUACAUGUGAUAAUCUACUAUUUUUUGAUGGUAUGAUUUAAUAUUUUCGUUGUUGUUGUAUUUUUAUUAAUUGUACUAUGUUUUUUAUAUUUAUCAAUGAAUUAAAUCUUUUUCGUAAUUUAACGUAAUUAUUUAUUUAGUAAUUUAUAUAUUUAUAAAAGGGCUAAUUUCGCAAACGGUCACUGAACUUAUAGAAAAAUUACAAAACGGUCACUAAAGUUUAAAACUUUCAGUAACGGUCACUUAAGUAUUGAGACGCUUUCAAAAAUGGUCACUAAAUUUUAAAAACUUUCAAAAACGGUCACCAAAGUUUAAAUAGUUUCAGAAACGGUCACUGAAGUUGAAAAACACUUUUUUAGUUUUUUUUGUUACUUUUGAGGCAAUUUUUCGGUUACUUCCAACCACCGAUACCAUCGAAUUUUGAUACCGUUGGAAAGAUCACGAUAUCCUCUUCAAUUACCACCCAAAAUCUCUCCAUCACUCCAAGGGAUUCGACCGGAAAAUCGCCGCAAAAAUCACCUCAAAAAAUCUGAGAAUCUUCCCAGAUUUUUAGAUUUUUGGGCGAAUUUUACAGCGAUUUUUCGAAAACUUUCGACUAUCAAGACUGUCAAAUUUUGAUAUCGUUGGAAAACCCACAAUGUGCUCUUCAAUUACCAUCUAAAAUCUCCCUCAAACUCCAAAGGAUUGAGCCGGAAUAAACCCACAAAGUCGGCAUCCUAAAAAGACGAAAAUCUGGGAAGAUUUUUUAGAUUUUUAGAGCGACUUUUGCGGCAAUUUUUCGACCACUUCCGACCACCGAUACCACAUGAUUUUGAUACCGUUGGAAAGCGUACAAUUUCCUUUUCAAUUCAACAAAAAAUCUCCCCAAAACUGCAAAGGAUUCGAUCGGAAUAACCCCACAAAGUCGGCUACUUGAAAAAGGUGAAAAUCUGCCUAGAUUUUUCAGUUUUUUUGGCGACUUUUGCAGCAACUUUUCGGAAACUUCUGAUCACCAAGACCGCAGGAUUUCGAUACCAUUGGAAGCCCAAAAUCUCCUCUUCAAUUUCCACCCAAAAUCUCCCCAUAAAUCCAAAGGAUUUGGUCAGAAUAAACCCACAAAGUUGACAUCCCGAAUCUGUCCAGAUUUUUACCUUUUUGGGAUGCCGACUUUGUGAGUUUAUUCCGGUCGAAUCCUUCGGAAUUUGGGGGAUAUUUUUUAUGCUAAUUAAAGAGGACGUUGUGGACUUUCCAACGGUAUCAAAAUUCGGCUAUUUUGGUGGUCGGAAGUUGUCAAAAAAUCGCCGCAAAUGUCCCCCAAAAAUCUGAAAAUCCAGGCAGAUUUUCGCUUUUUCGAGUAGCCAACUUUGUAGGUUUAUUCCAACUGAAUCCUUUGGAGUUUGAGGGAGAUAUUUUAUUGGAAUUGAAGAGGACAUUGUAGACUUUUCAACAAUAUUAAAAUCCGGUGGUUUCGGUGGUCGGAAGUGGUCGAAAAAUUGCCGCAAAAAUAGCUCAAAAAUUUUUAAACUUCAGUGAUCGUUUUUGAAAGUUUUUAAACUUCAGUGAUCAUUUUUGAAAGCGUCCCAAUUCUUAAAUGAGAGUUACUAAAACUUUUAAACUUCAGUGACAGUUUUGUAAUUUUUCUGUAAAUUCAAUGACCGUUUGUAAAAUUAACCCAUUUAUAAAAUAAUUAAGGAAAUAAUAUUUCAAAUAAAUAAAUUAUAAAGAAUAAAAAAAUGGAAGAAAAUGGUUAAACACUGGUCAUUUGGUGUAAGUUUUGAUUUAAUGGUUGAGAUAAAUUUUAGUUUUGUGCGAGAUUUGGUGCAGCACUGAAUAUGGCCUAAGGUGGGGGUGGCAAAUGGUUUGUGUAGGGCUCGACUCGAUCCAUGAAAAACUAAGCUCACUGUAAAAUGAGCCAUGGGCCGAGCUACUUCAUGAGUCAGUUUAUGUUGAGCUCAUUGGUCUUGCAAAUUUUCCUAAAAAAAGUGGAAAUUACAUACCAGGGAUUUAAACAUCACAAUUUAAAAAUGAGGACCGAAGUUUCAUUAUUCAAAAAUUAUGUAUUAAUUUAAUAAUUUAAAUAUUAAAUAUUUCACCCAAAUUCAAUUUCAACCCUAUUUCCUUUCUCUCUUUACCAUCUAUAUUCUCUUCCUUCUCUCUACCAUAAAACACCACCGUCGGCGGUGAAGCUCUGAAGCAACCUCACCGACAAAUAUUCUAUUUUUUUCUCUCUCUUUUCCUCUGAAACCACCUCACUUGAUGGCUCCAUCGUUCUUCGAUCUCCUCGUCGACAGCAUUCACUCACUCCAACGACGACUUAUUUUUGCAGCCUGUCAAUGCAACGUCACGACGCUGUUGCCAACGUAGCUUCUUGAUGGUGAUUUCUUGGCGCCAAUUGGUGUCGACGUUGGAAGGGGUUUGGGAUUUUUUUCUUUCAUUUCCCAAUCUGAGGAGGUUGAAGUGAAUCAUAAAUAUGGGGGGUAGUAUCGUGUAGUGGUGGCAGCGGUGGCUAUUUGGGGAUUAUUUGGUAGAACUGGUGGUUGUGGUCAGAAGAAGAGGUGGUUUUGUGGCAGUGUAGACGGUGGUAAGGUUGUGGUUGUGUAUUGUUGGUGUGUUUGGUGAUUGUGGUCGUGGUGGUUUCUAGUGACGGUGGAGGUGGUGGUUGGUGACUGAAGAGUUGAUUGUUAUGGUUUUUGUUAGUAGUUAAUUGGAUUUGGUGGUGACGAUUUUGUUGGUGGUGAUGUCGUGGUGCUGGACUUGAUGGUGAUGGUGGUGGCAGCAGCAAUGAUGACGGGGUGAGGGCGAUGGCAAGUGGCAGUGAUGGUAGUAUGUGACGCACUAUCUAACCUGUGACCAACUGUUUGGUUACCUGUGACCAGCUAUCUAACUUUGACUUUAAAAUUUAUUAAUUGUGACCAACAAAUUCGAAAAUAUGUGACUGAUAGAUAAACUGUAACCUGUAAUCUUUUCAUCUGUGACCAAUGAAAUAAACUGUGACCGAUAAAAUUUUUGAUUUGUAACCUCAAAAUAAUUUGCGACCAAUUAAUUUGAUAAUGCAUGAUUAAUAAAUAAGUUCGUGAUCUAUAAUUAUGUACCUGUGACCAUUAAUAGUAUAAAUGUGACCUUAUUGUUUUUAAUUAAUAAAUAAAAACCUGAUUUUUGCUUUUUUAAAAAUUUAGACACGAAAAUUGAAUUGUCCAUACUUAAUGCUUUAGUUGUGAAUUUUUCCCCAAAAAAAGAAGAAGAAGAAAGAAUUCGGAUAAGAUAUUCGUGGAGUGCAGUUAGGUUAAACUUAAGUAAAAAUUAAUUUUAAGUUUUAAAUAACUUAAUUUGAAACAUGACUAAAUAAUUAAUUUCCUUUUUUCUUAUUUAAAAGCACUUACUCUCUGUUUGAUAGAGAUUAAAAUCAAAUUUUAAGCAGAUUUUGAUAAAAAUUGAUGAAAUAUGAGAUUAGAAAGUUGUGAAACCCAUAGAAUUUGUUGUUAAAAUUAAUUAUUGAUUUUGACUUAGAUUAAAAUUUAAAUUUUGAUUUCUACCAAAAAGAGGUUUAGUAUAAAAGUAACUUAUAUUUUACUAUAAAAAAUAAAAUGUUAGCUAGUAAAAAAGAAAAGAAAAAAAGAAUAACAUGUUUGGCUAAGUUCGGAAAGACAUAAAAGUAUGUAAGAUUUACAAAAAACUGCCAAAUUUAUUGAUUUUGUAUCCCUUUUUAUUCAUUUUAUUUCAUUUUAUCAAAUUCGUUGUAGACCGGUAUGAAAAUAGGAUUUACUUGAAUGAAUUCCUUGAUAAAAUCAUACGAAACGGGGGUAGAAACAUAGCUUCUUUUGAUUAUUCGUACACGCCAAUUAGUUAGAAAAUCACAUUGAUAGUCUCUACUCUUGUCUUACUCAUCCAAGAGCUAGAUUUCUAUCUAUAUAAGUAAAAAAUAUAUAUUUUAAUAUUAUAAAUAAAUCACUUUUUAUUGAAUAGUUUAACAAAUAAUUUAUGUUAUUUAUUUGAACAAUAAAACUAGAAUUACUUUUAAAUUAAGUAAAUGAUUUUAGAACAUGUUUAAAAAUCAAAAUUGACUUCAAAAAAAUUAUACAUGUGAAUGUCACACUUAUUUUUUUUGCUUAAUUAACAAGAUUUUUUAUUAUUAUUAUAUUUAAUUCUCUAUUUUUUUAGGAGUAAAUUAUUCAAUUCUACUCUAUUCAUUUGUGCGAGAUUUUCGUGUUCUCAAGCAACAUCUGGAUUUAUACAGAGUUUUAUGAUAUACUGUGAAAGGAGGCGAAAAGAGAACUAGCUAAACUUAAUUUCGUUAGGACAGGAUGAUGAAACCUAGCUUUUGAUGGUUUAAGUUUAAUUGUCACGUUUUGACAUUGAAAUUGAAUGUAAAUUGAGUUUUUAUUGUUGAUUACUAUUGUGUUCAGGGGCGGAGGGUGGUGGCAGCCUUGGCCUCCCAUUAAAUUUUCAUCGUUUAAAAAAAAAAUUGAUUUUUUUUAUAUUUUCGUUAAAAAUAAAAAAUAAUAAUAAAUCUGUCCCUCUGAUUCUGCCCCUUAUUAUAUUCAUAUUUUUGUCAACUUAUGAAUGGUUUGUGAGCUUGCUUUGAGAUUGAGAUAAUUUGUAUUUAAAAUCAUAAUUUCAGCAAUUGGUAAAGAUAUGCUAUUAAUAUUUCCGUGGGUCUUGCAAUUGAAUUUCUUCGGGUCCUAAUGCAUUUUAACUUGUUGAAGACUUUCCUAGUGAUGCAGUGGUUUCAUGCUUUAAAGUAGGUUUAAUUCUUCUCAAAAGAGAGAUCAUCAAGUAAAUUUAAGAAAUUCGACUUUCAACACAAGUGAAAUUUUGUCAAAGUGUGAUAAGUUAAUAUUAAAAAAAUGUUUGAAUCGGUAGAUGAUGAGGAUGGCCCACCUAAUUGGGAAGUCUUGGUACACUUAUUCCUACCUCUAACACCCUUGUGGAAACAUGGAAGUGUAAAAUUAUAAAGUAAAUAACUUUUAGUUUACGAGAAUUAUAAAUAAAAUAAGUUAUUAAUUUUAACAAUAAACAAGCACAUAUUUAAAAGAAAAACAAAUAUAAAUUGUAAUCGAAAGUUUUAUCCACAACAAAAUCAUAAAAACACUGCGUUUCUUUAACAUGCUUCAUAUAUGAUUGAUAAGUGUGUUUUUACACACUUAUUUAAUUCACAAACAUGACUUAAACAUGGGUAAAGUAAUUGAAUUGUGACUUAAUCUCGUUAAAUUCAUGCAAUGUAGGUGUCUUUAUGGAAAUGGUGGAAUUCAAGAGAAAAGAGCCGAAAAAGGACUAAAAUGGAACAAAGUGAUAGUUCAGGAACCAAGAUGCAAAUAUUUAAAAUUUGAACUAAAAGGCAACCCGGGAAUGAAAAUAUGCCAAGUAUGAACUUGAAAGCGAUACAAGAUGAAUGGAAGAAGAAGGAAUUGCAAAGGGUCUAAAAUGAUGAAAAAUGAAAGUUCAAGGAUCAAAAUAGACAUUUUGCGUAGUUGGCAGUACUAUGCGACCGCAUAGUGCUACCCUCUAUGCGGUCGCAUAGAGCCCUCCAAAGAAUUUUUUCAAACUUUUUUUUACUCUAUGUGAUCGCAUAGAAAUGUACUAUGCGGUCGCAUAGAACAGGUUCGAGGGCCUCCGAUGCAGUUUCCUGGUUUCGUUAUAAUUCCUUUUCUACUUGAUUGGCACGUGAUAUAAAGACCUAGGGCCGUCAAAUUCAACACCAGAAAAGUCUUGGAGAGAAAAAAUACCAUAUUGAGAGGGAAGAAACGAGAUCUUGAAGACGAAUUCACGCAAGAUUUCAAAGGAUUUUCACGGAAGACAUCAAGAUUUCAAGAGAUCCAUCAACCCGGUGGUAUUCUUUCAUUGAAUAAUUGUUUUUUCUGUAAUUAUACAUAUGAUAGGCUAGAUUUGAAUUACUAGGAGAUCGAUGAACCUUAUGAAUGUCACUUGAAUUCUUUAUUUCAUGAUUUUGAAUAUAGAACACGUUUGGAUUGUUUUGAUUGGUUUAUAUGCAAAUAAUUUCUUCAACAAUUAAGGGCCCAUAAUUGUGUGAAUUUAGAUGACUUGUUUCUUGCAUUCAAGAGAAGGGAAAUAGGUUCGAUAAGGUAUAAAUCAACGUAGGGUUCGAUAGGGGAUAAAAAUAUACUGCUAUGUCCUAUGUAAGUCUUUAAUUGCUUACAAAAGUACAUACAUUCUUGUAUAUUUGCAUCCACCCUAGAGAUAUAGGCUGGUGGUAUAUAAGAAUAGGUCUAAUACAUCUCGAGAGAGUGUGUUGGAUAGAUUUAGGAGCAUUGAUUUGUCAAACAUCCAUCAGGUUAUCAAAAUUGUGAAAUUAGGGUUUUCGUGAUUUUCAUUUGGGGAUUCGUGAUCCUAGUGCAUUAGUUUUUAUUGAUUUCCAUAAUUUGAUAUUAGAAUUCAUUUAAUUUCAUAACAUUUCAUAAUCGAAUCAUUUCAUAAGUGAAAUUGAGAAAAUUAGGGUUUGUUUAGAAAUUAGGGUUUCAUAAUUAGGGUUUUUCUCCCAAAUUAGGGUUUUACAUAUAAAAUUUCAAUUUCAAUCAAUUUGUUUCGGUUAAGGCUAGGAUAAAUAAGAUUAAAUUACUUAAUCUCUGUGGGACGAUACUUGGACUCUUAAAAAUCCACUUUAUUACUUGUCACGACCCGUACACUUGUGGUGAGUUAAAUCGAAAGAAUAAUUUCGUGAACAAGUAUUUGGCGCCGUUGUCGGGAAUUGAGUUUUAGUUUAAUUUUAUUUAAAUUAGCACUAAUUCGAAUUUUUAUUUAUAAUUUAUUUUAUUUUAUUUUAUUUUAAUUCUUUUCUUUUCAAUUUAUUUUGUUAUUUAUUUGAUUUUAGUAUCUGAGUGCUUCUAUUGAAUUUUCUUGCAGAUUUGCAUGCUAAGAUCUACUGAAGGGGAUCUGCUCCUAGCUGAUCCACAGAUUGAACGAAGUUUACGAAAAAGACAAAGAGAAAACAGAGAAGCACAAAAUCAGAUGGCGAAUAUGCAAAACAAUCUUAUUGUACAAGCCAAUGAAGGAGGGGGCGGCGGAUGAAGGAAAUAUGCUUGUUUGAGAUUUCAUGACCCCUCAGAUCAUCCAGAGCCAGUCUAGUAUUGUAUAUCCACUGUUCAAGCAGCCAAAUUUUCAGUUGAAGACUAAUGUGAUACAACUGUUUUAGAACGGACAUCAAUUUUAUGGCAGAAUUGAGGAGAAUCAGCACACGUAUGUCUCGCACUUCUUAGAGACGUGCUAGCACUUUAGAUACCAAGGGAUCUCAGACGAUGCAAUAAGGUUAAGGCUGUUUCCACAUACUUUGCGGGACAAAGUGAUUUAAUGGCUUGAUUCUCAACCGAUAGCCAGCAUUACAACCUGGAAUGACCUAGCCCAGAAGUUCUGUACUAAGUUUUUCCCACCUGCCAAGAUUGCAAAGCUUAAACACGAGUCUUCCAUCAAGGCGAUACAGAGAACUUCGAUGAAGUUUGGAACAAAUUCAAGAAUUUACAAAGGAAGUGUCCACAUCAUAGGAUUAGCAAGGGACUUCAGGUCCAAUAUUUUUAUGCGGGGUUACUUCCAGCUUUCAAAAGUAUGGUCGACUCUUCAGCCAAUAGGUCAUUGUCCACAAAAAUAAUUGAUGAAGCAUUGAGACUAUUCGAGACAAUGGCUACGACCUCAGCAAUGUGGAUCUCAGAACAGGCAGUACCGAAGAAGACAUUAGGAGUGUAUGAAGUGGAUGUGUAUUUAGCCUUAUCUACAAAGAUUGAUUCCCUAUUUCACAAGGUGGAAAACAUGACUCAAUCAGCUAAUGCAGCAUAGUCAAAGAAGGCAAGUUGUGAGGAAUGCGGAGCUGAGCAUGUAACAGCAGAGUGUCCAAUUUUGGUACAAAGAGUGGAGCGAGCAAACUUUGUCCAAUGGGGACAAUGCCAAUAGAACAAUACAUUUGGAGAAACAUACAACUCAAGUUGGAAAAAAUACCCUAACUUCUCUUGGAGCAACCAAAAUCAGAAUAAGCCACCAGGUCAGUAUCAGCAGCAAGAGAAGAAGCCUCAAUUGGAAGAGAUAUUCGGUAAAUUCACGGAAAAGACCAAUCAAUACACGGAGGUGAAUAAUCAGUUCAUGAGGAAAAUCGAAGCCACUCUUCAGGACCAGAAUGCAGCUAUAAAGAAUUUGAAAACUUAGAUGGGAUAGAUGGCAGUUGCUUUAAUGGGCAGAGCACCAGGCAGCUUGCGAAGUAACACAAAGGUCAACCCAAAAGAGCAUGCAAAGGCUAUAACAAUAAAAAGUGGAUUACAACUACCUGAGAGACAAGUUAAAAGCCCGGAUGCAAACAGAAAAGUAACAUCUCCUGAGGUAGAAGAGACUUUGGAGCAAGACGAGCAGAUAAAGGAACCUACCUCAAAUGCACAUAAAGGCAAUUCAAAAGAUAAAGAGACAGCAACUGCAAACCCUUAUGAGCCUCCCAUACCGUUUCCACAGAGGCUGAAAAAGCAAAAGAUGGAGAACGGUACAAGAAGUUUCUCGAAGUCUUCAAGAAGGUCCAUAUCAACAUCCCAUUUGCUGAAGCACUGGUUCAGAUGCCUAGCUAUGCAAAGUUCCUGAAGAAUAUCUUAUCAAACAAAAGGAAACUAGGAGAUCACGAGACAGUUAUGCUAACGGAGGAGUCCAGUUCUAGGAUCCAGAAAAAGCUCCCGCCAAAACUAAAAGAUCCAAGGAGUUUCAUUGUCCCUUGUACCAUUGGUGAAGUUUAUUUCGAUAAAACUUUGCGUGACCUUGGUGCAAGUAUUAACUUAAUGCCCUUGUCUGUUUUCAGGAAACUGGGAUUGGGAGAAGCUAAGGCUACCACAGUGACUUUACAGUUAGCUGACAAAUCAUUGACACAUCUACGAGGAAUAAUUGAAGACGUAUUGGUAAAAGUGGAAAAAUUCAUCUUUCCAGCAGAUUUUCUGAUUCUGGACAUGGAAGAAGACAAGGAUGUUCCUCUGAUACUGGGUAGACCUUUCUUGGCCACGGGCAGAGCCUUGAUUGACGUUCAGAAUGGGCAGCUGAUUCUGAGACUGGGAGAAGAUCAGAUUUCCUUUAACGUAUUCAAGGCAAUGAAGCAACCAAUAGAGACAGACAGCUGUUUCAAGGUUGAUAUGAUUGAUAAAGUGGUUCAAGAGUCUUUUACACUGCAAAAUCCAUCUGAUGCAUUUGAGGCCUGCAUUGCACAUUCUCAAUCAACGAAGUCUGAUUCUGUGGACAUAGAAAUGUGUACAAGGUUCUUGGAAUCUAACCCACCUUAUACAUGAAGAAGAUGCUUUGAGGAACUUGGAACAGGACCCGAGAAACCGUUGCCAUCCAUUCAGAAGCCACCAAAGUUGGAACUAAAGCAGCUACCUCCACAUCUCAGAUAUGCAUACUUGGGGGACUCUUGUACGCUUUCAGUGAUUAUCUCGAACUCAGUUAGCGAAGUGGAGGAGGAGAAACUACUUAGGGCGUUCAGAGAUAACAAAAAAGCGAUUGGGUGGACCAUAGCAGACAUCAAGAGGAUCAACCCUUCCUUAUGUAUGCAGAAAAUUCUCAUGCCGGAGAAUUUUCGACCAACAGUAGAAAGCCAGAGAUUGAACCCAAACAUAAAGGAGGUGGUUAGAGCAGAGGUACUCAAGCUUCUGGAUGCAGGAGUCAUCUACCCGAUAUCAGACAGUAAGUGGACUAGCCCAGUGCAGGUUGUGCCCAAGAAACGAGGAAUUACAGUGGUUCAGAAUGAGAAGAAUGAGUUAAUUUCGACAAGGACGGUAACAGGGUGGAGGGUUUGCAUCGAUUAUCGCAAACUAAAUGCAGCUACAAGGAAAGAUUACUUCUCUCUUCCAUUUAUAGAUCAGAUGUUGGAGAGAUUGACUGGUCAUUUCCACUACUGAUUCCUUGAUGGGUACUCGGAUAAUAAUCAGAUACUAGUGGCACCAGAUGAUCAGAUGAAAAAUACCUUCACGUGCCCCUAUGGUACCUUUACAUACCCAAGAAUGCCAUUUGGCAUUUGCAAUGCCCCUACCAUAUUUCAGAUAUGUAUGAUGACAAUUUUCUCAGAUAUGGUAGAGAAGUUCAUAGAGAUCUUCAUGGAUAACUUUCAGUCUUUGGAUCUUAAUUUGAUGAGUGUUUGGAACACUUAAAUCUGGUUUUGCAAAGAUGCAAAGAAACGAACUUGGUACUAAAUUGGGAGAAAUGCCACUUCAUGGUAAAAGAAGGGAUAAUACUAGGGCACAGAGUAUCAACAAAGGGAAUUGAGAUGGACAAUGCAAAGAUUCAGGUCAUUGAGAAAUUACCACCACCUACGUCGGUGAAAAGAGUUCGAAGCUUUCUAGGACAUGCGGGGUUUUACAGAAGGUUCAUAAAGAACUUCUCGAAAAUUUCCAAGCCUCUGUGCAACUUGCUGAUGAAUGACAUGCCAUUUGAGUUUAAUGAGGAAUGUUUACAACAUUCAACACUUUGAAUCAGAAACUCACGACAUUACUUGUGAUUGUAGCUCCUGAUUGGGAUUUGUCAUUCGAGCUAAUGUGUGAUGCUAGUGAUCAUACAGUAGUUGCAGUGUUGGGACAGAGAAAGAAUAAAGUCUUUCAUGUGAUAUACUAUGCAAGCAGAACCCUGAAUGACACCCAAAUCAACUAUGCAACAACCGAAAAGGAAAUGUUAGCUAUAGUUUAUGCAUUCGAUAAGUUCAGGUCAUAUCUUGUUGGGUCUAAGGUCAUAGUAUACACAGAUCAUGCCACAUUGAAGUACCUUAUGACAAAGAAGAAUGCUAAGCCAAGAUCGAUCCGCUGGAUAUUGUUGCUUCAAGAGUUUGAUAUUGAGAUCAAGGAUAAGAAGGGCAGUGAAAACGUGGUAGCCGAUCACCUAUCAAGAUUGGAACGUGAUGAACUUGAGGUGUCAGUUGAUAUAAAUGAAAUCUUCCCAGAUGAGCAGAUGUUUGGUGUGGGGGAAGCACCAUGGUAUGAUAACAUUGUUAACUAUCUUGCCAAGUCCAUUCCACCACCCCAUUAUCAUCAGAGAAAGAAGUUCUUUGCAGAUUUGAAGUACUACUUUUGGGAAGCGCGCAUUCUCUACAGUAGUGGUGCAGAUCAGAUAGUCAGAAGAUGUAUUCCUGAAGAAGUACCAGAGAUUCUAGAACAUUGUCAUUCUUCUGCCUAUGAGGAGCAUUUUGGAGCUUCAAAGACUGCUGCAAAGAUCCUACAGUCGGGGUUUUAUUGGCCUAUUUUGUUUAGAGACACAUUUGAGUUCGUGAAGAGAUUUGAUAGAUGUCAACGGACUGGGAAUAUCUCAAAAAGAAAUGAGAUGCCACUCAACAAUAUCUUGGAGGUUGAGAUAUUUGACGUUUGGGGAAUUGACUUUAUGGGACCUUUUCUCCCUUCAUAUUCAAAUCAGUAUAUCCUGGUGAUAGUUGACUAUGUCUCUAAGUGAGUGGAAGCUGUUGCAUUGUCAACCAAUGAUGCAAAAGUGGUGACAGGGUUCUUGAAGAAGUAUAUCUUUACCAGAUAUGGUACACCGAGGGCUACAAUAAGUGACGGAGGCAAACACUUCAGAAAUCAUCAACUGGAGUAGCUGUUGAAUAAAUAUGGGGUUAAACAUCGAGUAGCUACCCCCACAUCAUCCACAGACCAAUGGGCAAGUUGAGGUUUCUAACAGGCAGUUGAAAGGAAUACUGGAAGUUAUAGUAAAUUCAUCUCGAAAAGAUUGGUCUAAGAAGUUGGACAAUACACUAAGGGCGUACAGAACAGCAUUUAAGACACCAAUAGGAAUAUCUCCAUACCGCCUGAUUUUUGGUAAAUCGUGCCACCUACCACUGAAAUUGGAACACCGAGCAUAUUGGGCGAGGAAACAGUUGAACAUGGAUCUCAAGGCUGUUGGUGAAAAGGGGUUGUUACAACUUAAUGAGUUGGAUGAGUUCAGAAUGGAGGCGUACGAGAACUCAAAGCUGAUCAAGGAACGCACCAAAAGAUGGCAUGAUUUACACAUUUAGAGGCGAGAGUUUGAAGUUGGGUAGAAAGUUUAAUUGUAUAAUUCAAGACUCAAGCUCUUCCCAAGAAAGCUAAGAACAAGGUGGUCGGGUCCUUACACCAUCACUAAGGUGAUGCCAUAUGGUGCUAGUGAAGUGAGUCAUGGGACCAAGGGCACUUUCAUAGUUAAUGGGCAGAGGCUGAAACACUAUUGGGGUGGUGACUUUUCUAAGUAGAAUUCUACUGUGCAACUCAGCACACCAACUUGAAACGGGCACGGGAAAGUCGAGUUAUCGACUAUAAACUAUCGCUGGGUGGGAGACAACCUACUGUAUUCUUCGAUUUAUUUUACUUUUCACAUUAUUUUAGGAAUUGUUUAAUUUUCGCAUUUGCAUUUUUUUUAUUAGGUCAUCGAUCUUUCACGCAUACUAGUCUAAGCAUUACACGCAUAAGGUGGCAUGAGUCAAGUUGAUUGAAGUUGUUUUGGGGGGAUUGAGUGUGAAGUCAUGCAUUUCGAUGCACAAAGUCAUUUUUCAUAAAAAAUUUCAAAAUGCAUUUCAAGUUUAUUCCAUAAAUUAGUUUUGGUACUAAGUCCUUCGGCAAGCACAUAUCUCACUGAAUUGGAAAUUUCUAAAUUUUUCGAGAAUGAUAUUAGUCGAGUCAAAUUUUUAAUUGAAAACCAAUUUCGGGGGAAAAUUUUAUUUAAGUUGUGUUCUGGGAGUUAAAAUUGUAAUUUUGAUUUUUUUUUUUUCAUAAUUCAGAUUUGCAAAAAAAAAAAAAAACGUUUGUCUAUACGACCGCCUACCUCUUUUUCAAUUGUUUUUUUUUUAUUACAUGUUUGACUUUUCUUUCUUUUUUUUUUGUUUUAUUAAAUUAAUGUAUUACAUUAUCAAAUCGAAUAAAAAUCUAAUUUUUAACUAAACCAAAUGAGGACUAAUUCGUAUGUAGUAACAUGCAAUCCAACGCGUACACUAGAAGUCAACAUACGAAUUUUCAAACAAAGGCUAAUUCGUAUGUUGUAGCAUGCAAUCCUACGCGAGCUCUAGAAGUGACUAUAUGACAUUUCAGAACUAUACACCUCUGAUUUCACCCAAUACAAGAACUAACCACUCAUCCAUGACUAGUAACAAUUAAGCCCUUGUUGAGCCCCAUUUUUUUCUGGGGGAAGGGGGGAUUUAUUUUCGAAUAGUUUAUUUGGAAAAUGCGUGGUUAAAAAAUAAAAAAAAUCAACUUAGUGUAAAAUUAUUUUAUCAAAGAAUGUGUGACCGAAAAUGAAUUUUAAAAAAAUGAGUCUUUGAUAAAAUGGAACACAAACAAGGGCUAAGUGCUUUCACCAUUGCAUUGUGUCCACUUGCUUUUAUAUUAAACUAUCCAACAAAGAAAGGCAUUAGCUCAAGAAGAUUUGAGACAAUUUGAAAUCGAGAUGUAGCUAACAUAAUAUUAUACGCCAUUCGGACAAAAAAGAGUUUCUAGUCUCAAGAAGCCCACAUCACAAGAUUUCAAUUACUCCUGACCUCUUUGAGCUAGUAAGCGAGCCUGCAUUAAGCUCUACCACCAAAGUUCAUUUUCAUCGAAAGUUUUAAAAAUGACCUUUGCAUUUGGUGAAGCACGCUGAAAUUUGUUCGUCUCUAUCAAUAUCUCAAAUCCUUUGUCAGCAAGUUUCUAUAAUAGCCAUUUCAACUUGAUCACCAUCCGAUCAAGCUUCGGCGAUUUCUCUAAUAAAAGCUUGACGAGUGUCAUCUCAGGAACUGUUGAAGAAAUACAUUCCAGCUUCACUUUUUGAAGCCGACUAAAUUACAUAUCUGAAUAGUCUUGCAACUUCAAAAAGUCUAGAACAGGACGUGCUUCAGCAAAUGGGAGUGGCCUAUGCAAAAUCUGCACAAUAUGACAAAAAGUCACUUAUCUUAAACUUUUAGGUUAAAUUGGAAAAUAGAGUAUCGUAAACUGUAUAGUCGUGUCCAUUAUUUGCCUGGAGUUUCAGUUUCUCAAGAUUCGGGGAGCUUCUGAACAAGCAAAGAACAUAAGAGAGAUCCUCCACUGAGUCUAAACAUAUAUAACAUAAAUUCAGAAUUUUAAGCUGGACUAAAGUAACUGGAAGCCUUGUUUGGACUUGACCUGCAGCCAAAAUCUUGAGAGCGGAUGGCAAAAGCAUGAUCAAAUAUAGUUAAAUUGAUGAUUUCAAGGAAAUUAUAGUUAUAAUCAACCAUACCUUCAUCGUCUGAUAGUCUAUGCACAGUCGCUGAAGUGCGGGCAGGGAAUAAAAAAACUCAAUGAAAUUAUGUCUUCUAUGAAUGAUAGAAUCGUAACUUAGAGUAGGGAAGGAAGCAGCUGAAACUAUUGCAAGAAGUGGGGAUUUCUUAAAAUAAACAUACGCACGGUAACAUUUCAAUUUAACGAGUUUUAGAUUAGGAGCAUAAAUUGUUAAGUGGUGAAAUCCAGCUCGGACAUGCAACGCCAGUUGCUCCAGUUCUGGUGAGCUAGAUAUCAAAUUCCUAAUACAUCAGUAUCAAUGAUGACAUCAAGCAAUUCCAGUGUAAUCAGCCUUUUAAACCUUUGAAGCUUGGCAGAGGACUGAUCGAACAAGUAGAAAGUUUCAAAUGUUUCAAUAGUGAACACAUAAACAGUUAAGAAGGCAAUUUGUACGCUUCACACUUGUUCAUUUUCAAAGUGAAUUCUUCAACACCUUUCUUCCAUAAGAUAUAUAUCAAAUGGUCAAUUUCAGAACCACCUGUGAGUUUUGGAAUAAUGAGGCUCGACUUAGUUAGGAUCCUUGGUGAAGUCAAAGAAUCUGGUAAAGGAUCCCAGCAAACUUCAUUCUAGCCAAUUCUUGGUUUCUCUCUGAUUCUUGCCAUAACGUAUCAUCAAAUAUCAGCUGUGGCAGUUUGACCCAUUUAUACCUCCAUUGCUUUGACAAGACACUAGUCUUUGCAGCAUCACGCAUUGUCAAACACAUUUAUAUGAUCAAUAUGACAUUAUCAGGAAGGUCACUUAUCAUAUCAACAGGUUGGAAUUGAGCAAUCUUCAUUCUGCUACGUAAUUGACGAACAAAUUUCUGUAAUAACUCACAAUUAAUAAAAAUUUCAAAUUGCCUUAAACUAACUUGCAUGCAUGUAGAAGAUAUAAACAAAUUCUACAUUAAGUUCACACAAUUUUGUUCACUUUAUUUUAAUUUUUUACCCCAAUAUUUUAAUAGUAAUCGAAUUUGUCAUAACACUAAGAAAGUAGAGAUAAUAUUCACAGUUGAUAUUUACAUUUGCUUAUGCUUGAAAUAU
rnacentral:lncRNA from 1 species